GCUCGUGCCCUUGUUGAGAGGUAUGAGACCUCCAACAAGAUUCUUUGUCUACAUAGUAAAAGAGAAAAGCUCAAUCGUUAAGCAUGUGCUCAGAUUGUCUGAGUACAACAAUCGCUUGAAUCAAGUGGGAGUUAAUCUUCCAGAUGAGAUAGUGAUGGUUUUCCAAAAGCCACUGCCACUAAGCUACUGGAGCUUCGUGAUGAACUAUAACAUAUCAAGGAUAGAUAUGAUGAUCCUUGAGAGAUUCACAAUGUUUGACACUGUGAAAGUAGAAAUCAAGAAGGAGCAUCAUUUGUUGAUGGUUAGUAAAACCACUAGUUUCAAGAAGGGCAAGGGCUAGAAGGGACACUUCAUGAAACGACAAACCAGUUGCUGCUCUAAUGAAGAAACCCAAGAUUGAACCCAAACUUGAGACUAAGUGCUUCUGUUAUGAUGGGAACGGUCACUGAGGCGGAGCAACCCUAGAUACUUGGUAGAUAGGAAGGCUGGCAAAGUCGACAGAAGUGUAUUUGGUAUACAUGAUGUUGAUGUGUACUUUACUUGUAGUCCUAGUAGCACGAGCGUAUUGGAUACCGGUUCGGUUGCUAAGUGAUUAAUAACUCGAAAUGAAAGCUACGAAAUAAACGGAGACUAGCUAAAGGAGAGGUGACGAUAAGUGUUGGAAGUGUUUCCAAGGUUGAUGUGAUCAAAACAUCGCACGCUCUCUCUACCAUCGGGAUUGGUGUUAAACCUAAAUAAUUGUUAUUUGGUGUUUGCGUUGAGCAUGAACAUGAUUGGAUCGUGUUUAUUGCAAUAGAUUAUUCAUUUAAAAGGAAUAAUAGUUAUUCUAUUUGCUUGAAUAAUUACCCUCAAUGGUUUAUUGAGUCUCGAUCGUAGUGUUACACAUGUUCAUAAUAUUGGUGCCAAUAGAUACAAAGUAGUAAUGAUAGUACCACUUACUUGUGGCACUGCCGCUUGAGUCAUGUCGGUAUAAACGCAUGAAGAAACUCCAUGCAGAUGGAUCGUUUGUACUCACUUGAUUUUGAAUCACUUGAGACAUGCAAACCAUACCACAUGAAACAAAAUAGUAAGUUAUUGGAAGUAAUACAUUUUUGAUGUGUGCAGUCCAAUGAGUGCUGAGGCACGCAGUGGAUAUCGUUAUGUUCUUACUUCACUGACGAUUUGAGUAGAUACAUGAGUAUUUACUUGAUGAAUCACAAGUCUGAGAUAUUGAAAAGUUCAAAGCUAUUUCAGAGUGAAGAUCGUCGUGACAAGAGGAUAAACUAUCUAUGAUACGAUCGAUGAGAUGAAUAUCUGAGUUACGGGUUUUUUGGUACACAGUUAAGACAAUGUGGAAAUUGCUUCUCAAUUCAUGCCACCUAGAACACCAUAGUGUGAUGGUGUGUCCGAACGUCAUAGCCGCGCCCUAUUUGAUAUGGUGCAUGCUAUGAUGUCUCUUAUCGAAUUACCACUAUCGUUUAUGGGUUAUGCAUUAGAGACAACCGCAUUCACUUUAAAUAGGGCACCGCGUAUUUCCGUUGAAAUGACACAAUAUAGGUUAUGGUUUGGAGAAACCUAAGCCGUCGUUUCUUAAAAGUUUGGGGCUGCGAUGCUUAUGUGAAAAAGUUUCAGCUCGAACCCAAAGUGGAUAAAUGCAUCUUCAUAGGAUAUCCAAACAGUUGGGUACAUCUCCUAUCUUAGAUCCGGAAGCAAAGUGUUUGUUUCUAGAAACGGGUCCUUUCUCGAGGAAAGGUUUCUCUCGAAAGAAUUGAGUGGGAGGGUGGUGGAACUUGAUGAGGUUAGUGAACCGUCACUUCAACCAGUGUGUAGCAGGGCGCAGGAAGUUGUUCCUGUGGCGCCUACACCAAUUGAAGUGGAACCUGAUGAUGGUGAUCAUUGAGCUUCGGAUCAAGUUACUACAAACCUCAUAGAUCGACAAGGUCGCGUAGUGCUAGAGAGUGGUACGGUGACCCUGUCUUGGAGGUCAUGUUGUUGAACAACAAUGAACCUACGAGCUAUGAAGAAGCGAUGGUGGGCCCGGAUUCUGGCAAAUGGCUGGAGGCCAUGAAAUCCGAGAGAGGAUUCAUGUAUGAAAACAAAGUGUAGACUUUGGAAGAACUACUUGAUGGCCGUAAGUCUAUUAAGUAAAGAUGGAUCUUUAAAAGGAAGAUAGACGAUGAUGGUGAAAAGUCACCAUGAAUAAAAGCUCGACUUGUCGCAAGGAUGUUUCCGACAAGAUCAAAGAAUUGACUAUGAUGAGACUUUCUCACUCGUAGCGAUGCUAAGACUCUGUUGGAAUUAUGUUAGCAGUUGCUGCAUUAUUUAUGAAAUAUUGCACAUAGGAUGUCAAAACAUUGUUUCCUCGACGAUUUCUUUGAGGAAAGGUUGUAUGUGAUACAACCAGAAGGUUUUGUCGAUCCUAAGGAUGCUAACAAGUAUGGAAGCUCCAGUGAUCCUUAUAUGGACUGGUGCAAGCAUCUCAGAGUUGGAAUAUACGCUUUGAUGAGAUGAUUAAAGCUUUUUGGUUUAUAAAAGGUUUAUGAGAAACUUGUAUUUCCAAAUAAGUGAGUGGGAGCACUAUAGAAUUUCUGAUAAGUGUAUGUAGUUGACAUAUUGUUGAUCGGAAGUAAUGUAGAGUUUCUGUAAAGCAUAAAGGGUUGUUUGAAAGGAGUUUAUCAAAGGAAGACCUGGAUAGAGCUAUUUUAACAUUGAGCAUCCAGAUCUAUAGAGAUAGAUCAAAACGCUUAAUAGAACUUUCAAUGAAAUGCAUGCCUUGACGAGUUUUUGAAGGAGUUCAAAAUAGAUCAGAAAAGAAGGAAUUUUUGGCUGUGUUGUAAGGUGUGAAUUUGAGUAGGACUCAAAACCCGACAAUGGCAGAAGAAAGCGAAAGGACGACGGUCAUCCCCUAUGCCUUAGCCAUAGACUCUAAAGUAUGCCAUGCUGUGUACCGCACCUAGUGUGUGCCUUGCCGCAAGUCUGUGAAGAGGUACAGAGAGUGAUCCGAGAUUGAAUCACUAAACAACGGUCAAAGUUAUCCUUAGUAAAUUAAUGAAAUAAGGAAUUUUUCUCGAUUAUGGAGAUGGUUAAAGAGUUCCUCGUAAAGGGUUACGUCGAUGCAAGCUUUGACACUAAUCCAAAUAACUCUGAGUAGUAAAACGGAUUCAUAUAGUAGGGUAGAUAUUUGGAAUAUUUCCGAAUAGCACGUAGUAGCAGCAUCUAUAAGAUGACAUAAAGAUUUGUAAAGUUCACACGGAUCUGAAAGGUUCAGAACCGUUGACUAAAACCUCUCUCACAAGCAAGACGUGAUCAAACCCCAGAACCAUAUGGGUGUUGGAUUUGUUAAAAUCAUAUAGUGAUGUGAACUAGAUUAUUGAAUCUAGUGCAAGUGGGAGUGUGUUGGAAAUAUGGCCUAGAGGCAAUAAUAAAUUAGUUAUUAUUAUAUUUCUUUGUUCGUGANNNNNNNNNNNNNNNNNNNNNNNNNNNNNNNNNNNNNNNNNNNNNNNNNNNNNNNNNNNNNNNNNNNNNNNNNNNNNNNNNNNNNNNNNNNNNNNNNNNNGACAAUUUCAUCUUGAAAUUUUAGUGAGAGAUCACCACAUAAUGCUACCGUCAUUCUAAGCAAAAUAAGGUGCAUAAAAGGAUUAACAUCACAUGCAAUUCAUAAGUGAUAUGGCCAUCAUCUUGUGCUUCUUGAUCUCCAUCACCAAAGCACCGGCAUGAUCUUCUUGUCACCGGUGCCACACCAUGAUCUCCAUCGACAUGUCGCCAUCGAGGUUUUCAUGCUAUCUAUGAAAUUACUACUAAAGCUACGACCUAGCAAUAUAGUAAACGCAUGUGCAAACACAAAAGUUAGUUUAAAGACAACCCUAUGGCUCCUGCCAGUUGCCGUAGCACCGACGUGCAAGUCGAUAUUAACUAUUACAACAUGAUCAUCUCGUACAUCCAAUAUAUCACAUCAUGUCAUUGGCCAUAUAAUAUCACAAGCAUACCUUGCAAAAACAAGUUAGACGUCCUCUAAUUUGUUGUUGCAUGUUUUACGUGGCUGCUGUGAGUAUCUAGUAUAAUCGCAUCUUACUUACGCAAAAACCACAACGGAGAUGUGCAAAAUGCUAUUUAACCUCUCUUCAAGGACCGCCUCGGUCAAAACCAAUUCAACUAAAGUUGAAGAAACAGGCACCCGCCAGUCAUUUUAUGCAACGAGGUUUCAUGUCAAUCGAUGAAACCACUAUCUCGUAAGCGUACGAGUUAUGUCGGUCCGGGCCGCUUCAAUCCAACAAUACCGCCGAAUCAAGAAAAGACUAAGGAGGGCAGCAAAUCGAACAUCAUCGUCCACAAAACCUUUUGUGUUCUACUCGAGAUAACAUCUACGCAUGAACCUACCUCAUGAUGCCACUGUUGGGGAACGUUGCACGGGAAACAAAAAAUUUCCUACGCACACGAAGACCUAUCAUGGUGAUGUCCAUCUACGAGAGGAGAUUAGAUCUACGUAUCCUUGUAGAUUUCUCAGAGGGAAGUGUUAAUAAACGCGGUUGAUGUAGUGGUACAGCUUCUUGAUUCAAAUCACCGUCGUCCCACGAUCCGUCCCACGAAUGGUUUCGAUCUAGCGCCGAACGGACGACACCUCCACAUUCACAACACGUACAGCUCGAUGACAAUCUCAACCUUCUUGAUCCAGCAAGCAAUAUGGAGAAGUAGAUGAGUUCUCCGGCAGCGUGAUGGCGCUCCGAUGGUCGUGAUGAUCUACUCUUGCAGGGCUCCGCCCGAGCUCCGCAGAAAUCCGAUCUAGAGGUAAAACUAUGUUGAAUAGGCUGGAGUUGCACGUGGAAAAGUUGUGUCUCAAAAAUCCCUAAACCACCAAUAUAUAUAGGAGGAGGGGAGGGGCUAGCCUUAGGGCACAAGGUCCCGAAGGGUGCGUCGACAGCCAGGGAGGAGGAGGACUCCUCCUCCAAUUCGGUUUGGGAAGGAGGAGUCCUCCUCUUCCUUCCCAUCUCCCUCUUUCCUUUUUUUCUUUUCCUUUGGUAUUUUUACAUGUGGCGCCAUAGCCCUCUUGGGCUGACUCCACCAGCCCACUAAGGACUUGGUGCGCCAUCCUAGGGCCUUGGGCUCACUCCCGGGUGGGUGGGCCCCUCCUGGUAAACACCGAGAACUCAGUCGUCGCUCCCGGUACACUGCCUGUAAUGCCCGAAACUUUUUGGUGACCAAAUGAAACCAUCCUAUAUAUCAAUCUUCGUUUCCGGACCAUUUCAGAAACCCUCGUGAGGUACGUGUUCUCAUCUGAGACUCCUAACAACAUUCGGUAACCACACAUAUAACUCAAAUAUACUAAAACAUCAUCGAACAUUAAGUGUGCACACCCUAUGGGUUCGAGAACUAUGUAGACAUGACCCGAGACACUCCUUGGUCAAUAUCCAAUAGUGGGACCUGGAUGCCCAUAUUGGAUCCUACAUAUUCUUCGAAGAUCUUAUCGGUUGAACCUCAGUGCCAAGGAUUCAUAUAAUCACGUAUGGCAUUCCCUUUGUCCUUCGGUAUAUUACUUGCCCGAGAUUCGAUCGUUGGUAUCCGCAUACCUAUUUCAAUCUUGUUACCGGCAAGUCUCUUUACUCGUUCUGUAAUACAAGAUCCCGUGAAUUACACUUAGUCACAUUGCUUGCAAGGCUUGUGUGUGAUGUUGUAUUACCGAGUGGGACCCGAGAUACCUCUCUGUCACACGAAGUGAGAAAUCCAGUCUUGAUCCAUACUAACUCAACGGACACCUUCGGAGAUACCUCUAGACCACCUUGAUAAUCACCCAGUUAUGUUGCGACGUUUGAUACACACAAGGUAUUCCUCUGGUGCCAGUGAGUUAUAUGAUCUCAUGGUCAUAGGAAUACAUACUUGACAUGCACAAAACAAUAGCAAUAAAAUGACACGAUCAAUAUGCUACGUUCAUAGUUUGGGUCUAGUCCAUCACAUGAUUCUCCUAAUGAUGUGAUCCAGUUAUCAAGUGACAACACUUGCACAUAGCCAGAAAACCUUGACUAUCCUUGAUCAACUGGCUAACCAACUAGAGGCUCGCUAGGGACAUUGUUUUGUCUAUGUAUCCACACAUGUAUCUAUGUUUUNNNNNNNNNNNNNNNNNNNNNNNNNNNNNNNNNNNNNNNNNNNNNNNNNNNNNNNNNNNNNNNNNNNNNNNNNNNNNNNNNNNNNNNNNNNNNNNNNNNNNNNNNNNNNNNNNNNNNNNNNNNNNNNNNNNNNNNNNNNNNNNNNNNNNNNNNNNNNNNNNNNNNNNNNNNNNNNNNNNNNNNNNNNUUAGUCUCCCACUUGCACUAGAGUCAAUAAUCUAGUCCUCACAUCGCCAUGCGAUUUACAUUGUAAUAAAUCUAACACCCAUACAGUUCUGGUGUUGAUCAUGUUUUUCCCAUGAAGAGGUUUAGUCUGUGGGUGUGCUACAUUCAGAUCCAUGUGCACUUUGCAAAUAUUCACGUCCUCUCCUUCGAUGUAGUCGCGGAUGAGGUUGCAGCGUCCUUUGAUGUGCCUGGUCUUCUUGUGAAACCUUGGUUCCUUUGCUAAAGCAAUGGCACCACUGUUGUCACAAAACAAAGUUAUUGGAUUUAGUGCACUCGGCACAACUCCAAGAUCUGUCAUGAACUGCUUCAUCCAGAUACCCUCGUUUGUUGCCUCCGAGGCAACCAUGUACUCCGCUUCACAUGUAGAAUCUGCUACGGCGCUUUGCUUGGAACUGCACCAGCUUACCGCACCCCCAUUAAGAAUAAAUACGUAUCUGGUUUCGACUUAGAGUCAUCCGGAUCGGUGUCAAAGCUUGCGUCGACGUAAACCUUUACAACGAGCUCUUCGUCACCUCCAUAAACGAGAAACAUUUCCUUAGUCCUUUUCAGGUACUUCAGAAUAUUCUUGACCGCCAUCCAGUGAUCCACUCCUGGAUUACUCUGAAACCUGUCGGCCAUGCUUAUGGCCAAUCUGACGUCUGGUCUAGUGCACAACAUUGCAUACAUGAUAGAACCUAUGGUUGAAGCAUAGGGGACGGAACUCAUUUGUUCUCUAUCUUCCGCAGUUGCUGGGCACUGAGUCUUCCUCAAUUUUAUACCUUGUAACACUGGCAAGAACCCUUUCUUGGACUGUUCCAUUUUGAACUUCUUCAAAACUUUAUUAAGGUAUGUGCUUUCUGAAAGUCCUAUGAGGCGUCUUGAUCUAUCCCUAUAGAUCUUAAUGCCUAGAAUGUAAGCAGCUUCUCCUAGGUCCUUCAUAGAGAAACUUGUAUUCAAGUAAUCCUUUACGCUCUCCAAAAACCCCACGUUGUUUCCAAUCAGCAAUAUGUCAUCCACAUAUAAUAUUAGAANNNNNNNNNNAUUCUAAAUACAAGAUUCUCCAACCACUUGUAUAAACCCAAAUGCUUUGAUCACCUCAUCAAAGCAAUUAUUCCAACUCCGAGAUGCUUGCACCAGUCCAUAAAUGGAUCGCUGGAGCUUGCAUACUUUGUUAGCAUUCUUUGGAUCGACAAAACCUUCGGGUUGCAUCAUAUAUAACUCUUCCUUAAGAAAACCUUUAAGGAACGCCGUUUUGACAUCCAUCUCCCAGAUUUCAUAAUCGAAAAAUGCAGCUAUUGCUAACAUGAUUCGGACGGACUUAAGCAUCGCUACCAGUGAGAACGUCUCAUCGUAGUCAACUCCUUGAGCUUGUGAAAAACCCUUUGCCACAAGUCGAGCUUUAUAAACGGUCACAUUAUCGUCUGCGUCCGUCUUCUUCUUAAAGAUCCAUUUGUUUUGAAUAGCCUUUUGGCCUUCAGGUAAUACUUCCAAAGUACACACUUUGUCUUCAUACAUAGAUCCUAUCUCGGACUUCAUGGCCUCCAGCCAUUUGUUGGAAUCCGGGCCCACCAUUGCUUCUUCAUAAUUCGCAGGUUCAUUGUUGUCCAACAACAUAAUUGAUAAGACAGGAUUACCAUACCACUCAGGAGUAGUACGUGAUCUUGUCGACCUGCGAGGUCCGAUAGGAACUUGAUCCGAAGUUUCAUGAUCAUCAUCAUUAACUUCCUCCUCAACCGGCGUCGCAAUGACAGGGGUUUCCCCUUGCCCUGCGCCUCCAUCUAGAGGGACUAGAGGUUUGACAACCUCAUCAAGUUCUAUCUUCCUCCCACUCAAUUCUUUCGAAAGAAACUCCUUCUCAAGAAAAGCUCCAUUUUUAGCAACAAACACUUUGCCCUCGGAUUUGAGAUAGAAGGUGUACCCAAUUGUCUCCUUUGGGUAACCUAUGAAGACGCACUUUUCCACUUUGGGUUCCAGCUUUUCAGGCUGAAGCUUUUUGACAUAAGCAUCACAUCACCAAACUUUAAGAGACGACAACUUCGUUCUUUUGCCAUACCACAGUUCGUAUAUUGUCGUCUCAGCGGAUUUUGAUGGUGCCCUAUUUAAAGUGAAUGCAGUUGUCUCUAAUGCAUAACUCCAAAACGAUAAUGACAAAUAGGUAAGAGACAUCAUAGAUCGCACCAUUUCUAACAAAGUACGAUUAUGACGUUCGGACACACCAUUACGAUGUGGUGUUCCAAGCGGUGUCAACUAUGAAACAAUUCCACGUUGUCUUAAGUGAGCACCAAACUCGAAACUCAGAUAUUCACCCCCACGAUGAGACCGUAGGAACUUGAUCUUCUUUUUACGAUGAUUUUCAACUUCACUCUGAAAUUGCUUGAACUUCUCAAACGUUUCAGACUUGUGUUUCAUCAAGUAGAUAUAUCCAUACCAACUCAAAUCAUCAGUGAAGGUGAUAAAAUAAUGAUAUCCGCCACGUGCCUCCACACUCGUCGGACCGCACACAUCGGUAUGUAUGAUUUCCAACAAGUUACUUGCACGCUCCAUUGUUUCGGAGAACGGAGUCUUAGUCAUCUUGCCCAUGAGGCAUGGUUCGCACGUGUCAAGUGAUUCAAAGUCAAGUGACUCCAAAAGUCCAUUGGAAUGAAGUUUCUUCAUGCGCUCUACACCAAUAUGACCUAAGCGGCAGUGCCACAAAAACAUGGCGCUAUCAUUAUUAACUUUACAUCUUUUGGUCUCAAUGUUAUGUAUAUGUGUAUUGUCGCUAUCAAGAUUCAAUAUGAACAAUCCUCUCACAUUGGGUGCAUGACCUUAAAAGAUAUUACUCAUAGAAAUAUAACAACCAUUAUUCUCUGACUUAAACGAGUAACCGUCUCGCAAUAAACAAGAUCCAUAUAUAAUGUUCAUGAUUAACGCAGGCACCAAAUAACAAUUAUUUAAGUUCAUAACUAAUCCUGAUGGUAACUGAAGUGAAACUAUGCCGACGGUGAUUGCAUCAACCUUGGAACCAUUUCCCACGCGCAUCGUCACUUCAUCCUUCGCCAGCCUUCGUUUAUUCCGCAGUUCCUACUUCGAGUUGCAAAUAUGAUCAACAGAACCGGUAUCAAAUACCCAGGCACUACUAAGAGAGUUGGUUAAGUACACAUCAAUAACAUGUAUAUCAAAUAUACCUGAUUUUUCCUUGGCUGCCUUCUUAUCAGCCAAAUACUUGCGGCAGUUGCGAUUCUAGUGACCCAGGCCCUUGCAAUAAUAACACUCUGUUUCAGGCUUAGGUCCAACCUUGGGUUUCUUCAUCGGAUUGGCAACAGGCUUGCCGCUCUUCUUGGAGUUACCCUUCUUGUCUUUGUCGUUUCUCUUGAAGCUAGUGGUAUUAUUGACCAUCAACACUUGAUGCUCUUUCCGGAGUUCUGACUCUGCGAUUUUCAGCAUCGCGAUUAACUCGUCGGGUGACUUGUUCAUCCCUUGCAUGUUAUAGUUCAACAAAAAGCUCUUAUAGCUAGGUGGCAGUGAUUCAAGAAUUCUGUCAGUGAUAGCCUCUUGCGGGAGUUCAAUCCCGAGCUCAGCUAGACGGUUUGAGUAACCAUACAUUUUGAGCACAUGUUCACUCACAGACGAAUUCUCCUCCAUCUUGCAAGCAUAGAAUUUAUCGAAGGUCUCAUACCUCUCGAUCCAGGCGUUCUUAUGUAAGAUAAACUUCAACUCCUGGAACAUCUCAUAUGCUCCAUGACGCUCAAAGCCACGUUGAAGUCCCGACUCUAAGCCAUACAAGACUGCACAUUGAACUACUGAGAGGUCCUCCUUACGUGUUAACCAGGCGUUCUUAACAUCUUGGUCAGCCGUAGCGGGUGGUUCAUCUCCUAGCGUAGCAUUAAGGACAUAAUCCUUCUUCCCAGCUUGCAGGAGCAACUUAAGAUUACGAGCCCAACCUACAAAGUUGCUUCCAUCAUCUUUCAACUUAGCUUUCUCUAGGAACGUAUUAAAGUUCAGGGUGACUGUCGCGUGAGCCAUUGAUCUACAACACAAAUUUUGCAAAGUGGACUUAGACUAUGUUUAAGAUAAUUAGAGUUUAACUAAUCAAAUUACUGAUAAACUCCCACUCAAAAAGUACAUCUCUCUAGUAAUUUGAGUGGUACAUGAUCCAAAUUCACUAACUCAAGUCUGAUCAUCACGUGAGUUGAGAAUAGUUUCAGUGAUAAACAUCUCUAUGCUAACCAUAUCAACUAUACGAUUCAUGCUCGACCUUUCGGUCUCAUGCGUUCCGAGUCCAUGUCUGCACAUUCUAGGCUCGUCAAGUUUAACCCGACUGUUCCGUGUAUGGAACUGUUUUGCACCCGUUGUAUGUGAACGUUGAGUCUAUCACACCCGANNNNNNNNNNNNNNNNNNNNNNNNNNNNNNNNNNNNNNNNNNNNNNNNNNNNNNNNNNNNNNNNNNNNNNNNNNNNNNNNNNNNNNNNNNNNNNNNNNNNUUAAGUCUUCUCUGCUACUAAGACAUGCAAAAUUUACCACAUAAGCGAGUUAUGCUUUAACUUAUAAUUAAAUUAUUUUUGCAUUAGUCUAUGGAUGUGACGUCGACACAUCAUAUAUUAAUUUUAGUAUCUUAACAUUUUUGUUCGAAAUAACAUUUUUAACUAUAAUUCAAAAGUUUGUAUUCUAUUUUAGACACGUUUUUUAUUGAUUUUUAAGCUUAUAUUUUUUCAUUAGUUUUAGCAACUACUUACACAUUUCUUCAACAAAGUUGCAACAGCAACCCGCGAGGACAGAGUCAUCCUCACUACUCGCGUCCAAUUUUUCCUCAAUGAAGAAAACACUUGCGUAGACAACUCCAAGGAAGUUUGAACUCACAUUAUGUUACAUAUGCUGCAAAACUAUUUUUGCAACAAUAAACUAAUCAAGUAUAAUAAAUCUCAUAUUAUUGUAUUUUCAUGCUCAUAUGAUUAAUUUUAAUAUUCAUGUUCCACAUAAGUAGGUUUCAUCUAAACAUAUUGCAAAAAAUUCCCGCAACAGCGCGCGGAGAAUUGUCUACUUAUCUUAAUAUGCNNNNNNNNNNNNNNNNNNNNNNNNNNNNNNNNNNNNNNNNNNNNNNNNNNNNNNNNNNNNNNNNNNNNNNNNNNNNNNNNNNNNNNNNNNNNNNNNNNNNUCGUUUCGCCCGGAAAAAAUCAGAGAGAAGGAUUCAUCGUGUUUUACGAUACAGAGGCGCCGCCACCUCCUGUUCUUCAUCUGGAGGGCAGGUCUGGAGUCCGUUCUAGGCUCCGGAGAGGGGAAAUCGUCGCCAUCGUCAUCAUCAACCUUCCUCCAUCGCCAAUUCCAUGAUUCUCUUCACCGUUCGUCAGUAAUCUCAUCGUAGGCUUGCUAGACGGUGAUGAGUUCGAUGAGAUCUAUCAUGUAAUCGAGUUAGUUUUGACGGGGAUUGAUCCCUAGUAUCAACUAUGUUCUGAGAUUGAUGUUGCUACUACUUGGCUAUGCUUAAUGCUUGUCACUAGGGCCCGAGUGACAUGAUUUCAGAUCUGAACCUAUUACGUUGUCGCCAAGAUAUGUGUGUUUUAGAUCCUAUCUUGCAAGUUGUAGUCACCUACUAUGUGUUAUGACCCGGCAACCCCGGAGUGACAAUAGCCGGAACCACUUCCGGAGAUGACCAUAGUAUGAGGAGUUCAUGUAUUCACCACGUGUUAAUGCGUUGGUCCGACUCUUUAUUAAAAGGAGAAACUUAAUAUCCCGUAGUUUCCAUUAGGACCCCGCUGCCACGGGAGGGAUNNNNNNNNNNAUUUGUCCGGUUCUUUAUUAAAAGGAGAACCUUAAUAUCCCGUAGUUUCCAUGAGGACCCCGCUGCCACGGCAGGGAUGGACAAUAGAUGUUAUGCAAGUUCUUUUCCCUAAGCACGUAUGACUACAUACGAAAUACAUGCCUACAUUAGAUUGACGAACGGGAGCUAGUUACUUAUCUCUCCGUGUUAUAGUUGUUACAUGAUGAAUAACAUCCGACAUACUCAUCCAUCACCGAUCCACUGCCUACGAGUCUUUUACUACUGGNNNNNNNNNNNNNNNNNNNNNNNNNNNNNNNNNNNNNNNNNNNNNNNNNNNNNNNNNNNNNNNNNNNNNNNNNNNNNNNNNNNNNNNNNNNNNNNNNNNNUGAAAGAUCCAAGAACUGAAAUCUUGCCUUCCACUACGAGGACACGUACGAAACUGCCAUCUAGCUCUGCACGUGAUUCACCUUCAGUUAUAAGUAAGUUUGCGACAUCUCCUCAUGCUAGAAAUCUUGAUAUGUCGCCUGUGCUUGAUGAUGCUAUGCUUGAUACUAUGCCUGAUGAUGCUAUGCCCGAUACUGCUUUGCCUGAUGAUGCUAUGCUUGAUACUGCUUUUCCACUAGGUGCAUUCCUUGAUGCACAAAUUGCUAGAGUUGCUGCUAGAUAUGAUGAUACUUCUGAAAUUGAUGAUACUAUUGAAGUAGAACCUGCUACUAUGCCUGAAUUGCCUGUUAUGCCUGAGCGUUAUGUUAUGGAGGGAGAGAUAGCUGAGGAUUUUCUUGUGUGUAAGGAUAGCUAUGAUGUUGAGAAACUACUGCUCAAGUGGAAAGAAAAAUCUCUGUACGCUAGGAUGAAAUACGACCCGAAGUUUGCUACUUCGCCUAUCUUUGUGACCGAUAAGGAUUACGAAUUCUCUGUCGACCCUGAGUUAAUCACUUUGGUCGAAUCUGAUCCUUUUCACGGUUAUGAGUCUGAAAUGGUUGUAGCCCAUCUUACCAAACUGCACGAUAUAGCCACCCCAUUCAGUAGUGAGGAAAAGAUCCGCCACUACUAUAUCCUCAAGCUGUUUCCUUUCUCGCUAAAGGAUGAUGCUAAGACCUGGUUCACUUCUCUUGUUCCUGGUUGUGUGCGUAGCCCCCAGGAUAUGGUCUACUACUUCUCUGAAAAAUAUUUUCCUGCCCAUAAGAACCAAGCUGCCUUGCAGGAAAUAUACAACUUUGCUCAAGCUCAAGAAGAGAGUCUCCCACAAGCUUGGGGGAGGCUCAUCCAGCUACUGAAUGCUUUGCCUGAUCACCCUCUUGAGAAGAAUGAAAUACUUGAUAUCUUCUAUAAUGGACUUACCGAUGCUUCCAAAGACCACCUAGAUAGUUGUGCCAGUUGUGUUUUUAGGGAACGAACUGUAGAACAAGCUGAGAUUCUACUGAAUAACAUCUUGUGCAAUGAGAAUGCUUGGACUAUUCCCGAACGACCUCCUAAGCCAACUCUAACGAAAAGAGGUAUUCUAUUCCUCAGUCCUGAAGAUAUGCAAGAAGCUAAGAAAUCUAUGCGAGAGAAAGGCAUUAAAUCUGAAGAUGUCAAAAAUCUACCACCUAUCGAAGAGAUCCAUGGUCUUGAUAACCCCAUACAGGUAGUAGAAGUAAAUUCUCUAGGCAGGUUUGAUGAGAGUGAUAUUCCUUUUGAUAAACCUGCUAGCUUAUGCCUGGAUGAAUUUGACAACUUUGUUGCCAAACAAAAGAGUUUCAAUGAUUAUGUUAGCAGAAAAUUGGAACAAAAUGCUCGUAUGCUUAGUCAUUUAAGUGCUUGUGUGGACAGAAAUGUCAAUGAACUUAAGCUCCUGAGUAAACAUGCCUCUAUGGUUACCACCCAAGUAGAACAAGUACUUAAAGCUCAAAAUGACUUGCUGAACGAGUUGAAUGACAAUUCUGUCAGAGUCAUCACUAGAGGUGGUAGAAUGACCCAGGAACCUUUGUAUCCCGAGGGUCAUACUAAGAGAAUUGAACAAGAUUCUCGAGGAGUUAGCACUGAUGCACCUAGUCAUCCUAGAAAGAAGAAGAAAGAUGAUAGGAACUUGCACGCUAGCAACCCAGAUGCUGCUACCCCUGAGAGUCCAAACGAUGUCUCUGUCUCUGAUGCUGAAACACAAUCUGGUGAUUAACAUGAGCCUAAUGAUAAUAUCAAUAGUGAUGUUCAUGAAGAUGCUCAACCUAGCAACGAUAAGGAUGUGGAGAUUGAACCUGAUCUAGAUAACCCACAACCUAAGACUAAGAGAUACGAUAAGAAUGACUUCGCUGCUAGGAAGCAUGGUAAAGAAAGGGAAGCAUGGGUUCAUAAACCUAUGCCCUUUCCUCCCAAACCAUCCAAGAAAAAGGAUGAUGAGGAUUUUGAGCACUUCGUUGAAAUGAUCAGACCUGUCUUUCUGCAGAUGCGUUUGACAGAUAUGCUCAAGAUGUCUCCGUAUGCUAAGUACAUGAAAGAUAUUGUGACUAAUAAGAGGAGGAUACCUGAGGUUGAGAUUUCCACCAUGCUGGCUAAUUAUACCUUCAAGGGUGGAACUCCUAAGAAACUAGGUGAUCCCGGUGUGCCCACUAUACCUUGCUCCAUUAAAGGUAACUACGUGAGAACUGCUUUAUGCGAUCUUGGAGCCGGUGUUAGUGUUAUGCCUCUCUCUCUUUAUCAUAGACUUGAACUGGAUAAGUUGACACCCACUGAAAUCUCUCUGCAAAUGGUCGACAAAUCAACUGCUUUCCCUAUCGGCAUUUGCGAGGAUGUACCUGUUGUGGUUGCCAAUGUCACUAUCUUAAUAGACUUUGUUAUUUUGGAUAUUCCUGAGGACGAUGCCAUGGCUGUCAUCCUCGGAAGACCCUUUUUAAACACUAUAGGGGCUGUUAUAGAUUGCAACAAAGGCAAUGUCACUUUCCAUGUCAACGGUAAUGAGCAUACGAUGCACUUUCCGAAGAAACAAUAUCGAGUACAUUGCAUCAAUGCUAUCGAGAAAACUUCAUCGAUUCUUAUCGGGACCUUUGAUUGCCCUAUUCCUCGUGUCAAGAUGAAGUAUGAUUUGCUUGUUGGGGAGAUACACAUCCCCAUUGAGGUGACCUAGUGACUUUUCGAAAAUUCUCCGUUCUCUUUUGCGAUUCGUUUUUUUUUUGCCAAAGAGGCUUGAUCAACCUCACUGACGGAGUUCUUUCGAUGACCAUGAGAUGGAUGAAUCGAGGAGUCACAAACCUCUGUUCCGAGCUUUCACUUUAGGUUGCUUAGAAGAAAAAUGGAAAAUAAAAGUUCUCCGAACGUCUUGAAAAUCAAGUAUGAUUUUUUCUGGAAUUUUUGAAAAAUUCUGGGGCAAAGAGCUUGUCUGGGGGCCACACAAGUGGGUCACAAGCCCUGACGGCGCGGGCACCCCGUUGCCGCGCCACCCAGGCUUGUGGGGGCCCACAGCCACCCCCUCCACUCAUUCUUGCUCUUAUCUAGUUCUCCUACCUCCAGAAAAAAUGGCUUCGUAGCUCAAACCCGUGUUCUUGCUCCUUUUGCUGGGAUUUUCGAUCUCUUUGCUCAAAGCACCGUUCCCCGAACUGUUUUGGGGAAAUUACUCCUUGGUAAGUAACUCCUCCAUUGGUCUAAUUAGUUUUUUCUCUAGUGCCUUAUACUCCGCGUAUUUUUUGCUUCCUUGGUGACCAUGUUCUUGAGCUUUGCAUGCUGAUUUUAGCUCGUCCUAAGUAGUUUUGAUGCGUAAUAUGUUCUCUAGGCAAUUGUGGGAGUAGUUGCUACAAGUUUAGUUGAGCCUUGUUCACCUUUCCUUAGAAUCACUGAAAAUUUUAGAAAAGGAAGAUGUUCAGGAGAAACUUUCAUGGUGGUUCCUCAAGCAAGAGAGGUCCCCGUCUUGCGAUUCAGGAGCCUGAUCAUUACCAACCAAGGGACGCGCAGGUAGAACCAUGUGAAUGGCCUUUUGAUGAAUUUAUGAUUGAGGCAGGUUUCAAAGAUGAGUUUGAUGCACUUGUUCACAACGUCGGACUCGAAGAAUUCAUAUCCGAUAAAUGUGAACAGUAUGUUGCUCUCACUGGCUCUUUUGUUCGUAGGUUCAAAUUUUCGGUUGGCCGUGACACAUCAGUACUGUUUGAUCUCUAUGACAAAUCGUAUACCAUGGAUUUAGGGGAUUUCAAUAGAAUUUGCAAAAUACCUAUUUGGGGUAGCCUCAGUGAUCCUCCUAAAUCUUAGGUUAGAGAUUUUUUGCUCUCGUAUUACUGUUGGAGAAACUAGAGACAUUACGCAAGCUACCAUGGGGAGUAUUCAUUUUCCUGCCUUGCAUUACUUUGCCCUCUUCAUAGGCAGAUGCAUUAAUGGCAAGAUUGAGCAUUGUCACCUCUACACAUCCGACCUUAGUAUCCUUAAGAGCGCAGUAACGGGUGAUAAAAUUUUCAACAUGGGAGCUAUAAUAACAAGGAGGCUGAAUAAGAAUGCUAAUGAAGGGGAUUUCUUUGGUGGGAUCUAUGCCACUCGCAUAGCAAAUUUUCUUGGAGUACCCAUCCGCGAAGGAGAUCCCCCGCUCCAUACAUCUUUCCUUGACCGCGUCGCUUUGACAUGCUACCAGUUCCUUGAGAGGGAUGACGAAUCCCUCCUAUACCGUUUGAUUUUUAACCGGCAGCGUGUUUUCCAUAUUACCCUUCCUGCUCCUGCCUUCUUUGACUUUCAGGUAAAAUGAAGAUAUUACAUAACCAGAGGAGUAUGAGAGGGAGGCAAAGGCUGCUCGUCUCCAUGAGGCAGCUAUUCAGGCAGUGGUUGCAGCGCUCCCAUCUAACCCCCAUUAUGAUUUUGGGUUUUGCCAGGAUCAUCCUUGGGAGUAGACCAACUUAGGCCAAAAGCCUAAGCUUGGGGGAGUACGUGUUCUCACCGACUUUACAUUCUUGCUUAUGCUUUCACUUUGUUAGCCGGUGUUCACACUUUGCCACUGUAUUAUCCAUGCUAGUUUAUUUUCCUUUUUCCCGUUUUCGUUUAGUGUGUCUGUCUAAUUUGAAGAAAACCCAAAAAUAUUUUCUUUUUCUUCUUUUGCUUGUUGGGAGCUUUCUUGUGUAAAUAGUUUUCUUUUUCUUUGGGUCAAGGUAGAAGACCAUGGUUACAAUAUUUAGUGGCUCUCGCAUGCAUACCUGUUUAACUGUCAAAGAGCCAUAUUACUUUGUCUUCUCCUUUAUGUUUGCCUGCAGAUUCCAGCGUAGUCCAAUGCACAAGCACUCUUAUUAUUGUUCACAUCAUUCGGUCGUGCAAGUGAAAUGCAAUAGUGACGAUAUAUGAUGAAGUGACUGAGCCUGGAAAAGCUAGCAUGAACUCGAUCUAUUUUGUUUUUGUAAAUAUGACUAGCUCAUCAUGCCUGAUUUAGCUUUGUUGUGAGAGAAACAUGUUUGCAGUGACAACUUAGAGAUCAUAGUUGCUUAUGCCAUGCUUACUUAGCUAGGANNNNNNNNNNGAGGGGCUGUUAUAGAUUGGAACAAAGGCAAUGUCACUUUCCAUGUCAACGGUAAUGAGCAUACAGUGCACUUUCCGAUGAAACAAUAUCGAGUACAUUGCAUCAAUGCUAUCGAAAAAACUUCAUCAAUUCUUAUUGGGAGCUUUGAAUGCCCUAUUCCUCGUGUCAAGAUGAAGUAUGAUUUGCUUGUUGGGGAGAUACACAUCCCCAUUGAGGUGACCUAGUGACUAUUAAAGAAUUCUUCGUUCUCUUUUUGCGAUUCGAAAAAGUUUGUCAAAGAGACUUGAUCAACCUCACUGACGGAUUUCUUUCGAUGACCAUGAGAUGGAUGAAUCGAGGAGUCACAAAUCUCUGUUUUAAGCUUUCACCUUCGGUUUCUUAGAAGAAAAAUGAUAGAUUUAGUUUAGUUUUCCCUAUUUUCUGUUUUAGCGUCCGGUAGAAAAGUACCCCGAAAAUAAAAGUUCUCCGAACGUCCUGAAAAUCAAGUAUGAUUUUUUGUGGAAUUUUUGAAAAAUUCUGAGACAAAGAGUUUGUCUAGGGCCCACACCAGUGGGCCACAAGCCCUAGGGGCGCCGGCACCCCCCUGGCCGCGCCACCGAGGCUUGUGGGGCCCACAGGCACCCCUCCACUCAUUCUUGCUCUCAUCUGGUUCUCCUACCUCCAGAAAAAAAUCGUUUCGCAGCUAAAACCCGUGUUCUUGCUCCUCUUGUUGGGAUUUUCGAUCUCUUUGCUCAAAUCACCAUUCUCCGAACUAUUUUGGGGAAAUUACUCCUUGGUAAGUGACUCCUCCAUUGGUCCAAUUAGUUUUUGCUCUAGUGCCUUAUACUUCGCGUAUUUUUUCUGCCUUGGUGACCAUGUUCUUGAGUUUUGCAUGCUAAUUUUAGUUGGUCCCAAGUAGUUUUGAUGCAUAAUAUGGCCUCUAUGCACUUGUGGGAGUAGUUGCCACAAGUUUAGUUGAGCAUUGUUCACUCUUCCUUAGAAUCACUAAAAAUUUCAGAAAUUUUCAGAGACAGAGAAAGGGAAAAGAUGAGGAGGUUCUUAAGAGGCUCGUCAAGCCGUGACCCCAAGGAUGAUGGGAGUGAGAAGAAGCCCAAGUAUAUGGUCCCUCGAGUCGCGGAAGUUCGAGCGUGCGAGUGGCCAAGCGACGUGUUCUUACGUGCCGCUGUAAUUUAUGAGGACUUUUACCACUUGGUGGAGAACGCAGGCCUUACCGCCUUCGUUGAAGAUAAGUGUCCGCAAUACCUCCUCUUCACUAAUAUCUUCGUACAAAGCUUUAACUUCUAUCCAAGGAAGAAUCCUCCUAUGGUUGAGUUUAAACUUUAUGAUAUCCCCCAGCGCAUGUCACUCUAGGAUUUUUGCAAUGUUUGCAAACUACCUUACGUUGGGGAUAUGCAUGAACCUCGUCCACGUGACUUGGAAGCUUUCAUCGGUACUAUUUCUGUAGGAGAGGAGAGAGGACUGUCUUGCGCUAGAGCUGCUAGCAUUCAUUUUCCCAUGCUUCGGUACUUCUCAUUAUUUGUGGGAAAAUGUUUGAUUGGCCAUGGGAAGUCUGGGUCACUUAGUUCCCCAGAUCUUGCGGUCUUGCGUGAAGCCCUUUAUAAUGAUAAAACUUAUAGCUUGGGCGCUAUAGUAGCUCAACGGUUGAACCUGAACUGUUCUAAAGGUGUUGUCUUUGGAGGUAUCUAUGCUACCCGUCUUGCGAGACACUUUGAGAUACCCAUUAGACUAGAGGAGGAAGAAGAGGUUCUUCUUCCCGAGUGAUAUCUAGAUUACGAUAGCAUGGUUCGCCAUGACUUUCUUGAUAGAGAUAUAAAUAGAAGGAUGAUUUGUAACCUGGUAUUUAGUCAGGGUACUCGUGAGACUAUUACUUUGCGUGCUCCUUCUUUGUUCAAUCUUCAUGCAGACAGGUACAUCAUUAUGCCCUCGGACAUCUAAGCAUAUUGGGGCUUAGCCAACCACAUGUGUCCGUGCCCGAGCCACCGGUCGAGUACCAGACGCCAGUUUAUCAGUGGGAGCCAGAGGAGCUCACACAGCAGUGGCACCCUCAGUCCACUCCGGAGUACCCCGGAGCUGGUUAUUUCCCUCCUUGGGAGUAGACCAACUUAGGCCAAAAGCCUAAGCUUGGGGGAGUACGUUUUCUCACCGACUUUACAUUCUUGCUUAUGCUUUCACUUCGUUAGCCGGUGUUCACACUUCGCCACUGUAUCAUCCAUGCUAGUUUAUUUUCUUUUUCUCGUUUUCGUUUCGUGUGUGUGUCUAGUUUGAGAAAACCCAAAAAGAUGUUCUUUUCUUCUUUUGCUUGUUGGGAGCUUUCCCGUGUAGAUAGUUUUCUUUUUCUUUGGGUCAAGGUAGAAGAUAUUGGUUACAAUGUUUAGUGGCUCUUGCAUGCAUACCUGUUUAGCUUUCAUAGAGCCAUAUUACUUUGUCUUCUCCUUUGUGUUUGCCUGCAAAUUCCAACGUAGUCCAAUGCACAAGCACUCUUAUUAUUGUUCACAUCGUUCGGUCGUUCAAGUGAAAGGCAAUAAUGACGAUAUAUGAUGAAGUGACUGAGCCUGGAAAAGCUGGUAUGAACUCGAUCUAUUUUGGUUUUGUAAAUAUGACUAGCUCAUCAUGCCUGAUUCAGCUUUGUUGUGAGAGAAACAUGUUUGCAACGACAACUUAGAGAUCAUAGUUGCUUAUGCCAUGCUUACUUAGCUAGGAGCUUAUAAUGGUUUGUCUUGGUUGCCAACAUGAAUGUUGAGAUGACUAUGAUGUAGUAUGAUAGGAUGGUAUCCUCCUUUGAAUGUUUCAAGUGGCUUGACUUGGCGCAUGUUCACGCAUGUAGUUGAAACAAAAUCAACAUAGCCUCUAUGAUGUUCAUGUUCAUGGUGAUUUAUGUCCUACUCAUGCUUGCACUCAAUGUUAGUUAAUCUCAAUGCAUUUUGAUGACUGUUAUCGCUCUCUAGUUGGUCGCUUCCCAGUCUUUUGCUAGCCUUUUUUUGUACUAAGCGAGAAUACUGCUUGUGCAUCCACCUCCAUAAACCCAAAGUUGUUCCAUACGAGUCCACCAUACCUACCUAUAUGCGGUACCUACCCGCCGUUCCAAGUAAAUUUGCAUGUGCCACUCUCUAAAUCUUCAAGAAAUAAUCUGUUUUGCGUGCCCGAACAGCUCAUGUGGUGACAGGGGGCUAUCAGUAUCUUCCGUGCUAGGCAUGUUAUCCUCGAUAUGUGUUUAUUCACUAUCAUUCACGAGAAAGGGGCCGAUAAUUGGAAUUCCCAGUUCCAUGCUCAAAUCGAAAAGAUAAUUGCAAACAAAACUCCCCCAGGAUUGAUGUUGGUAUGGACGGUACCCGAGGAUUCGNNNNNNNNNNGUCGCUCUCUAGUUGGUCGCUUCCCAGUCUUUUGAUAGCCUUCACUUGUACUAAGCGGGAAUACUACUUAUGCAUCCACCUCCAUAAACCCAAAGUUGUUCCAUAUGAGUCCACCAUACCUACCUAUGUGCGGUAUCUACCUGCCGUUCCAAGUAAAUUUGCAUGUGCCAUUCUCUAAACCUUCAAGGAAUAAUCUGUUUUGCAUGCCCGAACCGCUCAUGUGGUGACAGGGGGCUAUUAGUAUCUUCCAUGCUAGGCGUGUUAUCCUCGAUAUGUGUUUAUUCACUAUCCAUGCCCAAAUCGAAAAGAUAAUUGCAAAGAAAACUCCCCCAGGAUUGAUGUUGGUAUGGACGGUACCCGAGGAUUCGGCUAGCCGUGGAGUGUGAUUGAUUGGUGGUCGGGGAGUCAAAACUUUACUUUUCUGUUUGGGAACCGCCUAUAGCAUGUGUAGCGUGGAACAUGUUGAGAACUCUUAGUCAUUGCAUUGACAAUGAAAGCAUGCCACCCAAAAUUAUUAUCUCUGUUUUCAAAGCUCGAGCUCUCGCACGUCUGCAAAUCAAUGCUUCCCUCUGCGAAGGGUCUGUCUAUUUAUGUUCCUGUUGAGUCAUCCUCCUCUUACAAAAGCACCAAUUAGAGAGCACCUCUGUCAUUUUUAUGCUUUGCUUUUAAAUGUGUUGAGUAUGACUAUGACUAGAUCUUCAUUGCCAUGAGUUACAAUGUUUAGUCAGCCCUUGGUCUUUGAAGGUGCUUUGCAUUUAUGUUUUGCGGUCUUAGAAAGAGCUAGCGAGAUACGAUCUAUUCGUACUACUUCAUGUUGUUUUGAUUGAAGUGUUGACAUUUGAGGCUUAUUAUUAUNNNNNNNNNNNNNNNNNNNNNNNNNNNNNNNNNNNNNNNNNNNNNNNNNNNNNNNNNNNNNNNNNNNNNNNNNNNNNNNNNNNNNNNNNNNNNNNNNNNNAUCCUCCUCCUUCUCUUCUUCUUCUUCUCUUCUUCUUCUUCUUCCUUCCUUUCAUUUUUCCUCUUUCUUCUCCUCUUGUCCCCUUCUUCGGGCUAAAUUAGCUAAGAAUGCCUUUUUGGAGCUAAUUAUGUCAUUUCGAGGAUAAUUANNNNNNNNNNUUCCUUUCAUUUUUCCUCUUUUUCUCUUCUGGUCCCCUUCUUCGGGCUAAAUUGGCUAAGAAUGCCUUUUUGGAGCUAAUUAUGUCAUUUCGAGGAUAAUUAGCUAAGUAUAAGUCAUUUUUUAUUAAAUAGGCCAUUUUGGAGCUAACUAAGCUAAUUAUGUCAUUUCGUAGGACAAUUGGCCAAUUUAGCCUUUCUUGGAUGAGUCUAAGCUACGUAGAAGAAGAGAUAGAGAAGAAGAAGUAAAAUAAGGAGGAGGAGGAGGAGGAGGAGAAGAAGAAGGAAGAGGAGAAGAAGAAGAAAAGAAGAAGGAGAAGGAGAAGAAGAAGGAGAAGGAGAAGGAGGAAGAAGGAGGAAGAAGAAGGGGAAGGAGGAGCUCGUUCUCCUUCUCCUCCUUCUUCUCCUUCUUCUUCUCCUCCUCCCUCUCCUCCUUCUUCUCNNNNNNNNNNUUAUUAAAACACUAGAAAUAACAUACCUAAGUUAGGGUGAAGCACGGUGGCUCUAGCUUGUUUCACCUGGAGAAGGCUGCCCUGGAGAAGGCUCGACUGUAGAAGGGUCAUGCGAUGCGUUUCGGGACAUAUUCUGCACCAAACAUCGUUUGCAAUGUGUAGUUAGCAUGAGGACACUCUUAAGAUCACUCCACUGAAAUGAAACUCACCGUCCCCGCCACGUUAAUGACUGGCNNNNNNNNNNNNNNNNNNNNNNNNNNNNNNNNNNNNNNNNNNNNNNNNNNNNNNNNNNNNNNNNNNNNNNNNNNNNNNNNNNNNNNNNNNNNNNNNNNNNGAUCCUCUGAAGCAUCAGGUUGCCUCGAGAAUAAUUUCCCUCAAUGGGCAGGAUUGACGCCCUCCCUUGAUUUAUUGACAAUUUUGAUUUAGGAUCAGUCAAUAUUAUCACAUCGCUUCUUGGCAUUGACACCUACAGAGUUCUAUAAAUAAGAUCAGAAGUUAAACAAACAACCACGCAAUCGACUAUGAAGGAAGACCAUGUGUUACUUCUACUUUUUGAGGAUUCAAUUUAAUAUGCCAGAAGGCUACAAAAAAUGCUACAUAAAAAAGGGAGGAGGGGAAUCACAGUGGUAUCAGUGUUCUAUUUUACAGUAUUCACUGUAAUUUCUUCUCUAUCUCUACUACCAUUGAACUGCUCUCAGUAUUCUCUUAGCUGACAUUGAUUAUUAAUUAUUCCCAACAUGAUAAUAAAUUGAAUUAUAUUCAUAGUCAGUAAGUUAGUUGCCAGCACAAACAAGAGGAAAAGGAAGAUCCACCUGUAUGAAGCUGAUGAAAGUGUUAAGAAUGGCCAUGGACCUCUCCUCCUUGCCAUAAGAAUGCUUUCCAACAGUUAGAGCAUCGGAUGACCGUUUGCCAGCCCCAGCUGGGUCAGAACUGUAUGUUGUGAAUACUGUAACAAAAGAAACAUGUUCCCCAGGUUCACUUGAUGCACCUAUCUUAUUCACAGCUUUAAGUCCUGAAGGAAAUGGUAAAAUGUAGUCAGUAGAUACANNNNNNNNNNNNNNNNNNNNNNNNNNNNNNNNNNNNNNNNNNNNNNNNNNNNNNNNNNNNNNNNNNNNNNNNNNNNNNNNNNNNNNNNNNNNNNNNNNNNUUCCGAUCUUGGGAUCGAGGGCCCGAAUUGGAAAGGAGCGCAUCUAAGCGUCUCGCAAACAAGGUAUCAUCGCACAUACAUAAAUAAUAAUAGAAUGACAAUUAGGGAUUCAAUUGCCAUCUCAUAAAUAUACCAGAGUACAUCACGCAUACAACCAAAGUAGUUCCGCUAUGGACUACAAACAUGGGAGUGUGGUGCACGUGUGUAUAUGUGUGCACAUGGUGAUGUGCAAGUGUUUGUGUGGAGAUNNNNNNNNNNCUAUUCUUUUCUUACCUGUCCAGUAUUUGUAAUGGUGAUGACAAACAUGGGAGUGUGGUGCAUGUGUGUAUAUGUGUGCACAUGGUGAUGUGCAAGUGUUUGUGUGGAGAUGCUAGCAUAAGCAUGUGCUUGUAGAUGCAUGAAGUGGAGUUACUAGUGUAGGUUGUGUUAUAUUUGCAGGCUUGCAAUCUCAAUGGUUUGUUAGGUUGCUGCACUAUAUUUCUUGUGUAGUGAUUUUAUAAGAUUUAGAGGAGUGUGAUUGUGUGUGUAGAUGGUCUCUCCCUCACCACAUAUAUUUUGGUAUGUGUGAUCUUGUUCUAGUGAUGAUUGCUAUGAUAACAUGUGUAGGUAUGUGUUUUGAUCAAGAGCAUGAUCUGGUUGUGGGUUAUGUGGAGUAGAUGUGUGUGUGAUAAGCAUCCCACCUUUGCAAGCAAACUAUGCACCUUCACACGACCAUAUGUGAGAGGGCAUGGUGUUUUGUGUGUGUGGAUAGCUAGGUAGAGGUGCUUGUGAUGUUGAUGUCUUAUGACACACAUACAUGGGGUCAAAACCCUAAUGUAACCAUUGGUGUUGUGCACAUGAACAAGCAUCCAUGUAGGAACUGAUCUAGUGAAUGCACAUGAAUGUUGCACUAUUCACUAUAUAGCAAUCUAUGUUGUUUUUCCUUCCUAGUUUGUGAUCACUUGUUCCAAGCAAGUGCAUACAUAUUAUAUAUGAUUUUGAGGUAGAAUAUCCCAAGGAAUACAUUGGUGAACUUAGUUUUUCCAUUGGAACAUUUUAUGGAGAUGGCAUAUUUCAUUUUUCUUGUAUGUUUAGAGCUUGGUUCCAUGAGUUGUGGUGUGCUCUUGUGUUUGAUUCNNNNNNNNNNGGGUAGAAUAUCCGAAGGAAUACAUUGGUGAACUUAGUUUUGCCAUUGGAACAUUUUUUGGAGAUGACAUAUUUCAUUUUUCUUCUACGUUUAGAGCUUGGUUCCAUGAGUUGUGGUGUGCUCUUGUGUUUGAUUCUUGGUUGUGGUAGUAGAGGGUGACCCACUCUACCACAUGUUGGUUUCAAUUCAUGAUUAGGAAUACAUAUGUACAAGUUGUGCCCAAUCAAAGUAGGCUUGUGGCUGAAAUUCCAGAUUAGUGAAAAUCUGAGAUUUUCACUAAGUCUGANNNNNNNNNNNNNNNNNNNNNNNNNNNNNNNNNNNNNNNNNNNNNNNNNNNNNNNNNNNNNNNNNNNNNNNNNNNNNNNNNNNNNNNNNNNNNNNNNNNNAUAAUACUGCUAAUUCUACUGCAAGGAAAUACAAAAAACUAAUCUGGUUUAUUUUAUUGUCAUACAGCUGUUCCUGGUUUACCUCUUAUUGGAAAUCUGCACCAGUUAAAAGAGAAGAAGCCCCAUAAGACCUUUGCAAAAUGGUCUGAUAUUUAUGGGCCAAUANNNNNNNNNNNNNNNNNNNNNNNNNNNNNNNNNNNNNNNNNNNNNNNNNNNNNNNNNNNNNNNNNNNNNNNNNNNNNNNNNNNNNNNNNNNNNNNNNNNNNNNNNNNNNNNNNNNNNNNNNNCUUCAUCUGUAGCUGUGCUCAACUCUUCUGAAGUAGCCAAGGAGGUAAUACGGAAAUUUUCAUUUCUUUUUUCUUUUCUUAAUUCACUUGUUAAUGUACUUUUAGGUUCUACUACAAAAUAUAUUCUCUUACACUUUUGGGUAAUUGUGGCAACUUGGGAUUUUACUCUUCUGAUUGAUUUUUUCAUUUACUCUGUAUGCUUAUGUUGGCAUUAUCUUAGCGAAUUUUCUUUUAAAUGGAAGUAUAAUAAUUCAAACCUAGAUAAAAGAGUUCAUUUUCAUCCCAUAAAUUGAACUUCAGAGCUUAUAUAAUCAGUAUUCUAACGAGUUUUCUACAAAAACAGAGGACUUAAACAAGUUAUGAACUGACCUCUUUCCCCCAUGAACUACCCAGAAAAAUAUAUUACGCUACANNNNNNNNNNNNNNNNNNNNNNNNNNNNNNNNNNNNNNNNNNNNNNNNNNNNNNNNNNNNNNNNNNNNNNNNNNNNNNNNNNNNNNNNNNNNNNNNNNNNUAGUUUAUCCUUUCAAAUAUUACAAAUAAAUAUAUUAAAAACAUAUUUUACAUAAAAACUUGAAAAUAAAUUAUCCAAUCAAGUGGAAAAUGUUAAAUAUGUAUAUAAAAAUAUUUCUAUUUUAUAGGAAAAAUGCAUAAAAAUAAUGUCUAUGAAUAUUCUUGAUAACUUGUUGGAAAACAUUUAAUCAUUCAUUUGAAAAGAAUUUUAAACAAGUGUUUGUAAAGUGUUAAUCAAGCAUUUGAAAAAUGUAAGUUCUUAAAAAAUAUUGACCAUGUAUGAAAAAAAAACAAGCAUUUGAAAAAUGUUAAAUGUGUUUAUAAAAGAUGUUAAUGAUGUGUUUUCAAAUAAUUAAUCUUGUACUCGAAGAAUGCUAAGCAAACAUUUUUGUGUACGUAAAAAAUAUUAAUCAUGUUUUUCAAAAAGGUUAAUAAAAUAAUAAUAAAGGUGCUAAAUAUCUAUAGAAAAUUCAUCAAAUAAGUUAAAAAAUAAUGUUAAUUAUAUAUUUGAAGUUAUUAAAAGUGUAUACAAAAACUAUUUUUGAUGUAUAAGAAAACUAUUGAAUUUGUACUGAAAAAGGUUAACCCAUAUUGAGAAAAAAAUGAUGAAAAAUAAAUUAAAAGCAAAUGAAAACCAAUGGAUAAUUAACCGAUGGAUUAGAAAAUAAAUAAAAGAAAAAACCAAUGGAGCGAGAGAAAGAAACACAUAGAAACGAAGAUAAUCUGAAANNNNNNNNNNNNNNNNNNNNNNNNNNNNNNNNNNNNNNNNNNNNNNNNNNNNNNNNNNNNNNNNNNNNNNNNNNNNNNNNNNNNNNNNNNNNNNNNNNNNNNNNNNNNNNNNNNNNNNNNNNNNNNNNNNNNNNNNNNNNNNAGCAAAGUGUGAAUAAGACAUAGGUGAAACAAAGGAAAAACAAAACAACUUAGAGAAAAUUGAAAAAGAAAAAUAACAAAGAAAAAAGAAAAGAAAGUCCAACCAACAAAGCGAUCGACCGCUCACAAGUGAACUUCUCGUGUCUAUGGCGUGACAAAAUUGACCUUAUUGGCAUGGACACCGACGUCAUUAAUAUGAGGCCACUGUUAAAAAAUAAUGUUGGUGUUGGAGACGACGCCACGUGGCUAACGCGAGCAGUAAUAUAUGUCAAUAGUCGCAUUGCAUUAGUUCAACGCAGGGAAUCUAUCGUUUGGCUUUCUCUCGUCUAUGGUUGUCCUCAUUGAUGUUAGUCUUUCACACAUUUGUGUCUUUCUUUUCCAUCAUUAUUUUAUUUGUCAUCCUAAGUGCCAACAUAUCUUGCUUACGCUCAUCCAUUGCAUGAGUGCUCAAAAUCAAAAGGGAGAGGAUCAUUUUGACUUGUACCUGACUAGUGGUCUUGAGAUGAGNNNNNNNNNNNNNNNNNNNNNNNNNNNNNNNNNNNNNNNNNNNNNNNNNNNNNNNNNNNNNNNNNNNNNNNNNNNNNNNNNNNNNNNNNNNNNNNNNNNNAGAAAUAUUACUGCAUGCAACCAUCUAUGUGCGUUGUUUUCUUCAGAAGACUGAUAUGUUUGUCUUUCUGGUCCAUAUGUAGGCCUUUCUAGAGCUAAAACUUGAGGAGGUUCACUGUGUGAAUUGUGUUCGUCAUUUUGUUUUCACUGAUUCUGAUAUGGCAGUGGUUGAGGAUCUUGGACAUAUCUUCACGAGCUAUCCUCAUUGGCACCUUGCUCUUACGUUUCGUAAUAACAAAGGCCAGCCCUUGAACUCUGGAUUUGUAGCUGUCAGAGGGACCAGAGAUGGCAUCUCUAAGUAAGUGAACAUCUAUGAAGCAGAUCUUGGUAUGAAAACUUGGCAUUGCAUUAAAUAAUUCCUUCAUUUGCUUUUAGGGCUAUUGAAUUCUUCAACGAAGUUCUUAAAGCAUACAAUCUAAAGUAUAUGAAGGCAUCCCGCAUGCUUGGUGAUCAGUUAGCACUGGCAUGGGUUGUGAAGUCUUACCUACCAUCAGCCUUUGGGAAUUUUUCUAGGCAUGGAACAUUUGCUGGNNNNNNNNNNNNNNNNNNNNNNNNNNNNNNNNNNNNNNNNNNNNNNNNNNNNNNNNNNNNNNNNNNNNNNNNNNNNNNNNNNNNNNNNNNNNNNNNNNNNGAGCAUCCCUGCAGGGUUUAAUCUUUCGGAAAGUCGUGCCCGCGGUUAUGUGGCAACUUGGAAUAUUUUGUUAACAUCCGGUAUUAGAUAACUUAAACAAAAGCUAAUAAAAUUGCGAACCGUGUGCGUAACCGUGACUGUCCCCUCGAAGAUCUCUCUUCGAUCGGGAACACGGUGGGGUUAUGUUCGAUGUAGGUAGGUGUUCAGGAUCACUUAGUGAUCAAGUAUAAUCGACCGCUAGCAUAGACCACCUUCAUUAUGUUCUACGUAAGAUAGCCACCAAAUCAAGCUUAGGAUGCUGGAACCUUAAACACUCCACCUAUCCAACCUAUUAACUUGACUAGUUAUGUCACCAAGGUCUUAGAUUGCUGAGUCCCCGUGGCUCAUGGAUUCCUCCACAAUACCAAUAGGUUCAGGUACCCCAGAGACAGGUGAUCCCGACGGCACGCAGCUGGCGUGGCAGUACGAUGAGGAGACCGACCGCGUGUAUGUGAACUAUCCAGAAGAUUGAGGCGUGGUCGUGAUCAUGGGCCAGCAGNNNNNNNNNNNNNNNNNNNNNNNNNNNNNNNNNNNNNNNNNNNNNNNNNNNNNNNNNNNNNNNNNNNNNNNNNNNNNNNNNNNNNNNNNNNNNNNNNNNNUGUUGCCACUUGUCCAGCGGUACACUUGCUGAUUUUGGGGGCCUGUUGAUAUAUCCAGUAUUUUUUUAUUGAGUAUGGUAACAUGCCAAAUCUGAUAUGAUGUUCUUAGGUUGUCCAUUUCAAAGGUUCAAGAAAGCGUUUGAUGCUAGAGGCAUGGGAUUUCUACAAUUCAACCUCUCAAUUAUCUGAUAUGUUGUGCCUAAUCUUGAAGAGUGGCAGAACAAAAUAUGACUUCUGAACCUUCUGUUCCACAAUGAAGUUACAUCUGGUACUCUUUCUCUCCCUAUAGACAUCACAGGCUGGUCCAGCAUUUUGUGCUUUAUUUUCCUUCAUCUUAGUUCAUUCAGCACAAUUAGGGCUUGUUCAGUUGCAAGAGUUUUGAAGGAGCUUGUUGAAAGGUUUAACCGGACAAGGCCUUGGUAGUCUUUGUUGACAUUUUAUUUUAUGGAAGAAAAACAAAAGGAUUUAGUUCAUAUUCACGAAGCCCUAGAUUUUUGGGGCGGAUUUCUGCUUUUGCUCAGCCCCUGCAUGUGUAAUGCUUUAUGUAUGGCUUUCUACGAAGCGUGCUUUGCUCUAAAACAAGCUUGUCUUCNNNNNNNNNNNNNNNNNNNNNNNNNNNNNNNNNNNNNNNNNNNNNNNNNNNNNNNNNNNNNNNNNNNNNNNNNNNNNNNNNNNNNNNNNNNNNNNNNNNNGGUCUCACGGUAAACUCAUAUCAAUGGCAUAAUCAACUAGCGAGCAAAUAAUAAUAAGCCUCAAAUGUCAACACUUCAAUCAAAACAACAUGAAGUAGUACGAAUAGAUCGUAUCUCGCUAGCUCUUUCUAAGACCGCAAAACAUAAAUGCAAAGCACCUUCAAAGACCAAGGGCUGACUAAACAUUGUAACUCAUGGCAAUGAAGAUCUAGUCAUAGUCAUACUCAACACAUUUAAAAGCAAAGCAUAAAAAUGACAGAGGUGCUCUCUAAUUGGUGCUUUUGUAAGAGGAGGAUGACUCAACAGGAACAUAAAUAGACAGACCCUUCGCAGAGGGAAGCAUUGAUUUGCAGACGUGCGAGAGCUCGAGCUUUGAAAACAGAGAUAAUAAUUUUGGGUGGCAUGCUUUCAUUGUCAAUGCAAUGACUAAGAGUUCUCAACAUCUUCCACGCUACACAUGCUAUAGGCGGUUCCCAAACAGAAAAGUAAAGUUUUGACUCCCCCACCACCAAUCAAUCACACUCCACGGCUAGCCGAAUCCUCGGGUACCGUCCAUACCAACAUCAAUCCUGGGGGAGUUUUGUUUGCAAUUAUCUUUUCGAUUUGAGCAUGGAACUGGGAAUUCCAAUUAUCGGCCCCUUUCUCGUGAAUGAUAGUGAAUAAACACAUAUCGAGGAUAACAUGCCUAGCACGGAAGAUACUGAUAGCCCCCUGUCACCACAUGAGCUGUUCGGGCACGCAAAACAGAUUAUUUCUUGAAGAUUUAGAGAGUGGCACAUGCAAAUUUACUUGGAACGGCGGGUAGGUACCGCAUAUAGGUAGGUAUGGUGGACUCGUAUGGAACAACUUUGGGUUUAUGGAGGUGGAUGCACAAGCAGUAUUCUCGCUUAGUACAAAAAAAGGCUAGCAAAAGACUGGGAAGCGACCAACUAGAGAGCGAUAACAGUCAUCAAAAUGCAUUGAGAUUAACUAACAUUGAGUGCAAGCAUGAGUAGGACAUAAAUCACCAUGAACAUGAACAUCAUAGAGGCUAUGUUGAUUUUGUUUCAACUACAUGCGUGAACAUGCGCCAAGUCAAGCCACUUGAAUCAUUCAAAGGAGGAUACCAUCCUAUCAUACUACAACAUAGUCAUCUCAACAUUCAUGUGGGCAUCCAAGACAAACCAUUAUAAGAUCCUAGCUAAGUAAGCAUGGCAUAAGCAACUAUGAUCUCUAAGUUGUCACUGCAAACAUGUUUCUCUCACAACAAAGCUAAAUCAGGCAUGAUGAGCUAGUCAUAUUUACAAAAACAAAAUAGAUCGAGUUCAUGCUAGCUUUUCCAGGCUCAGUCACUUCAUCAUAUAUCGUCACUAUUGCAUUUCACUUGCACGACCGAAUGAUGUGAACAAUAAUAAGAGUGCUUGUGCAUUGGACUACGCUGGAAUCUGCAGGCAAACAUAAAGGAGAAGACAAAGUAAUAUGGCUCUUUGACAGUUAAACAGGUAUGCAUGCGAGAGCCACUAAAUAUUGUAACCAUGGUCUUCUACCUUGACCCAAAGAAAAAGAAAACUAUUUACACAAGAAAGCUCCCAACAAGCAAAAGAAGAAAAAGAAAAUAUUUUUGGGUUUUCUUCAAAUUAGACAGACACACUAAACGAAAACGGGAAAAAGGAAAAUAAACUAGCAUGGAUAAUACAGUGGCAAAGUGUGAACACCGGCUAACAAAGUGAAAGCAUAAGCAAGAAUGUAAAGUCGGUGAGAACACGUACUCCCCCAAGCUUAGGCUUUUGGCCUAAGUUGGUCUACUCCCAAGGAUGAUCCUGGCAAAACCCAAAAUCAUAAUGGGGGUUAGAUGGGAGCGCUGCAACCACUGCCUGAAUAGCUGCCUCAUGGAGACGAGCAGCCUUUGCCUCCCUCUCAUACUCCUCUGGUUAUGUAAUAUCUUCAUUUUACCUGAAAGUCAAAGAAGGCAGGAGCAGGAAGGGUAAUAUGGAAAACACGCUGCCGGUUAAAAAUCAAACGGUAUAGGAGGGAUUCGUCAUCCCUCUCAAGGAACUGGUAGCAUGUCAAAGCGACGCGGUCAAGGAAAGAUGUAUGGAGCGGGGGAUCUCCUUCGCGGAUGGGUACUCCAAGAAAAUUUGCUAUGCGAGUGGCAUAGAUCCCACCAAAGAAAUCCCCUUCAUUAGCAUUCUUAUUCAGCCUCCUUGUUAUUAUAGCUCCCAUGUUGAAAAUUUUAUCACCCGUUACUGCGCUCUUAAGGAUACUAAGGUCGGAUGUGUAGAGGUGACAAUGCUCAAUCUUGCCAUUAAUGCAUCUGCCUAUGAAGAGGGCAAAGUAAUGCAAGGCAGGAAAAUGAAUACUCCCCAUGGUAGCUUGCGUAAUGUCUCUAGUUUCUCCAACAGUAAUACGAGAGCAAAAAAUCUCUAACCUAAGAUUUAGGAGGAUCACUGAGGCUACCCCAAAUAGGUAUUUUGCAAAUUCUAUUGAAAUCCCCUAAAUCCAUGGUAUACGAUUUGUCAUAGAGAUCAAACAGUACUGAUGUGUCACGGCCAACCGAAAAUUUGAACCUACGAACAAAAGAGCCAGUGAGAGCAACAUACUGUUCACAUUUAUCGGAUAUGAAUUCUUCGAGUCCGACGUUGUGAACAAGUGCAUCAAACUCAUCUUUGAAACCUGCCUCAAUCAUAAAUUCAUCAAAAGGCCAUUCACAUGGUUCUACCUGCGCGUCCCUUGGUUGGUAAUGAUCAGGCUCCUGAAUCGCAAGACGGGGACCUCUCUUGCUUGAGGAACCACCAUGAAAGUUUCUCCUGAACAUCUUCCUUUUCUAAAAUUUUCAGUGAUUCUAAGGAAAGGUGAACAAGGCUCAACUAAACUUGUAGCAACUACUCCCACAAUUGCCUAGAGAACAUAUUACGCAUCAAAACUACUUAGGACGAGCUAAAAUCAGCAUGCAAAGCUCAAGAACAUGGUCACCAAGGAAGCAAAAAAUACGCGGAGUAUAAGGCACUAGAGAAAAAACUAAUUAGACCAAUGGAGGAGUUACUUACCAAGGAGUAAUUUCCCCAAAACAGUUCGGGGAACGGUGCUUUGAGCAAAGAGAUCGAAAAUCCCAGCAAAAGGAGCAAGAACACGGGUUUGAGCUACGAAGCCAUUUUUUCUGGAGGUAGGAGAACUAGAUAAGAGCAAGAAUGAGUGGAGGGGGUGGCUGUGGGCCCCCACAAGCCUGGGUGGCGCGGCAACGGGGUGCCCGCGCCGUCAGGGCUUGUGACCCACUUGUGUGGCCCCCAGACAAGCUCUUUGCCCCAGAAUUUUUCAAAAAUUCCAGAAAAAAUCAUACUUGAUUUUCAAGACGUUCGGAGAACUUUUAUUUUCCAUUUUUCUUCUAAGCAACCUAAAGUGAAAGCUCGGAACAGAGGUUUGUGACUCCUCGAUUCAUCCAUCUCAUGGUCAUCGAAAGAACUCCGUCAGUGAGGUUGAUCAAGCCUCUUUGGCAAAAAAAAAACGAAUCGCAAAAGAGAACGGAGAAUUUUCGAAAAGUCACUAGGUCACCUCAAUGGGGAUGUGUAUCUCCCCAACAAGCAAAUCAUACUUCAUCUUGACACGAGGAAUAGGGCAAUCAAAGGUCCCGAUAAGAAUCGAUGAAGUUUUCUCGAUAGCAUUGAUGCAAUGUACUCGAUAUUGUUUCUUCGGAAAGUGCAUCGUAUGCUCAUUACCGUUGACAUGGAAAGUGACAUUGCCUUUGUUGCAAUCUAUAACAGCCCCUAUAGUGUUUAAAAAGGGUCUUCCGAGGAUGACAGCCAUGGCAUCGUCCUCAGGAAUAUCCAAAAUAACAAAGUCUAUUAAGAUAGUGACAUUGGCAACCACAACAGGUACAUCCUCGCAAAUGCCGAUAGGGAAAGCAGUUGAUUUGUCGACCAUUUGCAGAGAGAUUUCAGUGGGUGUCAACUUAUCCAGUUCAAGUCUAUGAUAAAGAGAGAGAGGCAUAACACUAACACCGGCUCCAAGAUCGCAUAAAGCAGUUCUCACGUAGUUACCUUUAAUGGAGCAAGGUAUAGUGGGCACACCGGGAUCACCUAGUUUCUUAGGAGUUCCACCCUUGAAGGUAUAAUUAGCCAGCAUGGUGGAAAUCUCAACCUCAGGUAUCCUCCUCUUAUUAGUCACAAUAUCUUUCAUGUACUUAGCAUACGAAGACAUUUUGAGCAUAUCUGUCAAACGCAUUUGCAGAAACACAGGUCUGAUCAUUUCAACGAAUCGCUCAAAAUCCUCAUCAUCCUUUUUAUUGGAUGGUUUGGGAGGAAAGGGCAUGGGUUUCUGAACCCAUGGUUCCCUUUCAUUACCAUGCUUCCUAGCAGUGAAGUCAUUCUUAUCAUAUCUUCUAUUCUUAGGCUAUGAGUUAUCAAGAUCAACACGUUCAAUCUCCACAUACUUAUCAUUGCUAGGUUGAGCAUCAACAUGAACAUCACUAUUGAUAUUAUCAUUAGGCUCAUGUUCAUCACCAGAAUGUGUUUCACCAUCACAGACAGAGACAUCGUUUGGACUCUCAGGGGUAGCAGCAUCUGGGUUGCUAGCGUGCAAGUUCCUAUCAUCUUUCUUCUUCUUUCUAGGAUGACUAGGUGCAUCAGUGCUAACUCCUCGAGAAUCUUGUUCAAUUCUCUUAGUAUGACCCUCGGGAUACAAAGGUUCCUGGGUCAUUCUACCACCUCUAGUGAUGACUCUGACAGAAUUGUCAUUCAACUCGUUCAGCAAGUCAUUUUGAGCUUUAAGUACUUGUUCUACUUGGGUGGUAACCAUAGAGGCAUGUUUACUCAGGAGCUUAAGUUCAUUGACAUUUCUGUCCACACAAGCACUUAAAUGACUAAGCAUACGAGCAUUUUGUUCCAAUUUUCUGCUAACAUAAUCAUUGAAACUCUUUUGUUUGGCAACAAAGUUGUCAAAUUCAUCCAGGCAUAAGCUAGCAGGUUUAUCAAAAGGAAUAUCACUCUCAUCAAACCUGCCUAGAGAAUUUACUUCUACUACCUGUAUGGGGUUAUCAAGACCAUGGAUCUCUUCGAUAGGUGGUAGAUUUUUGACAUCUUCAGAUUUAAUGCCUUUCUCUCGCAUAGAUUUCUUAGCUUCUUGCAUAUCUUCAGGACUGAGGAAUAGAAUACCUCUUUUCGUUAGAGUUGGCUUAGGAGGUCGUUCGGGAAUAGUCCAAGCAUUCUCAUUGCACAAGAUGUUAUUCAGUAGAAUCUCAGCUUGUUCUACAGUUCGUUCCCUAAAAACACAACUGGCACAACUAUCUAGGUGGUCUUUGGAAGCAUCGGUAAGUCCAUUAUAGAAGAUAUCAAGUAUUUCAUUCUUCUCAAGAGGGUGAUCAGGCAAAGCAUUCAGUAGCUGGAUGAGCCUCCCCCAAGCUUGUGGGAGACUCUCUUCUUGAGCUUGAGCAAAGUUGUAUAUUUCCUGCAAGGCAGCUUGGUUCUUAUGGGCAGGAAAAUAUUUUUCAGAGAAGUAGUAGACCAUAUCCUGGGGGCUACGCACACAACCAGGAACAAGAGAAGUGAACCAGGUCUUAGCAUCAUCCUUUAGCGAGAAAGGAAACAGCUUGAGGAUAUAGUAGUGGCGGAUCUUUUCCUCACUACUGAAUGGGGUGGCUAUAUCGUGCAGUUUGGUAAGAUGGGCUACAACCAUUUCAGACUCAUAACCGUGAAAAGGAUCAGAUUCGACCAAAGUGAUUAACUCAGGGUCGACAGAGAAUUCGUAAUCCUUAUCGGUCACAAAGAUAGGCGAAGUAGCAAACUUCGGGUCGUAUUUCAUCCUAGCGUACAGAGAUUUUUCUUUCCACUUGAGCAGUAGUUUCUCAACAUCAUAGCUAUCCUUACACACAAGAAAAUCCUCAGCUAUCUCUCCCUCCAUAACAUAACGCUCAGGCAUAACAGGCAAUUCAGGCAUAGUAGCAGGUUCUACUUCAAUAGUAUCAUCAAUUUCAGAAGUAUCAUCAUAUCUAGCAGCAACUCUAGCAAUUUGUGCAUCAAGGAAUGCACCUAGUGGAAAAGCAGUAUCAAGCAUAGCAUCAUCAGGCAAAGCAGUAUCGGGCAUAGCAUCAUCAGGCAUAGUAUCAAGCAUAGCAUCAUCAAGCACAGGCGACAUAUCAAGAUUUCUAGCAUGAGGAGAUGUCGCAAACUUACUUAUAACUGAAGGUGAAUCACGUGCAGAGCUAGAUGGCAGUUUCGUACGUGUCCUCGUAGUGGAAGGCAAGAUUUCAGUUCUUGGAUCUUUCAGAUUCCUCAUAGUGACCAGCAAACUUCAAUCCCAAGUGACUCAGAGAAUAUAGAUGUGCUUCCCCGGCAACGGCGCCAGAAAAUAGCCUCGAUGACCAACAAGCGCAUGGGAUUGCAGCAGUUUUCAAGGGUAGAGUAUUCAACCCAAAUUUAUUGAUUCGCCACAAGGGGAAGCGAAAGAAUAUUCUCAAGUAUUAGCAGCUGAGUUUUCAGUUCAACCACACCUGAAAGAUUAGUGUCUGCAAGCAAAGUAUCAGUAGCAAAGUGGUAUGAUAGCAACGGUGCUACAAAAGGAUCUGUUGACGACAGACUAUUCCUGACUUGUUGUAUCAAUAGCGCCAGAAGAGUGUUGCAGCAGGUAACAACAAAGUAACAAGUAACAACAGUAGUGACAGCAGUAGCGAGUAAAGUAACAUAGCAAGGACCAGUAGUAAAAGACUCGUAGGCAGUGGAUCGGUGAUGGAUGAGUAUGCCGGAUGUGAUUCAUCAUGUAACAACUAUAACACGGAGAUAUAAGUAACUUGCUCCCGUUCAUCAAUCUAAUGUAGGCAUGUAUUCCGUAUGUAGUCAUACGUGCUUAGGGAAAAGAACUUGCAUGACAUCUAUUGUCCAUCCCUCCCGUGGCAGCGGGGUCCUAAUGGAAACUACGGGAUAUUAAGUUUCUCCUUUUAAUAAAGAGUCGGACCAACGCAUUAACACGUGGUGAAUACAUGAACUCCUCAUACUAUGGUCAUCUCCGGAAGUGGUUCCGGCUAUUGUCACUCCGGGGUUGCCGGGUCAUAACACAUAGUAGGUGACUACAACUUGCAAGAUAGGAUCUAAAACACACAUAUCUUGGCGACAACGUAAUAGGUUCAGAUCUGAAAUCAUGUCACUCGGGCCCUAGUGACAAGCAUUAAGCAUAGCCAAGUAGUAGCAACAUCAAUCUCAGAACAUAGUUGAUACUAGGGAUCAAUCCCCGUCAAAACUAACUCGAUUACAUGAUAGAUCUCAUCCAACUCAUCACCGUCCAGCAAGCCUACGAUGAGAUUACUCAUGAACGGUGAAGAGCAUCAUGGAAUUGGCGAUGGAGGAAGGUUGAUGAUGACGAUGGCGACGAUUUCCCCUUUCCGAAGCCCAGAACAGACUCCAAAUCUGCCCUCCAGAUGAAGAACAGGAGGUGGCGGCGCCUCCAUAUCGUAAAAUGCGAUGAAUCCUUCUCUGUGAAAUUUUACCGGGCGAAACGGAAUAUAUAGAGCUGAGUUUGGAGGCGGUGGAGCUCUGUGGGCUCCACAAGCCUGGUUGGUGCGGCCUGGGGGGUGGCUGCGGCUAGUGGGCUUGUGGCCCACUCGCUCACCCCCUCCGGUGGAUCUUUGUGCAGGUAUUUUUCAUUAAUUCUAGAAAAAUUCUUCGUAAAAUUUUAGGUCAUUCCGAGAACUUUUAUUUCUGCACAAAAACAACACCAUGACAAUUCUGCUGAAAACAUCGCUAGUCCGGGUCAGUUCCAUUCAAAUCAUGCAAAUUAGAGUCCAAAACAAGGGCAAAAGAGUUCUGAAAAGUAGAUACGACAGAGACGUAUCAGUGGUCAUGGCCGGCCCUCCCCCUGUCACAACCACAGCGGCUGACCUGGAGAUCGUGGAGGCGGAUGUGCUGAGUGUGGGGAUGGAGGUGUGCCCCGCGUCAUCGCCGCGCUCGCCGGGGGUGGUCUGCUACUCGCGCUCACCGGGUCCCCCUCUUCUCUAGCCUUGGGGUCCCCGGAUCAGGAGCCGCCGCCGCCCCUGGACCUGGUCAUGAUGGGUGUGACCCCUGCGGCAGCCGGCCCCAAGGCUCGGGGUGGGGCUUCUCCGUUGGUGUCAGCGCGCCAGAGUGCGAGGCUCAGCUAGUCUCGGCUCCUCCUGGAUGGACGUGUCCCUACGAUCCAGGAGAAGGCCACCCUGCGCGCGGCUGCUCGCGACCUGUCCCGUGGUAACUCCAUCAUCCCUCCCGCUCCUUCUCACUCUAACUCGAUUUUAUGUUCUUGGUUGCGAGUCGGUGUCUCAUCUGGCAGAAGUGGCUACCGAUAGUGGCAUUGUGUUCCGUGGUGAGAAGGGGCCCAUCCUGGAGAAGAUUUCCGCUAUUUGCACCAAGGAGAAGCUUGAGGGGGCGCUGGUGGAAUCCCGUGCCUGUGCUGCACGUGGUGAACCCAGCUCCCUUGAGCCCACUGACCCUGGUCAUAGAGAGACCAGGGAUGGCGCGGCUCCCUCGAAGGUGACUAUGGCUGGGACCUCCCUGUCAGUUCCUUCCUCGGUGAGGGUGCUACGCGGACAUCCCCCCACACGUCUCAAUCCCACUGAACAUCGUCUCGAGGUGCGUGGGUCUAGGUCCAGGUCCGCCUCCCUCAGACAAGGGGCCACCGCUGCCCCCUCUGCACGGGGGUGACGUGGCCGCCUGUCUAAGGUUCUCCCCCGACCCGCGAUUGAUGGGCGAGCUAGCUCGACCCCGCUUGCGGGGCCUAGUAACUCUUAUGAGGUUAUUAAAUGAAGCUCCUAUGUUGGAACAUAAGGGGCUUCGGCCUCACUAGCCGACGAUGGUAGCUCAUCGAGUAUUAGCGACAAGAAGAGAUUGACAUAAUGGGAUUACAGGAGACGAUUCACCAGGAUUUUAGAAUGCAUGAGCUCCAGAGGCUUUCCCGUCACCAGUUUGCCUGGUAGUGGUUGCGUGCUGCGGGCUACUCUGGGGGAAUCCUGCUUGGAGUAAGGGAGGAUGCUUUCUCGGUUGAGGUAUGGACCGUGGGGAAUUCUUCGUGAGCAUGUCCAUCACUGACUGACGAGUUCACUCAGUUGGGAGGUGAUUAUUGUCUAUGGUCCGGCGGACCAUGGCCGCUUUGCUGACUUCCUCGCCGAGUUGGAAAACAAGGUGGAGAGGUGCACCAAUACGGUGGUGGUGGCCGACGACUUUAACCUCAUUAGGUGGGCUUCUGAUAAAAGCUCUCCUAAUGUGGAUCGGGCCCGAAUGCGUCUCUUCAAUGACUGCAUUGCUGACCUGGCGCUCCAUGCGAUAGCUCGCGUUGGGGCUAGGUUCACAUGGUCGAAUAAACAGGCGUACCACAUCCCGAGUGUCUCGGAUCGGGUCUUUGUGUCGGCUCACUGGGAAGUGAUGUUCCCACUUUGCUCCCUCAAGGCCGUCACUCAGAUUGGCUCCGACCAUACGCCCCUAAUUUUCUCGUCGGGGGAGGGUUCCCCCCUAGACCCCGUCGCUUCCGCUUUGAGACAUUCUGGCUGGAGCAACCAGGUUUCUUCGAGCUGGUUCGCGACCGCUGGCGUGAGGCGGUCUCUUCCCCGCCUCGUGUGUUGUGUGCGGUGGAUGUAUGGCAUCACUGCGCUAAGUUGGCUCGUCAGGCCAUGAAGGGCUGGGGGCGAACUUGGGCACUGACCUCCGGCCCGUAAAGGGGCCUUGCUGGUUCAGAUUAAGGUGUUGGAUGACCUGGCGAACGGGUCGGUCUGUCCCCUGACGACUGGAUCAGGAGAUACUCCCUCGAGGCCUCGCUCAUGGAUAUCUUCAAGAGCGAGGAGCUGUUCUGGAAGCGUCGAGGCGUCCAGAACUGGCUCCUUAAGGGGGAUGCGAACACUGCCUACUUUCAGGCGAUUGCUAAUGGCCGUAGGCGGAAAUGUGUCAUUCCUUUCCUCUCGGAUGUGGAUGUUCUCUUGGAAAGCCCAGAGGACAUCUCAUCCAUAUCUACUCCUUUUAUAAGGAGUUGUUCUCGGCUGAGCCGUGUGGACGCACCUCCCUAUGUGAGGACUUCUGGCCGCUUGCUGCACAGGUAACCGAGGCGGAGAAUGCGGAGCUUACUCUCCCGUUCUCCCCUAAGGAGGUGGGUCGGGCGAUUGCCUCUAUGAAGGCUUGCUCGGCCCCGGGGCCGGAUGGUCUACCGGUAGUUGUCUUCCAGAAAUUUUGGGAGAUCUUGCAUCCGGUCGCCAUGCCCAUGUUCCAUGAAUUUUAUAUCGGCACCCUGGACAUGGGUAGGAUUAACUUUGGCGCCAUUGCCCUCAUCCCCAAAGUAGUUGGGGCUUCGGAUAUCCGGCAAUUUUAUCCCAUCAUGAUGAUCAACGUGUUGGCGCGAAUCCCCACCCCCUCCAGUCCGUGUUCCUGAAGGGCAGGCGAAUCCAUGACGGGAUUCUUGCCCUUCACGAGAUUGUCCACGAGGUGGCGUCGAAGGGGCUUAAGGGGGGCUUCCUCAAAUUGGACUUCCAGAAAGCAUAUGAUCGUCUCGAUUGGUCCUUUUUGAGGUUGGUGAUGCAGCGACGCGGAUUUGACGAGAGGUUGUGUUCCUGGAACAUGCAAUUGGUUAGAUCUGGUAACACGGCGAUCAACAUGAACGGUGAAGUGGGACCCUUUUUCCAGGCUUCCAGGGGGUAAAGCAAGGGGAUCCUGUAUCCCCUUGCUUUUCAACAUCGUUGUCAAUGCCCUCGCCGGCAUCCUGGAUAAGGCCAAGCUAGACGGCCAUCUUCAGGGGGUGGUUGGCCACCUCAUUCCGGGCGGUGGAGUUUCCCACUUGCAAUAUGCGGACGACAUCAUGAUCAUGGUUGCAGGCUCCGACUCGGACAUUCUUAACCUUAAGUUCCUUUUGCUCUGCUUUGAGGAAAUGUCUGGACUUAAGAUUAACUUUGAUAAGAGCGAGGUUGUGGUCCUUGGCUACUCCGAGGCUGAGCAGCACAGGAUCGCGGACAACCUCAAUUGCAGGCUGGCUUCCUUCCCCGUUUCUUACUUGGGGAUGCCCCUAGCUGAGUCCAGGAUCUUGGUAAGCGGGUUUGGUCCGCUUGUGGGACGAGUAGCGUCCCGUGCGGAGCCGUGGUGCGGCAGGUUCACGUCUAAGGGCAGCAAGACCAUCCUCAUUAUCUCUAACCUUGCGAGCCUCCCCAUGUAUAUGAUGGGGAUGUACAUCUUGCCCGAAGGUGUCCAUAGCGCCUAUGACAAGGAGCUGGCUAGGUUCUUCUGGCCGGCAGGGGAUGGUCGACCCAAAUACCAUAUGGUGAAGUGGGCCGAAAUAUGCCUGCCGAAGGACCGAGGGGGGUUGGGCAUCCCUGCGUCUUGCCGUAUGAACGUUGCCCUCAUGCUUCGUUGGGUGUGGCGGAUCCUGCAGGGAUAUGGGGGUUUGUGGCUACAGCUGAUUGAGGCCAAGUACAUGCAGGGUAAGCCCCUCUUGGCCUGCUCGCACUCAGUUGGGUCCCAGUUUUGGAAAUCUAUCCAGGACAUCAAGGAUUAUAUUAGGUUGGGUUUGCGGUUCUCGGUGGGUAAUGGGUCCGGGUCUCAGUUUUGGUUGGACCCCUGGCUUGCUGGAGAGCCUCUGCGCUUGCGGUUUCCAAGGCUCUUUGCUAUUUGUGACGACCCGGCUGUCCUUGUCUCUACGGCUCCUUUGGAGGACGGAUGGCAUUUUGCGCUCCGCCGCUCCUUUGGACGAACCAGGUCCAGGAAUGAGAUGUCUUGAAGGAAGUAGUCCCUCUCUCGGGCUCUUCGGUCAAUGACAAUGUUUCUUGGAGUCUCUCUCAUUCGGGAGAAUUCUCCGUUAGUUCAGCUUAUCAUGCGCUCUGUCGGGUGCGAGUUCUUCCGUGGCUAUCCCCACUUUGGAAGACCCCGAUGCCCCUGAAGAUCAAGAUUUUCGUUUGGCAGCUUCUCCGUAACCGUCUGCCUUCAGGGACCGAGGCGUUGAAACGCCAUGCUCCGGACAACGACACUUGUCCCCUGUGCCACGUCCCGAAAACGGGAACACACAUUCUAUUCUCAUGCGUAGCUGCACAAGCCCUUCGGUGUUUUGUGCGUGAGGCUCUGGGACCGGAGUGGGAGGCUCAUGAUCUUGCAGAGUUUCCGCACGUAAGUGCCACCCAGGUUAGUCGUAAGCGUCGAUUGUUCUGGCUUGUCUUCGCAGCAAUGAUGUGGACUCUUUGGACUACUCGUAAUAAAAUGGUGAUUGAGCGCAUGUUCCAGCGGCGUGCCUCUGACUCGUUCUUCAAAUUUCUUGCCCUCUUGCAGCUCUGGCAUCUGCUCGUUAGGCCCCGAGACUGUGACCGGCUUCAACUGUAUCCGGACGCGCUGCUGACGUCCAUCCGACGGCUCUCCGUCCGUUCGCCUGCCUCUUAGCUUGCCCCUAUGAUGGCCUUUUAUGUUUCCUUUUCUUUCACUUGGACGUGACUAUGUUGUGGCCUUAACCAUUUUCUGUUUAUUCACUAUGUUAGGUUGUGGUUGUCUCGAUGCUGGAAUAUUUGCUUUAUAUAUAAAGCAGGACGAAAGCCUGUUUCGAAAACUAAUGCAACCACGUAAAAUGACUUUGCGGUGGAAACACUCUCGCUCAUUUCUUAUUCGAUGCCCUGCUGCAUCUGCGCCCUCUCGAACGAAGAAAUGGUGGAACAUAUGACUGCAACUUCUAAAACAGAUGCAAAAAAGACUGGUUGUUCGCAUUGCACGACUCGUUAUCUCAUACCGAAUUGACUCGUAUGGUGGUCACGCUCUGGGCCAUUUGGUCAGUGAGAAGGAAGGCAAUCAUGGAGGUUUUUCAGAGCCCCUUUCGCUGGCGACGCUGAAGUAUCUGCUGCUGCAAGAAUGGUAUUGGUAACUAUAGCAUGUCGCGAAAAACCUUCCACUUGCGGUUGAAACUGAAUGCAUGUCGCACGUACCACGACGGGAGAGGAUGCCAUGUGUCUGUACUGUACUGUACUGUACUGUAGGUGAACAUGCAGCUGCACAACGACAACCGUGUGGUUUAGCUUGACGUGCCACCAUCGCACCACGCCGACCCACCUAACGACCGCACUCGAUCGGUCGAACGAACCACAGCCACAACGCGCGCGCACUCGCAGCCGCGUAACCGACCUAUCUAUCUAUAGCCUCGCCCGUUCGCUUGCAUUUCAAGGUAUGGCACGGGCCAAACAUGCACGCAAGCUGGAGCGCACCUUGCAUGACUGCCGUAGAUUGUGUGUGUGUGUGUGUGUGAGUGAGUGAGUUCGGCACCGUUUCUUUGGGGUUCAGCAUUGCAUGGGCCUACACAGUCCACCCCUUCUUUCCAUUUCUCCCUUUCUUUAAAAUUUCAAGCGUGCUUAAAGCAGGAAAGGUGAUUCGUCGUGACGCCGCGUGUGAGGAGACGGCGACGGGAAUAAGGUUCUGUUUGUCUAGCACCCGUUCUGACGGUGCGUUGUCUAUCAUCGUCGAAGAAAAUAUGGAGUUGUAUCUACCGUGUGUCGUAGGAUUCCGUCCGAGUGAGCCAAACGUGUGUCACCGUCAUCACCCGCCCGCGUCCUUUGCGCCCUUCAAUAUUUCGAUGCGGUGAUUUUUACAACGAAUUAUAAAAUGAUGAUUUUUGCUAAUGACAUUAUUAUUAUUGUGGUUUCGUGCAUUUUACUUUCAAAUCAUAGAGCUUAGCUCAUGAUAAAUUGAAUGUUGUCACCGUCUGUCUCUUAUUGGAGCCGAAGCAUGAUGAAUUUUUGAUUGUCUACUAAAAUAAGUUUUGCUGGCUCUCAUGAAAGAGGGGUCACGACAGCGACGUGUCUUCGACUCGAUCGAGUGUUUGUAGUUGUUGCUUGGUGGUCUACAGAUCUUGUUGGCGAUACCUAAACCACCACCAACAGCCCGAACAGAACGCCCGAACCCCUCGGUCUCUCCUGCCCAGGGGUGACGUGGGGGCAAUUCCUCUCUUGCCAGCCGCUGCCAUCCUUCCUCCCCCCACCCGCCGCUGCCAGAGAACACCGUCGGGCAAAGACCGUGUGGCUGAUGGCAGUGGUAGGGCCCAUCUCUCGCGGCCUUCCCUUGCUCUAGGGGCGACAAGACCUGGUGGCUCUCACGACGCCCCUGUUAGAUGUGCAUCUGGGCAUACGACGGUGGGACACAACGAGCGGUGGUCGGCUGUGGAGGUAAAGUAUCGUCUUGUGACAGCGCUCUCAGCCCAGAUCGGGGAGAUUGUGUGCUUGCGAUCAUGACCAAGAUGGGGUCGCUGGCCUCGGCCAGAUCUGGCAGUGGGUGGUCGUUGGACGUGUCUGUGAUGUCCGGUGGCUGGCUUUGACCAUGGUCACCGGGUUGCGGACAGUGCGGUGGCGGGUGCGACACAUUGACAACUAGGCGGAUCUUGACACGUUCUUCUAAUCAUGUGAGGAUUCAACCCUUUCUGGUCCUUGACAACGCGGAAACUCGAGGGAAAACCCUAGUUCUCCUUGGGAUCGAGAGAUGGCGGUGCUUUUUGCGUCAUAGUCCCUCUUGAGGGCAUCGUUUCUAGAGUUUGCUCCAGUUGAAGGGACCAACAGCGUCGGCGGUGCACGGCCUGGUGGCACGACUGUCGAUGAAAAUCGUGCCGACGAAAGUAAUGGAGGACAAUGGCGACAUCUCCGAUGUCGCUUCCUUGUCGAGGCAUUAUCGUUGCAAUUUGCGUCAUCAUGCCUGGAAUGCUCCGGAGGAAACCCUAGAUCUAGGCUUCCCGAAUUGGACAGUGACAACACUCUCAAUGUCACUCUCCCUCCUGGGGCAUCGUUUUAGAGCAAGUGAUGGCUGGAUGGAACAAGAGGAGAUGCAGUGUUACAUCUAUCGCAAGGCCGAAGGUGGUUCCCGGCAGCAUGGCGCUGCGGAGUUUCGACGACGGGCGCAUGUGGAUGGAUACGUGAAGGAUGAUAACGUUGUCUGACGCCGUGGUGGCGUCGAUGACAGGCAAGGCAAGUUGGUGCGUCAGUACCUACUUUGGAGAUGGAUUAGUGAAAGACGUGGCGACGGCCUAUGAAAGUAUGCCAAAUCGGCGUGUGAUCCAGUCUCGGCAUUGUGGCUUGGCUGGGGCAUCCGACUUUAGAUGUUAGGCUUUGGUGCGAUGUCUGUUUGAUAUUUGGUUUGGACAUUCGGCCAUCCUUGAUUAAAGGAUAGGGGUAGCGACAUGUGUUGUCAAGAUGGUGGCUUCAGGUUUACUAAUGUAUUAUUUUCUAUAGUCUUUAUAAAUAAUUAAUAAAAUAACUGCAUGUGCAGGUAGAGGUCGGGCCUUUUGAAAAAAAGAACUGGAUAUAAUUUUCUGUUUAUUUCUGACAUUCCUUGUACUGAUAUAGAUUUGAAGUUUUCUGAAUAAAAAAUCAGUAACAUCGCACACUGACCUGUUUUUUUUUUUAAUAGAAGGCAGCAUGGAACCACUACUGCGCCCUCACCCGGUCCUCGUUUCACACGUACGUAUCCAGCGGGUCCAGUUACCAAACUCUACGUGCGGAGGAGCCUUUAGUUUUGGACCAUGCAAACACAUCGAUCUCGAGCUAUAAAUACCACAGCUCAUGAAUUUCACACCACCACGGACACAACACAAACCAACCAAGUAUACCUGAACUGAGCUAGGCAAGCAUCUCGAAGAUGGCUACCACCAAGCAUUUGGCCAUUGCCGUUCUUGUCCUCCUUAGCAUAGGCACGAGCACAAGCGCUCGAAUCCUCCUGGGUUACGGUCCUGGCGGAGGAGGCGGUGGCGGUGGCAGCGGCGGGGGUGGUGGUAGUGGCUAUGGUGGAUCAGGGUCUGGUUCUGGGUAUGGCGAAGGUGGUGGAAGUGGAGGAGGUAUUAGUGGUGGUGGAUACGGCCAUGGAGGUGGCGGUGGAGGCGGGGGUGGUGAGGGCGGAGGCGCCGGUUCUGGGUACGGAUCUGGGGAGGGAUCCGGCUACGGGGGCGGCGCCGGUGGGUACGGUGGCGGCAGUGGCGGAGGAGGUGGUGGCGGCCAAGGUGGCGGUGGUGCAGGCUAUGGGCAUGGGUCCGGUGAGGGUUCUGGCUAUGGCGGUGGUGCUAGUGGAGGCGGUGGCGGUCACGGAGGUGGUGGCGGUGGCGGCCAAGGUGGUGGGUCUGGCGGGGGCUCAGGCUACGGCUCCGGGUCUGGCAGUGGGUAUGGCCAGGGUGGCGCAUAUGGUGGAGGGUAUGGAAGCGGCGGCGGCGGUGGCGGAGGAGGUGGCCAAGGUGGAGGCUCUGGCUAUGGUUCCGGGUCUGGCUCUGGAUACGGUUACGGUUCCGGCGGUGGUUUCGGAAAUGGACACCACUGAUGCCACUUCCAUGGAAAGCUCAAGUGUUCGAGAGAAUAUAGUAAAAUCUCUUCCGUGAGUGACAGUGAUGGGUUUGUUCGUCACUGAUAUAUAUAUAUAUAUACUUACUGAAGGUGCAAGUUUCAGUAUAUGUAAUUAAUAUUGUACUGUGGUGGCAGUUGCUGCUUCACCUAUUUGACCAAGUCCAGUAAAUAAGCGAUCUUUACAAAGAGAUCAUACUCUUGUAUCCAUUAAUUUCUACAACCCCAAUGAUUAUAUACAGUUCAUGAUGGAUGUCAGACAAACCAUUGGCUGAACUCUGAUUCCGAUUAUCGAUGUUCUGCAACAUUUUGCAGUUGCCACACAAUUUAUGAACAUAUGGUUUCAAUCCAUAAACCAGCGUGCGCGUGGAUAUUGAACCCUCAUCCUUUUUUGCCUGGCUUGAUUCGGCACUUGUCAACUCACUUUUGUGCAAUUUAGAAGCUGGUUUAUUCUGUUGGUGCCACCCAGAACUCUGCAGCUUACAACUUUCCUGUGCAAGUGCAAACUGCAUGCUCUGCUAGUCGUGAGGUAAACUACUUGAGAAACUGGAAGUGCCAAAACUCGUAUUUCAAAUGACAAUUGCACGAUUAUAUCCAGAAUUCCCAUGUUGGAUUAUCUGAUCACAGUUCCAUUUUUUUCGAUAUCAUCGGGACAAGAAAUCUGCAAUGUUGUGCUGCUACCAUUCUUCGCCACGUCUUGGCUUCCUUCUUACUGAUAUGUCAGGGCCCUUUAUUUGCGUGGCACACGCCCUAAGGUGUCAACCUUGCAAGCUGAAACAGGUAACAACAAUCAGCAGUCGGUUUAGAAGAUUGUUCGUAAUUUACUAGGGAAACGUUUCCAUACGGCCAGUUGGCGGAACCGACGCGCCGGUCGCUCGCUCGUCCGCUCAGGUUAUGCAACAUUUUUCACACGUGCGCUUCGCUGGUCAGUGGAUGCAACUUUUAUACCGUGUAAAUUUGUGGCAACCACUGUUUAAUUUUGCUACUAUUGUUUUUCAUUUGUUACAUCUGUUCAUUAAAAAAGUUGCAUCCACGGUUGGUUGCAACUCGAGUUCGUUGGAUUUUUGCUACAACCGGCGUUUUGACCUUUGCUACAACCGUGUUAAUUUUUGCUACAACCGGCAUCAUGUUUUGCUGCAACCGUUCAUUAAAAAAGUUGCAUACACGUUCACGUAGAUUUUUGCUACAACUGACGUUUCACUUUUGCUACCAUGCACCAUCAGCUUCGUUUUCUUUGCUACGACCACAUAGAUAUUUUUUUGCUAUAAUUUUUUUAUUGCAACCGUUGACGAAAAUUGCUGCAUUGCGUCGAAAUUUGUUGCAUCGAGAAAAAAAAUAUUACAUGAAGAUCUAACGGUGCGGACGAGCGGCGGUUGAUGGAUCGUGCGGCUCGUACGUGGCCGGCCGAAAGUUUCGACCGACGCGCCGGCGCAGAGCACUGACCAAUUUACUAGCGAUUGGUUUACUGAUCAAAGUCUAGUACUUCACGCAUCUUAUUUGGCGAACACCUAUCUGCAUGACUAUUUGGUGAAGCAAUAGCGGAAAUGAGGGACUAAUGAUAUGCAAGUAUGAAUGUGUGUAUGUGGAAUAUAGCUGCGUGGAUAAACCAGUUAUUUGAUGGAAAAGUCUAUCCUUCAACCGGCGGAUCUGCGCGAUUCAUCCACCACCUGCUGUCUGUUCGAUUCCGCCAUCGCAAUCGUUUCUUGACUUUUCUGAAACUGGAUCGUUGUUUCCGCAACUGGAGCGUUGUUUCCGAAAACUGCCCAGUCCAUGUCUCCGCCUCCGCCUCAGCCCGACAACCCUCGCCGCCGCCGGCCUGCUACGGCUCGUCGCCCUCCGCCGUCGGCCUGCCCGCGGCCUCGCGUGCCCUCCGUCGCCGCCCCUGCUCGUCGCCCGCCCGCGGCCCCGCCGGCCUGCCACAAGGCCCGCCACCCCUGAUCGGCGGCGCCGCCGGCCUGCGUUUCACCCCGCCGCACUCCGCCGCCGGCCUGCGCGCGGCACCGCCAGCUUGCCCGCGGCCUCGCGUGCCCUUCGUCGCCGCCCCUGCUUCUGCAACGUUACUUUCGUUGCAAAAUUUUCUGAAACUCGACCGUUGUUGCAAAAAAUUCUUCCGUAAAAAUACUUAUGUUACAGAAAGACGAAGAAAAAAAAUUCUGCAACAAGCAAAUUGUUUCUGAAACUCGACCGUUGUUUCAGGAAUUAACGGAUCCAAAGUUUAUUUCUUCCAACAAAGGGAAAGUUUCUGCAACUCGAGCGUCGUUUCAGGAAUUAAGUACAGGAGCGGAUCGGACGGAACGAAUCGGACGCUACGCGCGAGAUCUAACUGUUGUCGAGGCGGUGGACGUUUAAUAAAUAUCCACCGGUAGAUGCGUAGCAGCCCCCUUAUUUAAUUACUACUUUUUUUUAAAGAUAAAGGGCAAAUGGGAAGAAAAGCAUAAAGCAGACCCAGCACAGGUAACAUCAAACAUGCUCUCUAGAAUGUUCAAAAAGGAGAUGAUAAGUUGAUAACCACUAGCACUACAACAAUUUUUGGUCCUCGUUUCACACGGAAUGCGUCCAAGCUCUAGCCAAUACUAGAUGACACUAGUACAAGGUGGCACGUAGGCUCUUGGUUAAACUGCAAAAAUGAUAUGUGUCAUGUCCUUAUAUGAUGAGUGUAUAAGAAAACAGCAACAAAAGAUCUUAAAUGGGUUCUAAGGAAAUCACCGACGUGACACUCAAACCAGACACUACAUCCGUCCAUGCACACUGAUUCAAGAGCCAACCAUCCAAACGUAGUUGUAUACAUUUGAAACUGGAUUUCAACAAAUCAGACGGAAUUCGUGCAAACACGACGGAAUUCAGCAAAGUUCGGACAUAAUUUAUCGAAAAUGGCCAGCAAAACUCAAAGUAAUUGUAGAAAUAGCACAAUUAAUCCGUGCAAAUAUAUCUAGUACAAGAAUGAUUCAAAUUCAAUUAAAUAACCGAAUGUUCAACAAGUCUUCAAAAUCAUUUAUUCCAAAUUCAACGAUACCAGAGCCAAAACCUAGACAUGUCGUACAACACAAACUGUCUCGUGAGUUUUAUCCAGCAAUGUAUAUGCAUGAAUGGUCUCCCCUCGGUCAUGUAGUACGUCAUGGCAGAGUGUAUAGGCUAUGCAACGUGUACAUCAACAUUGAGUGACUGAAUGAAUUAACCAACAUAUAGAGUAACAGAAAGCAACACUUACGGUCUCGAUGGCUUUCGCAUUCAAUGGCUACCUUGUGAUAGCGGCAAAGGUCUCCCGUCUCUCGAUAAAAUGGUGGCUAUCGUUUUGGUGAAAGUCGACUUUCACGGUCCAACUACGAACGUGCAAAGAUGUCGCGCCUUAGAAACGCUAAACCUACUCCGAGAGGUUAUUGACCAUGCCGGAGCACGAUCAACCUGAUCACCAGCGUCUAUUUCCUGCACACAAAUGAAGAGCAAGCAAGAAAUUGAGAUGCAAUCUAGAUACUGUGAACAUAAGAAGAAAAGCUUUAUUGGCCGAAGUGGGGUUCAAUGAAGUCUUGGUCCGGUCGUAGAAUACAAACGAAGGACGUGAAGUUGCAGUUAUGACAAACUUUUAAUAUAGACAAAAACCCAAUCAAAAAGUUACUAGGUUGAUUUACUUAUAUAGAAGCAAAGGAUGGUGGCCAAGGAGGUGGGAGGAUGUCUCAAGGCAGCCUAAAACUAACCCUAGGUCGUACAAAGCCUAUGGGCUCAAGUGGAGGUGAUGCAACACCUUUGGACUUAUAGUUUGACUCGGAUUCUGCUCCAACGUCUGUCGUGGUUUUAUCACGGCAGAUGUCCUCAAGAGAGGACUUAGUGAUGAGGCCACUGCAACUCUAUGGCGAAUCAAAUGGGUUAAUCAGGAACAGGAAACAAGUUUACCCAGGUUCGGCCCCUCCGAUGGAGGUAAAAGCCUACGUCCUGGUUUGUGUGUAUUGAUGAUCAAAUCGAUUACAAGGGUGCGAAUUCGCCUGACCUAGCUCUCGAUCGAUUGUUACUUGACCCCAUUGGCCCUAGAGACUCGCCUCCAUAUACAGGUCGAGGCCCUAGGUUUACCAGAAUCGGUGUCACGUUAUGAUUCGUGACCCGGUAUGUCUCUAACUCGCCUUGCCUUUCAAGCAAAGCCGAUCUCCUACCUAUCUUAUACCUUGUGGGUCUUCACUUGCCAUCUUGGUAGCGAGAGCUGCCAGGCGACUUGUCGGAACAGGCCGUCUUGCACAUUUGGUCUUGUUCGUCAAAGCCCAUCUUGAGUACAAUCUUAAGCCGCCAUAAUCAUGACCCGACCCAUAGGGCGGGUUAUACGACGGGUAAUAUCCCGAACAUUAGGCCCCGGAGACUUGAAUUUAUUCAUGUCAAUAUUCUUCACCUUUAAUCGUGGAGACUUGUCUGCAUUUUAUGCCUUGUCUCCCGAGGUAGAAAUUCCGGCUUUAAAAACCUUAAUAAGCUAUUGCCCUUCUCACCAAUGACGUCGCCCGCCCCACGAUUCUAGGGACUUGAUGAUGUCAUUGUAACAACUCUUUGCAGUUAUCCGUUUAUCCCGUAAAUCAAGGCGCCCCUCGCUUCCAAAUUUACUGCACCUCCUUGAUUCCCGCGCCUGCUGUUUGCACUUUGGCUCCUAGUUUUAAAUACCGAAGAGAGUCCUUUCAAUUUUUACCUUGCUCCUCCACUUCUUCUUCUUGCUCCAGCUUUGGGUUUUCACCGCGCCAACGACGUUGCAGUCCCAUCAUUGGACGAUCAAAUCUAGGACCAUUGCACCACACGACUUCACCUCCGUUCUGCGAAUCUCCUCCACCAUCGUCAGCAUCUUCAGGUAAGUUCUCUUCUGCCCAUUAGAUCUAUCCGUAAGCCAUCACCAUUAAUGGAGUUCCUCGAAGUUCAUCCAUCGCUCAUCUCCAUUGCCGUCAUGUUUAAUCCUUUACUGAACCUCCUCCACAAAUAGAUUGCGGUAGAUGUAGUGAUUCAAUUUCAUGCAUAAUAUCCCCUAGAUGCCUUGCGAAAUUUGUAAGUAGAACUGUCGCUGCUUCCAUACCUUGUUGCCCUCUACGGUUACUGAAUUUUUCCCUUUCUGAAUCAUUUGUAGAUCCAUAUUUUUAGGAAAUUAGAUAGAAACAUGUUUGUCACACAUUUAGUAGGAAAUCUGAAAUCUUUACCCAUGUGUAAGCCGCCUUUACUUUAUGUCGGCUUCUUAGGUAGGAUUGUAACCCGCCCACUUCUAUAGGUCACCUAUCCUUUAAAUGGCGACUUACAUUUAGGCAAUUUUCACUUUGUAGAUUGCUCUGGCACUGUAAAUUAGAAUCGCCCAAAGUAGUUUCUUCUUGAAUCCCUUGUUCGUCAGAUAACCCGUUUGUCGUCGUAAUAACCCACCAAAUACAACUUUUGCAGCACCUUUCCUCCUGACCCGCCACCAUGUCAAAGCAUGUUUCAUGCAACUAGCAACCUUCCGAAAUAUCUGAUGCCACACUUAAGCAAUAUGUGACUUUAGGGGUUUUGUUACCAAAAGAAAAGAUUAGUUGGCGAGCCGCCUUUGGGGAGGAACGUCCACAACCAGGCGAAGGAGAAGUAGUAGUGUUCACAGAUCACCUUGAGCGAGGCUUUACUCCUCCUAGAUGAAAAUUCUUUUGAGAUGCUCUACACUUCUACAACCUCCACCCUCAAGAUCUGGGCCCUAACUCUAUCAGCAACCUGUGCCAAUUCCAAGUCCUAUGUGAAGUGUACUUAGGAAUAGAACCCACAAUUAGUUUGUUCACGGAAUUAUUUUACCUAAACUGCCAAACAGAGUUUGCUGCUGGGCCUAGUUUGGAACUUGGUGGAGUGACAAUUCAGAGGCGAAGAGAUCAUGGUUUUCCUACUACCGCCUUGCCUAGUCACCCUAAAGGUUGGGGAAAGACUUGGUUUUACUGCAAGAACACUGCACCUACUGAUGAGAACCCCCUACCGGGUUUUAGAGCGGAACGCCCUCCAAUGGAUUUUGUACUCCCCGGCUCGCUAACUUAGGAAGAACGUGCCACCAUCGCCCCCAUAUUUCCCGAACUAAGAGCCCUGAAAGCCAAUGGUUUAACGGGGAUUGAUCCGACCCAGUGUUGGUAGAUUGGCGGAUCAUGCCCCUGAGUCAUCGUGGCGCCUUGAUUUGUGAAUAUGAUGGCAACUUGAGGAAUGCGCAACGCUUCAACAACAUCAUGCUUGAUCCGGAUGAAGUCAAAAAAAUUGUAAAGAAGCUAUCGGAUGAACCCAAAGAAGUUUGCCAUAAAAUUGGACUGAAACUGUUCUAUACUUAGAACCCGGCUCCUGAAGUAAAUAACUUUUAACAUAUUUCUACUUUUCUCAUGCAUUCGUUUAGUGCUUCACAACUCGUCUUUCUUUGUCAAUACUAUUGCAGAGAAAUCGUCUUUCUCGAAAUGGAGGCCGCAAAAGGUGAUUGUCAAGAAAACCAAAACCGCCUCGAAAAAGAAGAAGAACAAGGCGGCCGUUGAAGAGUCAUCGGCCAUGGCGAGUCACAAACCGUUGAUGACCAGUCUGAGGUAAACCUUUAUCUUUACCAUGUUUCUAACUUAUACUUACUAAUCGCUUCUUUAGUCUCAUGAUGAUGAUGCUGAUAGCCAAGACGAAGAUGUUGAGGUAAUUUCAAUCUCCUCGGAUUUCGAUCUCUCCUUUCCAAGGCCACCAAGGUGGGUUGUUAGGAAAAUUCCUUUGUCUCACCUGAAAGCUCAUUUGGCUCCCAAUUUCCUUUUGAAGAAGAAUUUAUUUGCCCCAAGGCGCCAGACCCGAAGCUCUUCAAGUGAGCUUGCAGCGGGUUUACCUGAGAAACCCUCCACUUGUAAACGGCGAACAGAGGUACCUGAUAACCUAUUCCUUUCUUUUAAGAUAACCUCAUUCAACAGCCUCUCGAAUCUUUUGUCUGAAUUUACCAAGAGUCGCCACCUUCAUCGGAUGGCUCAACUAUGUCCAAACUGCCACCGAUUGUCUGCCUUUGAGGGUAACUUUGCUUUUUGUGUCUAACACUUGCCUUAGUGCUCUUAAUCCAUCGUAUAUGUUUGAACGUUUACUCUUCCCGGCCAAAGUUAAAGGCAGGAAGAGGAAAACUAGCGUGUCAGCAAAUAAUCCUGAAAUAUCUGAGCAAGAAGACUUGGAUUUUACUAUUCGUGAAACUCAUGUUGAGCCGGUUGACACACAUGUUAACCCUCCUGAAACUCAUCAACACGCCAUUGGUGAUCUUGGUGAUGUUCAUGCUGAGCCGGCGAGUGCUGAUGACACAACCAUGGAGACAAGUCCGAAGGUCAACCCUGACCCGCCCAGUACUCUGAAAACAACCAACGACACUACAUCUGAUGAGGAAAGGGUUGUUAUACUGGGACGGGUUACACAAAACCGGUCUUCACUAUGCUGGCUAAGCAUACUGCCAAAGGUGCAACACUUGACUUAGAGAAGGGGAAAUCUAAGCUCGAGCUUGCCAAUAUUGAAAAACUUAGCUUUGAAGAAUUGCAUUCUGGGUAUCUAAGCCGCCUUAACACGAGCCGGGAUAUAUAGGCCAGCCUGGUUGGCAUGAUGAAGAAAAGAUACGAUGUAUGUUGAACUCAAUGAUGUACCCCAUAUAUCCUUACGUAGCACCGAAAGGCCGGGUCAUCUUCUUGAAGAUGAGUCGGGUCUUGAUGAAUUUGUGAAGAGGCAACCUGUAGCCCCCAAGGGUCGUGUCAUCUUCUUGAAGAUGAGUCAGGUCUUGAUAAAUUUGUGAAGAAGCAACCUGUAGCCCCCAAGGGCCGAGUCAUCUUCUUGAAGAUGAGUCGGGUCUUCAUCACUCUUAUUUGUACAAUGUCGACCUAUAACCCCCAAGGUCCGAGUCAUCUUUUUUAACAUGAGUCGGGUCAUCACAUAGUAUAUAUGGUUUAAAAAAUUGACAUGCAUUAGCCCCCAAGUGUCAAGUAUAUUGCGUGCAAUCUGCUUGAGACUUGAUAACGAUCGCGUUGGUUAGCCUUAAAAUAUCCUUGGCAACUCAGACUUUGACUAAUAUCCACCCUCUUAUUGUAUUGUAUAGGAAACUUUCAACCAGGCCGAUGCAAAUUUAAGGGAGAUGAAGAAAAGUUUAGCACAACAACAAGACGCUAGAGCUCAAUCUGAGGUGAAAAUUCAAAUUUCCUUAGAGGAAAUUGAGAAGAUGAAAAGUGAGUUCACAACAUAUAAGGAAGCUGCCAAAACUGAAAAGUCCCUUGGUUAAGCGGAUAGAAGACACUGAGGGUCAACUGAAGCUGGUUAUUGAAGAGUUAACUAGCCUAAAACGUCAUAUUUCCACGAUGACCAUGGUUGUUUUUGGUAAGCCUUUGUUUGCAAGACUUUCAUUCUUAACCUUUGUAGAAGACAUGUCCCGUCGGGCGACUCAUAUUUUUAAAUUACUUGAAUACUCUCGAUCCACCAACCUUCAAGAUAAGUGUGUACUGAAGCUAAAGGCUCUGUAUACCUUAACAUAGCAACUUUAUGUUGGCGGCUUGUUCACCAUCAAAGCUGUGAUGAGAGACAAAGAACGGGUGAAGUUCAUUAGUGACAUGCUGAGGUGCCUCUCAACCAUGCCUAAGCAAAUUGAAGAGUUGAAGAAAUUAGCUGCUCGUAAAGGGGUGAUCACUGGACUGGACCGGGCUCUGGCUUAUGCACCAAAACUCAAACCGAAGGAGAUAGCUGGCGGGUUUCCUGAAUAUAAGGACGAUGGACCAGAGUUCACCCAGGAAGAGUACGCCCGUUGUAUGAGGGCGGCUCGUCUACCGGCUAGUGAACUCGUUGAAGGUACUGAUCUGAGGAAAUAUCAGGCGUCUUAUGAUGAGAACAAGAAGUGUGUGUCGCUACCCACAUUUGAACCAGUGGAUCUUACCCCUCAACAACGUAAGCAUCUUUUUACCCCUGAUGUUGACUUGUCGCACAUCUUUAAUGAAGAGGAUGAAUUCCACGCUUUAAUCCAUUGCAACUAGGAUAUGGGCAACCUCUGAUACGUCUCCGUUGUAUCUACUUUUCCGAACUCUUUUGCCCUUGUUUUGGACUCUAACUUGCAUGAUUUGAAUGGAACUAACACGGACUAACGAUGUUUUCAGCAGAAUUGCCAUGGUGUUGUUUUUGUGUAGAAAUAAAAGUUCUCGGAAUGUCCUGAAAAUUUACGAAUAUUUUUUCUGGAAUAAAUGAAAAAUACCUGCGCAAAGAUCCACCGGAGGAGGUGUGCCAGUGGGCCACAAGCCCACAGGCCGCGGCUACCCCCCUGGCAGCGCCGUGAGGGCUUGUGGGGCCCACGUGGCACCACCGCCUCCAAACUCAUCUCUAUAUCUUCCGUCUCGCCCGAAAAAAAAUCAGAGAGAAGGUUUCAUUGCGUUUUACGAUACAGAGGCGCCGCUAGCCCCCGUUCUUCAUCUGGAGGGCAGAUCUGGAGUCCAUUUUGGGCUCCGGAGAGGGGAAAUCGUCGCCAUCGUCAUCAUCAACCUUCCUCCAUCGAAAAUUCCAUGAUGCUCUUUAUCGUUCGUGAUUAAUCUCAUCAUAUGCUUGUUGGACGGUCAUGAGUUGGAUGAGAUCUAUCAUGUAAUCGAGUUAGUUUUUGACGGGGAUUGAUCCCUAGUAUCCACUAUGUUCAAGAUUGAUGUUGCUACUACUUUGCCAAGAUUAAUGCUUAUCACUAGGGCCCGAGUGCCAUGAUUUCAGAUAUGAACCUAUUAUGUUUUCGCCAAUAUAUGUGUGUUUUAGAUCCUAUCUUGCAAGUUGUAGUCACCUACUAUGUGUUAUGACCCGGCAACCCCGGAGUGACAACAGCCGGAACCACUCCCGGAGAUGACCAUAGUAUGAGGAGUUCAUGUAUUCACCAAGUGUUAAUGCGUUGGUCCUGUUCUUUAUUAAAAGGAGAACCUUAAUAUCCCGUAGUUUCCAUUAGGACCCCGCUGCCACGGGAGGGAUGGACAAUAGACGUCAUGCAAGUUCUUUUCCCUAAGCACGUAUGACUACAUACGGAAUACAUGCCUACAUUAGAUUGACGAACGGGAGCUAGUUACUUAUCUCUCCGUGUUAUAGCUGUUACAUGAUGAAUCANNNNNNNNNNNNNNNNNNNNNNNNNNNNNNNNNNNNNNNNNNNNNNNNNNNNNNNNNNNNNNNNNNNNNNNNNNNNNNNNNNNNNNNNNNNNNNNNNNNNNNNNNNNNNNNNNNNNNNNNNNNNNNNNNNNNNNNNNNNNNNNNNNNNNNNNNNNNNNNNNNNNNNNNNNNNNNNNNNNNNNNNNNNNNNNNNNNNNNNNNNNNNNNNNNNNNNNNNNNNNNNNNNNNNNNNNNNNNNNNNNNNNNNNNNNNNNNNNNNNNNCCGAUCCACUGCCUACGAGUCUUUUACUACUGGUCCUUGCUAUGUUACUUUGUCUAGGCUUGUCCCUUGCUACAAAAGGGAUUGGGCCACUUUGCUACUGCUGUUACUUUGCUGCUACUGCUACUGCUGUUCCUUGCUACUUUGCUGUUACUUGUUGCAAGAUCCUUUUCCGACACUAUUGUCGGAGAAGAACAGUUACCCGCUCACAUGCAACCUACUGGCGCCAUUGAUACAAUAGUUAGGAAUAGUAUGCCGUCAACAGAUCGUUUCUGGCACCGUUGCUAUCAUACUACUUUGCUACUGAUACUUUGCUUGCAGACACUAAUCUUUCAGGUGUGGUUGAAUCUGACAAACUCAGCUGCUAAUACUUGAGAAUAUUCUUAUGCUUCCCCUUUGGCGAACCAACAAAUUUGGGUUGAAUACUCUACCCUCGAAAACUGUUGCGAUUCCCUAUACUUGUGGGUUAUCAAGACCUUUUUCUGGCGCCGUUGCCGGGGAAGCACACUAUAUUCUCUGAGUCACUUGGGAUUGACGUCUGCUGGUCACUAUGAGGAAUCCGAAAGAUCCAAGAACUAAAAUCUUGCCUUCCACUACGAGGAGAGGUAAGGAAUUGCCAUCUAGCUGUGCACUUGAUUCACCUUCAGUUUUGAGUAAGUUUGCGACAUCGCCUCCUGCUAGAAAUCUUGAUAUGUCGCCUGUGCUUGAUGAUGCUACUUCUGCUGCCCAUGAUGCUAUGCUUGAUACUAUGCUUGAUGAUGCUAUGCUUGAUACUAUGCCUGAUGAUGCUAUGCUUGAUACUAUGCCUGCUAUGCCUUAUACUGCUUUGCCACUAGGUGCCCUUGAUGCACAAAUUGCUAGAGUUGCUGCUAGAUGUGAUGGUACUUCUGAAACUGCCGAUACUAUUGAAGUAGAACCUACUACUAUGCCUGAUUUGCCUGUUAUGCCUGAUACGCGCUAUGUUAUGGAGGGAGAGAUAGCUGAGGACUUUCUUGCGUGUAAGGAUUGCUAUGAUGUUGAGAAAUUACUGCGCAAGUGGAAAGAAAAAUCUCUGAACGCUAGGAUGAAAUACGACCCGAAGUUUGCCACUUCGCCUAUCUUUGUGACCGAUAAGAAUUAUGAAUUCUCUGUCGACCCUGAGUUAAUCACUCUGGUCGAAUCUGAUCCUUUUCACGGUUACGAGUCUGAAACGGUUGUAGCCCAUCUUACCAAACUGCACGAUAUAGCCACCCUAUUCAUUAGUGAGGAAAAGAUCCGCCACUACUAUAUCCUCAAGCUGUUUCCUUUCUCGCUAAAGGAUAAUGCUAAGACCUGGUUCACUUCUCUUGCUCCUGGUUGUGUGUGUAGACCCAUGAUAUGGUCUACUACUUCUUUGAAAAAUAUUUCCCUGCCCAUAAGAAGCAAGCUGCCUUGCAGGAAAUAUACAACUUUGCUCAAGCUGAAGAAGAGAGUCUCCCACAAGCUUGGGGGAGGCUCAUCCAGCUACUGAAUGCUUUGCCUGAUCACCCUCUUGAGAAGAAUGAAAUACUUGAUAUAUUCUAUAAUGGACUUACCGAUCCUUCCAAAGACCACCUAGAUAGUUGUGCCGGUAGUGUUUUUAGGGAACGAACCAUAGAACAAGCUGAAAUUCUGUUGAAUAACAUCUUGUGCAAUGAGAUUGCUUUGACUAUUCCCGAACCACCUCCUAAGCCAACUCCGAAGAAAAGAGGUAUUCUAUUCCCCAGUACAGAAGAUAUGCAAGAAGCCAAGGAAUCUAUGCGAGGGAAAGGCAUUAAAUCUGAAGUUGUCAAAAAUCUACCACCUAUCGAAGAGAUCCAUGGUCUCGAUAACCCGAUACAGGUAGUAGAAGUAAAUUCUCUGCGUAGGUUUGAUGAGAGUGAUAUUCCUUUUGAUAAACCUGCUAGCUUAUGCAUGGAUGAAUUUGAUAACUUCGUUGCCAAACAACAGAGUUUCAAUGAUUAUGUUAGUAGACAAUUGGAAAAGAAUGCUCGUAUGCUUAGUCAUUUAAGUGCUUGUGUGGAUAGAAAUGUCAAUGAUCUUAAGCUUCUGAGUAAACAUGCCUCUAUUGUUACUACUCAAGUAGAACAAGUACUUAAAGCUCAUAAUUACUUGCUCAAUGAGUUGAAUGACAAUUCUGUCAGAGUCGUCACUAGAGGCGGUAGAAUGACCCAGGAACCCUUGUAUCCCGAGGGUCAUCCGAAGAGAAUUGAACAAGAUUCUCAAGGAGUUAGCACUGAUGCACCUAGUCAUCCUAGAAAGAAGAAGAAAGAUGAUAGGAACCUGCACGCUAGCAACCCUGUUGCUGCUACCCCUGAGAGUCCAAACGAUGUCUCUGUCUCUGAUGCUGAAACACAAUCUGGUGAUUAACAUGAGCCUAAUGAUAAUAUCAAUAGUGAUGUUCAUGAAGAUGCUCAACCUAGCAACGAUAAGGAUGUGGAGAUUGAACCUGAUCUAGAUAACCCACAACCUAAGACUAAGAGAUACGAUAAGAAUGACUUCGCUGCUAGGAAGCAUGGUAAAGAAAGGGAAGCAUGGGUUCAUAAACCUAUGCCCUUUCCUCCCAAACCAUCCAAGAAAAAGGAUGAUGAGGAUUUUGAGCACUUCGUUGAAAUGAUCAGACCUGUCUUUCUGCAGAUGCGUUUGACAGAUAUGCUCAAGAUGUCUCCGUAUGCUAAGUACAUGAAAGAUAUUGUGACUAAUAAGAGGAGGAUACCUGAGGUUGAGAUUUCCACCAUGCUUGCUAAUUACACCUUCAAGGGUGGAACUCCUAAGAAACUAGGUGAUCCCGGUGUGCCCACUAUACCUUGCUCCAUUAAAGGCAACUACGUUAGAACUGCGUUAUGCGACCUUGGAGCCGGUGUUAGUGUUAUGCCUCUUCCUCUUUAUUGUAGACUUGAACUGGAUAAGUUGACACCCACUAAAAUCUCUCUGCAAAUGGCCAACAAAUCAACUGCUUUCCCUAUCGGCCUUUGCGAGGAUGUGCCUGUUGUGGUUGCUAACACCACUAUCUUAACAGACUUUGUUAUCUUGGAUAUUCCCGAGGACGAUGCCAUGGCUGUCAUCCUCGGAAGACCCUUUUUAAACACUAGAGGGGCUGUUAUAGAUUGGAACAAAGGCAAUGUCACUUUCCAUGUCAACGGUAAUGAGCAUACAGUGCACUUUCCGAUGAAACAAUAUCGAGUACAUUGCAUCAAUGCUAUCGAAAAAACUUCAUCAAUUCUUAUUGGGAGCUUUGAAUGCCCUAUUCCUCGUGUCAAGAUGAAGUAUGAUUUGCUUGUUGGGGAGAUACACAUCCCCAUUGAGGUGACCUAGUGACUAUUAAAGAAUUCUUCGUUCUCUUUUUGCGAUUCGAAAAAGUUUGUCAAAGAGACUUGAUCAACCUCACUGACGGAUUUCUUUCGAUGACCAUGAGAUGGAUGAAUCGAGGAGUCACAAAUCUCUGUUUUAAGCUUUCACCUUCGGUUUCUUAGAAGAAAAAUGAUAGAUUUAGUUUAGUUUUCCCUAUUUUCUGUUUUAGCGUCCGGUAGAAAAGUACCCCGAAAAUAAAAGUUCUCCGAACGUCCUGAAAAUCAAGUAUGAUUUUUUGUGGAAUUUUUGAAAAAUUCUGAGACAAAGAGUUUGUCUAGGGCCCACACCAGUGGGCCACAAGCCCUAGGGGCGCCGGCACCCCCCUGGCCGCGCCACCGAGGCUUGUGGGGCCCACAGGCACCCCUCCACUCAUUCUUGCUCUCAUCUGGUUCUCCUACCUCCAGAAAAAAAUCGUUUCGCAGCUAAAACCCGUGUUCUUGCUCCUCUUGUUGGGAUUUUCGAUCUCUUUGCUCAAAUCACCAUUCUCCGAACUAUUUUGGGGAAAUUACUCCUUGGUAAGUGACUCCUCCAUUGGUCCAAUUAGUUUUUGCUCUAGUGCCUUAUACUUCGCGUAUUUUUUCUGCCUUGGUGACCAUGUUCUUGAGUUUUGCAUGCUAAUUUUAGUUGGUCCCAAGUAGUUUUGAUGCAUAAUAUGGCCUCUAUGCACUUGUGGGAGUAGUUGCCACAAGUUUAGUUGAGCAUUGUUCACUCUUCCUUAGAAUCACUAAAAAUUUCAGAAAUUUUCAGAGACAGAGAAAGGGAAAAGAUGAGGAGGUUCUUAAGAGGCUCGUCAAGCCGUGACCCCAAGGAUGAUGGGAGUGAGAAGAAGCCCAAGUAUAUGGUCCCUCGAGUCGCGGAAGUUCGAGCGUGCGAGUGGCCAAGCGACGUGUUCUUACGUGCCGCUGUAAUUUAUGAGGACUUUUACCACUUGGUGGAGAACGCAGGCCUUACCGCCUUCGUUGAAGAUAAGUGUCCGCAAUACCUCCUCUUCACUAAUAUCUUCGUACAAAGCUUUAACUUCUAUCCAAGGAAGAAUCCUCCUAUGGUUGAGUUUAAACUUUAUGAUAUCCCCCAGCGCAUGUCACUCUAGGAUUUUUGCAAUGUUUGCAAACUACCUUACGUUGGGGAUAUGCAUGAACCUCGUCCACGUGACUUGGAAGCUUUCAUCGGUACUAUUUCUGUAGGAGAGGAGAGAGGACUGUCUUGCGCUAGAGCUGCUAGCAUUCAUUUUCCCAUGCUUCGGUACUUCUCAUUAUUUGUGGGAAAAUGUUUGAUUGGCCAUGGGAAGUCUGGGUCACUUAGUUCCCCAGAUCUUGCGGUCUUGCGUGAAGCCCUUUAUAAUGAUAAAACUUAUAGCUUGGGCGCUAUAGUAGCUCAACGGUUGAACCUGAACUGUUCUAAAGGUGUUGUCUUUGGAGGUAUCUAUGCUACCCGUCUUGCGAGACACUUUGAGAUACCCAUUAGACUAGAGGAGGAAGAAGAGGUUCUUCUUCCCGAGUGAUAUCUAGAUUACGAUAGCAUGGUUCGCCAUGACUUUCUUGAUAGAGAUAUAAAUAGAAGGAUGAUUUGUAACCUGGUAUUUAGUCAGGGUACUCGUGAGACUAUUACUUUGCGUGCUCCUUCUUUGUUCAAUCUUCAUGCAGACAGGUACAUCAUUAUGCCCUCGGACAUCUAAGCAUAUUGGGGCUUAGCCAACCACAUGUGUCCGUGCCCGAGCCACCGGUCGAGUACCAGACGCCAGUUUAUCAGUGGGAGCCAGAGGAGCUCACACAGCAGUGGCACCCUCAGUCCACUCCGGAGUACCCCGGAGCUGGUUAUUUCCCUCCUUGGGAGUAGACCAACUUAGGCCAAAAGCCUAAGCUUGGGGGAGUACGUUUUCUCACCGACUUUACAUUCUUGCUUAUGCUUUCACUUCGUUAGCCGGUGUUCACACUUCGCCACUGUAUCAUCCAUGCUAGUUUAUUUUCUUUUUCUCGUUUUCGUUUCGUGUGUGUGUCUAGUUUGAGAAAACCCAAAAAGAUGUUCUUUUCUUCUUUUGCUUGUUGGGAGCUUUCCCGUGUAGAUAGUUUUCUUUUUCUUUGGGUCAAGGUAGAAGAUAUUGGUUACAAUGUUUAGUGGCUCUUGCAUGCAUACCUGUUUAGCUUUCAUAGAGCCAUAUUACUUUGUCUUCUCCUUUGUGUUUGCCUGCAAAUUCCAACGUAGUCCAAUGCACAAGCACUCUUAUUAUUGUUCACAUCGUUCGGUCGUUCAAGUGAAAGGCAAUAAUGACGAUAUAUGAUGAAGUGACUGAGCCUGGAAAAGCUGGUAUGAACUCGAUCUAUUUUGGUUUUGUAAAUAUGACUAGCUCAUCAUGCCUGAUUCAGCUUUGUUGUGAGAGAAACAUGUUUGCAACGACAACUUAGAGAUCAUAGUUGCUUAUGCCAUGCUUACUUAGCUAGGAGCUUAUAAUGGUUUGUCUUGGUUGCCAACAUGAAUGUUGAGAUGACUAUGAUGUAGUAUGAUAGGAUGGUAUCCUCCUUUGAAUGUUUCAAGUGGCUUGACUUGGCGCAUGUUCACGCAUGUAGUUGAAACAAAAUCAACAUAGCCUCUAUGAUAUUCAUGUUCAUGGUGAUUUAUGUCCUACUCAUGCUUGCACUCAAUGUUAGUUAAUCUCAAUGCAUUUUGAUGACUGUUGUCGCUCUCUAGUUGGUCGCUUCCCAGUCUUUUGAUAGCCUUCACUUGUACUAAGCGGGAAUACUACUUAUGCAUCCACCUCCAUAAACCCAAAGUUGUUCCAUAUGAGUCCACCAUACCUACCUAUGUGCGGUAUCUACCUGCCGUUCCAAGUAAAUUUGCAUGUGCCAUUCUCUAAACCUUCAAGGAAUAAUCUGUUUUGCAUGCCCGAACCGCUCAUGUGGUGACAGGGGGCUAUUAGUAUCUUCCAUGCUAGGCGUGUUAUCCUCGAUAUGUGUUUAUUCACUAUCCAUGCCCAAAUCGAAAAGAUAAUUGCAAAGAAAACUCCCCCAGGAUUGAUGUUGGUAUGGACGGUACCCGAGGAUUCGGCUAGCCGUGGAGUGUGAUUGAUUGGUGGUCGGGGAGUCAAAACUUUACUUUUCUGUUUGGGAACCGCCUAUAGCAUGUGUAGCGUGGAACAUGUUGAGAACUCUUAGUCAUUGCAUUGACAAUGAAAGCAUGCCACCCAAAAUUAUUCUCUGUUUUCAAAGCUUGAGCUCUGGCACCUCUGCAAAUCAAUGCUUCCCUCUACGAAGGGCCUGUCUAUUUAUGGUCCUAUUGAGUCAUUCUCCUCUUACACAAGCACAAAUUAGAGAGCACCUCUGUCAUUUUUAAGCUUUGCUUUUAACUAUGUUGAGUAUGACUAUGACUGGAUCUUCAUUGCCUUGAAUUACAAUGUUUAGUCAGCCCUUGGUCUUUGAAGGUGCUCUGCAUUUAUAUUUUGCGGUCUCAAAAAGAGCUAGGGAGAUACCAUCUAUUCGUACUGCUUCAUGUUGUUUUGAUUGAAGUGUUGACAUUUGAGGCUUAUUAUUAUUUGCUCGCUAGUUGAUUAUGCCAUUGAUAUGAGUUUACCGUGAGACCAAGAUGUCAUUUGCUUAUGUGGUUAGCUUGUGAUCUUGCUGAAAUUCUGGUUGUGAGUUAUACAUUGUUGCAACAACAAGAUCAAAAAGAGUUCGUCAAAGUUUUUCUUUUGUCUCUUUCAGUUUGUCAACUGAAUUGCUUGAGGACAAGCAAGGCUUUAAGCUUGGGGGAGUUGAUACGUCUCUGUCGUAUCUACUUUUCCGAACUCUUUUGCCCUUGUUUUGGACUCUAAUAUGCAUGAUUUGAAUGGAACUAACCCGGACUAACGUUGUUUUCACUAGAAUUGCCAUGGUGUUGUUUUUGUGCAGAAAUAAAAGUUCUCCGAAUGACCUGAAAAUUUACGGAGAUUUUUUCUGGAAUUAAUGAAAAAUACUUGCGCAAAGAUCCACCGGAGGGGGUGAGCCAGUGGGCCUGGGCCACAAGCCCACUGGCCGCGGCCACCCCCCAGGCCGCACCAACCAGGCUUGUGGAGCCCACAGAGCUCCACCGCCUCCAAACUCAGCUCUAUAUAUUUCGUUUCGCCCGGAAAAAAUCAGAGAGAAGGAUUCAUCGUGUUUUACGAUACAGAGGCGCCGCCACCUCCUGUUCUUCAUCUGGAGGGCAGGUCUGGAGUCCGUUCUAGGCUCCGGAGAGGGGAAAUCGUCGCCAUCGUCAUCAUCAACCUUCCUCCAUCGCCAAUUCCAUGAUUCUCUUCACCGUUCGUCAGUAAUCUCAUCGUAGGCUUGCUAGACGGUGAUGAGUUCGAUGAGAUCUAUCAUGUAAUCGAGUUAGUUUUGACGGGGAUUGAUCCCUAGUAUCCACUAUGUUCUGAGAUUGAUGUUGCUACUACUUGGCUAUGCUUAAUGCUUGCCACUAGGGCCCGAGUGCCAUGAUAUUGAUGUUGCAAGUUGUAGUCACCUACUAUGUGUUAUGACCCGGCAACCCCGGAGUGACAAUAGCCGGAACCACUUCCGGAGAUGACCAUAGUAUGAGGAGUUCAUGUAUUCACCACGUGUUAAUGCAUUUGUCCGGUUCUUUAUUAAAAGGAGAACCUUAAUAUCCCGUAGUUUCCAUGAGGACCCCGCUGCCACGGCAGGGAUGGACAAUAGAUGUUAUGCAAGUUCUUUUCCCUAAGCACGUAUGACUACAUACGAAAUACAUGCCUACAUUAGAUUGACGAACGGGAGCUAGUUACUUAUCUCUCCGUGUUAUAGUUGUUACAUGAUGAAUAACAUCCGACAUACUCAUCCAUCACCGAUCCACUGCCUACGAGUCUUUUACUACUGGUCCUUGCUACGUUACUUUACUCGCUACUUCUGUCACUACUGCUGUUACUUGUUACUUUGCUGUUACCUGUUGCAACACUUUUCUGGCGCCAUUGAUACAACAAGUUAGGAAUAGUCUGCCGUCAACAGAUCCUUUUCUGGAACCGUUGCUAUCAUACCACUUUGCUACUGAUACUUUUCUUGCAGAUACUAAUCUUUCAGGUGUGGUUGAACUGACAACUCAGCUGCUAAUACUUGAGAAUAUUCUUUCGCUUCCCCUUGUGGCGAAUCAAUAAAUUUGGGUUGAAUACUCUACCCUCAAAAACUUCUAUGAUCCCAUACGCUUGUCGAUCAUCAACCACAACCACAACCCGAGACGCCACGUGAGGAGUCGGACCGGCCUGACCGGAAGAGCCACCACCAGUAGAACCCGGGCUACGCCGGCCAUCAGACGGAGCCAGAGGAACCCCAACAUCACCAUCCUCCUCACAGAAGGAGCUCUCCCCUGAUGGGCCCCCAUCCCCAUCCUUCCCCUCAUCACAAGGCAUAGAGGCAACGGGAGCCAGCCGAAGCCGAUCCUCAGGAACUGGAGACUCAAGCUCAAAGGUGAGGCACCUCCCCUUGGUGUCGAAAUAGAAUAUAAGGGACAUGCCAUCAAUCUUCGACGGAGAGGGGGAUAGGAUCUUGAUGCGGGCGGGGCCAUCAUCCUCGAAGGACGCCAAGUCUGCGGUCACCAGCUUGCCCACCGGCUCAGAGAUUGCCUUGAGGAUGUGAGCGAACUUGCCGCCCCACGAUGCCGACCUGCCACCUCUAGGAAAGCCGUAGACAAGGACCCACACCUUCUCCAAAGGUGGCACGGGAUCAGGCUCCGCCUCCGCCGCAUGGACGGAGAUCCGGAACUGGUUGAUGGGGCAGCUGAUGAAAUCGUGAGAACACUCCCGGAGGAGCUCAGCGGAGGGGAAGGGGACCGAGAAUACGAGGGGAGCCGUCUCGGUCACCUCCCAAAUGAAGUCGGAGCCGCAGAAGUUGCCGAUGUAGGCGGCGAGCUCGUCGUGGAUGAGGUCGGCCAAGAUCACCACCCCAUGCGGCAAGACCUGCUCGGGGGCCAGAGUGACCGUCGCGAGGUGCGGCCGAACCGCCUCUUCCUCAAGCAUCCACAUAGUAGAAAAUAUCCCCUCAGUACCGUACCCAAGGUAGGCAAGGGUCAUGGGGCAUCGUGGAGAGGCCUCACACUCUGAGCGGAAGUGACCCACGCAUCCACAGUUAAUGCACAUCGUGUCGUCGCAAGUCCGUUGGCGGCCAACCUGAGAAGGGAUCUCCGGAGCCGGGUAUAUUUCUUGUAGUUGCAUUAGUUAAGGGUAUAUCUGAGAUCACUCAUUUAUGUUGAGAUUCAUGAGAAUAUAUGACCCCUUAAAUAUAUAUAGCACUACUAUAUUUCUUAUAUCUUUCGUUUCAGUCAAAUUAUUAUGAAACUUAAUGGGCCCAAAGUACACCUUUCGUUAGGGAUGUUACGCACACACGUCUCUCCUCUCACUCUACGUGCAUAACAAAUUCAUAGACUUUAUUUCAUCUUACACAAUUUAAAUCAAUCAUAUCUUUUAAUUAUAUACUCAACUUUUGAAACAUUUUAUAUAUUUGGACUCCUCGCGUCAAGAACUUUAGAACUAGACCUGUUUUGAAAACAUUUAAAUUUUGAAAUUUCACAUUUCAUAUGUGAAAAAACUGAGACAAACCUAUUUCACCAGGGAUAUGUGAAAAUAACAUUUUUCACAGAAACCUAUUUAACCCAACACUACUAGGAAAAGGCUUGCUAAUGGCGCACCUAUUUUUGCUACUAAUGGCGCACUAUAGGUGCGCCACUAGCAUCACGCCAUUAGAUUCUUUUAUUAAUGGCGCACCACAAGUGCGCCAUUAGUAUCUGGUAUACUAAUGGCGCACCAGGUAGUGCACCAUUAGUAUUGCUCACGGUGCGCCAUUAGUAUGCCUCCCAGGUGCGCCAUUAGUAUGCCUCCCAGGUGCGCCAUUAGUAUGCCUCCCUAGUGCGCCAUUAGUAUACCUCCGAGGUGCGCCAUUAGUAUGCCUCCCAGGUGCACCAUUAGUAUGCCUCCCAGGUGUGCCAUUAGUAUAGCCCAUGGUGCUCCAUUAGUAUCUGGUAUUCUAGCAUAUAUAUGUUUUUUUCAAAACCACAAAUUCAACAACACAUAACAUAUAUAUCAAAUAUAUAAUACAUAAUAUGUGCCCAAUAGUUUUACUGAUCCACAACACAUAACAUAUAUGCAAAGUUGCAUAACAAAUUUCAUGAUCCAUAUAUCAAAACUCCAUAGCAUCCAUACAUCCAAAAUUCCAUAGCAUCCAUAUAUACAUAUAGUUCCAUAGCAUCCAUACAUACAUAGCAACAUAACAAAUAUAGUUCCAUAUCAUCCAUUCAUUAUUCACAUACAAUUUUUUGAGCUACAAUAUUAUUUUGUUUGCAUUAAUAUGUUACCAUUAUUAUUUUAGAUGACAAAAAAGACAACUAUGGCUCCAAAGGUUUGCUUUAUGUCUUCACGCCACAUAAGUAAACGAAGUAGAAGGGGCGCACGUUUAGGAGCUCCAGCGCGCGGUCCUUUUGAACUUCCCCUCGCAAAAGAAGCAUGAAUCAAAAGCGUUAGAGAAAGAAAACAGAUGAUUCAGAAUUACAAAUUUUGAUACAUAUUGACUUCUAACAUAACAACACCAGCAAUGUUUGUUACAAAAUUUAGGAGGUAUCAAGAUACUUAAAUUGUCAACUAGUGACGACUACACACACACACACGGAGAUAUAUACACAUAAGCUCCAAAGAAUACAGCUAAGAUUUUCAAGAGAACAUUCACAUACAAGAAUAAACACAUGAUGUUUGGUUCCAAAUUAUAAAUAUAAGCUGUCGAUGUUGCGCUGAAUCCAAAGUAAUCCCAGCUACAUAGGUCACACGCUCGCUCUAAUGAGAUGUGAGUACCAAAUGUUUAAGCCUGAAGGAAAGAAGCAAUGGUAUAGGCACAAACUUUCCAGUCAUGGAGAUGAUACUACGAUCAUAAUGUUCACCCUUGAUUGCAAACAAAAUCUAACUAGUAAACGCACACAAUCAGCAGCCCCUAUAUAUAACUCCAUAAAAGUAUUAGAACAGAUGCAUCAGAACUGAAUUACCUGUGAGCAACAGUAGGAAUGAGCCUUCAGGCUGCGCGAGGAAGGAGACCAUCUUGGCAACCUUCUCCAAGCACUCCUGACUCUGCACCAGCAACGAAUCGCCAUUCCUCUCCACAAUUGAGUCAAACCUGUAAAUUCUACUCAGGAGCUAACCAAAUGAAAGGGUUAACAAUCCCACUGCAUUACGCCAAAAGAAAGAGCGUUGAGUAAAGAGAUGAAAACAAACUAAAACUUCAAGACAAUGAAACUACAUGAAUGAUUAGCUGUAGAGAUACUGGAAAAGGCGGUGGAGACAGGGGAGGGUGCGGGGGGUCGUCGGCGGCGGUGGAGCGGGGGAGGGUGCGGNUGCGCCAUUAGUAGUUUUGCAAAAAAAAAUAUAGUAGUGGCGCACCACCUACAUAUGCGCCAUUAGUAACCCUGGUUACUAAUGGCGCACCUCCUCUGUUGCGCCAUUAGUAGUUCUGCAAAAAAAAAAAGUAGUGGCGCACCACCAAUAGAUGCGCCAUUAGUAACACUGGUUACUAAUGGCGCACUAGCUGUGGUGCGCCAUUAGUAGUUUGCAAAAAAAAAAAUUAUAGUAGUGGCGCACUACUAACAGAUGCGCCAUUAGUAAGCAGGUUACUAAUGGCGCACCAGCUUCUGGUGCGCCAUUAGUAGUUUUGCAAAAAAUAAAAAAAAUAUAGUAGUGGCGCACCGAGAGUGUGGUGCGCCAUUACUAUCCACCACACUAAUGGCACACCUCACAUGGUGCGCCAUUACUAUAUAGUAGUGGCACACUGCUUGUGUGGUGCGUCAUUAGUAUCUAUAUCAUCUAUAGCCCUUUUCCUAGUAGUGCAAGUAUGAAACUGAAAUGUCAACUUGUGAUACUAAAUAUUUGAAAAUGUAUACCAUAUUAUUUUAAAAGAGUAAAGUAUGUUAUUUCAAAAGUUGCAAUUGAAAUAGGGGCCAUUUUUGUGAAAGAAGCGAGUGAAAAGUGAAAUGCACCAUGAUGAGGACAUGACUACCUUGGACACUAGUAGAAAAUGGUCCAUUUGUCCUGGUUCCCUUACUAACCGGGACCGAAGGGUCUCUAUGUGGCCUCUGUGGGUAGCCCGGGCAGGAGGUUCUUUAGUCCCGGUUGGUCACACCAACCGGGACAACUUGGCAUCCACGCGUCAGCAUCUGGCCGGAGCUGGGUUUUUUUUCAAUGGGGGGGGGGGUGGAGCAUUAAUUUAGUGGUUUCAUAUUAUGUUAGCUAGCUAAUAGAGAGAAGUGUCCUCUCUUUCUCCAUGCUUGGUCGAACAACAAGUUUUCGUAUGUCUAUCCGAUGCUAUUACAUAUAUACAAUAUAACAUCUUUUACAAUUAAUCCAAAACAUCAUCUAAUUAAUAUCCAAUGACAAAUCCACAUGGCAUUCUCCGUGUUUAGGUAUGACGUGGUCAACAAAGAAUCCUGCCAAUUCCUCUUGAAUUGCUCGUAUGCGAUCAUAUGGUAGAAGUUGAUCCCGCACCUCACAGAUCUAAUUUAAAGAAGGGGGUAAAUACAUGCAUAUAUAUGAAUAAAACUCAAUAUAAUUGUGAAUAUUAUUUACGUACUUGAAAUUGUUUCUCACAGAAAACCCGCUCAGAGGUCGAGUGGCGAAUGAACUCGCAUACGUAGUAUGCACAUAAAACAGUGCCUUCUUUGUGGUACAUACACUUUACGAGAAUAGAGUUCAAUCAAACUGAUAAGCAAACAUGGUAAUGAUAUAUUGAUGAAAAUUUGAAUCAAUUAGAGAUGCGCAGAACUAGCUAGUGUUGGAAAUAUGGCCUAGAGGCAAUGAUGAAUAGUUACUAUUAUAUUUCCUGUUACAAGAUAAUCGUUUAUUAUCCAUGCUAUAAUUUUAUUGAAUGAAAACAUAGAUACAUGUGUGGAUAGAUAGACAAAACAAUGUCCCUAGCAAGCCUCUAGUUGGCUAGCCAGUUGAUCAAGGGUAGUCAAGGUUUUCCGGCUAUGUGCAAGUGUUGUCACUUGAUAACUCGAUCACAUCAUUAGGAGAAUCAUGUGAUGGACUAGACCCAAACUAUGAACGUAGCAUAUUGAUCAUGUCAUUUUAUUGCUAUUGUUUUUUGCGUGUCCAGUAUUUAUCCCUAUGACCAUGAGAUCAUAUAACUCACUGGCACCAGAGGAAUACCUUGUGUGUAUCAAAUGUCACAAUGUAACUGGUGACUAUAAAGGUGCUCUACAGGUAUCUCCAAAGGUGUCCGUUGAGUUAGUAUGGAUCAAGACUAGGAUUUGUCACUCCGUGUGACGGAGAGGUAUCUCGGGGCCCACUCGGUAAUACAACAUCACACAUAAGCCUUGCAAGCAAUGUGACUAAGUGUAAGUCACGGGAUCUUGUAUUACGCAAUGAGUAAAGAGAGUUGUCUGUAACGAGAUUGAAAUAGGUAUGCGGAUACCGACGAUCGAAUCUCGGGCAAGUAAUAUAAUGAAGGACAAAGGGAAUGACAUACGGGAUUAUAUGAAUCCUUGGCACGGAGGUUCAACCGAUAAGAUCUUCGGAGAAUAUGUAGGAUCCAAUAUGGGCAUCCAGGUCCCGCUAUUGGAUAUUGACCGAGGAGUGUCUCGGGUCAUGUCUACAUAGUUCUCGAACCCGCAGGGUCUGCACACUUAAGGUUCGAUGAUGUUUUAGUAUAGUUGAGUUAUAUGUGUGGUUACCGAAUGUUGUUUGGUGUCCCGGAUGAGAUCACGGACAUCACGAGGGUUUCCGAAAUGGUCCAGAAACGAAGAUUGAUAUAUAGGAUGGUUUCAUUUGGUCACCGGAAAGUUUNNNNNNNNNNNNNNNNNNNNNNNNNNNNNNNNNNNNNNNNNNNNNNNNNNNNNNNNNNNNNNNNNNNNNNNNNNNNNNNNNNNNNNNNNNNNNNNNNNNNNNNNNNNNNNNNNNNNNNNNNNNNNNNNNNNNNNNNNNNNNNNNNNNNNNNNNNNNNNNNNNNNNNNNNNNNNNNNNNNNNNNNNNNNNNNNNNNNNNNNNNNNNNNNNNNNNNNNNNNNNNNNNNNNNNNNNNNNNNNNNNNNNNNNNNNNNNNNNNNNNNNNNNNNNNNNNNNNNNNNNNNNNNNNNNNNNNNNNNNNNNNNNNNNNNNNNNNNNNNNNNNNNNNNNNNNNNNNNNNNNNNNNNNNNNNGAGGGGCCCACCCACCCAGGAGUGAGCCCAAGGCCCUAAGGUGGCACACCAAGUCCUUAGUGGGCUGGUGGAGUCGGACCAAGAGGGCUAUGGCGCCACAUGUAAAAAUACCAAAGGAAAAGAAAAAAAGGAAAGAGGGAGAUGGGAAGGAAGAGGAGGACUCCUCCUUCCCAAACCGAAUUGGAGGAGGAGUCCUCCUCCUCCCUGGCUGUCGACGCACCCUUCGGGACCUUGUGCCCUAAGGCUAGCCCCUCCCCUCCUCCUAUAUAUAUUGGUGGUUUAGGGAUUUUUGAGACACAACUUUGCCACGUGCAACUCUAGCCUAUUCCACAUAGUUUUACCUCUAGAUCGGAUUUCUGCGGAGCUCGGGCGGAGCCCUGCAAGAGUAGAUCAUCACGACCAUCGGAGCGCCAUCACGCUGCCGGAGAACUCAUCUACUUCUCCAUAUUGCUUGCUGGAUCAAGAAGGUUGAGAUUGUCAUCGAGCUGUACGUGUUGUGAAUGUGGAGGUGUCGUCCGUUCGGCGCUAGAUCGAAACCAUUCGUGGGACGGAUCGUGGGACGACGGUGAUUUGAAUCAAGAAGCUGUACCACUACAUCAACCGCGUUUAUUAACACUUCCCUCUGAGAAAUCUACAAGGAUACGUAGAUCUAAUCUCCUCUCGUAGAUGGACAUCACCAUGAUAGGUCUUCGUGUGCGUAGGAAAUUUUUUGUUUCCCGUGCAACGUUCCCCAACAGUGGCAUCAUGAGGUAGGUUCAUGCGUAGAUGUUAUCUCGAGUAGAACACAAAAGGUUUUGUGGACGAUGAUGUUCGAUUUGCUGCCCUCCUUAGUCUUUUCUUGAUUCGGCGGUAUUGUUGGAUUGAAGCGGCCCGGACCGACAUAACUCGUACGCUUACGAGAUAGUGGUUUCAUCGAUUGACAUGAAACCUCGUUGCAUAAAAUGACUGGCGGGUGCCUGUUUCUUCAACUUUAGUUGAAUUGGUUUUGACCGAGGCGGUCCUUGAAGAGAGGUUAAAUAGCAUUUUGCACAUCUCCGUUGUGGUUUUUGCGUAAGUAAGAUGCGAUUAUACUAGAUACUCACAGCAGCCACGUAAAACAUGCAACAACAAAUUAGAGGACGUCUAACUUGUUUUUGCAAGGUAUGCUUGUGAUAUUAUAUGGCCAAUGACAUGAUGUGAUAUAUUGGAUGUACGAGAUGAUCAUGUUGUAAUAGUUAAUAUCGACUUGCACGUCGGUGCUACGGCAACUGGCAGGAGCCAUAGGGUUGUCUUUAAACUAACUUUUGUGUUUGCACAUGCGUUUACUAUAUUGCUAGGUCGUAGCUUUAGUAGUAAUUUCAUAGAUAGCAUGAAAACCUCGAUGGCGACAUGUCGAUGGAGAUCAUGGUGUGGCACCGGUGACAAGAAGAUCAUGCCGGUGCUUUGGUGAUGGAGAUCAAGAAGCACAAGAUGAUGGCCAUAUCACUUAUGAAUUGCAUGUGAUGUUAAUCCUUUUAUGCACCUUAUUUUGCUUAGAAUGACGGUAGCAUUAUGUGGUGAUCUCUCACUAAAAUUUCAAGAUGAAAUUGUCUUCUCCCCGACUGUGCACCGUUGCGACAGUUCAUCGUUCUGGGACACCACGUGAUGAUCGGGUGUGAUAGACUCAACGUUCACAUACAACGGGUGCAAAACAGUUCCAUACACGGAACAGUCGGGUUAAACUUGACGAGCCUAGAAUGUGCAGACAUGGACUCGGAACGCAUGAGACCGAAAGGUCGAGCAUGAAUCGUAUAGUUGAUAUGGUUAGCAUAGAGAUGUUUAUCACUGAAACUAUUCUCAACUCACGUGAUGAUCAGACUUGAGUUAGUGAAUUUGGAUCAUGUACCACUCAAAUUACUAGAGAGAUGUACUUUUUGAGUGGGAGUUUAUCAGUAAUUUGAUUAGUUAAACUCUAAUUAUCUUAAACAUAGUCUAAGUCCACUUUGCAAAAUUUGUGUUGUAGAUCAAUGGCUCACGCGACAGUCACCCUGAACUUUAAUACGUUCCUAGAGAAAGCUAAGUUGAAAGAUGAUGGAAGCAACUUUGUAGGUUGGGCUCGUAAUCUUAAGUUGCUCCUGCAAGCUGGGAAGAAGGAUUAUGUCCUUAAUGCUACGCUAGGAGAUGAACCACCCGCUACGGCUGACCAAGAUGUUAAGAACGCCUGGUUAACACGUAAGGAGGACCUCUCAGUAGUUCAAUGUGCAGUCUUGUAUGGCUUAGAGUCGGGACUUCAACGUGGCUUUGAGCGUCAUGGAGCAUAUGAGAUGUUCCAGGAGUUGAAGUUUAUCUUACAUAAGAACGCCUGGAUCGAGAGGUAUGAGACCUUCGAUAAAUUCUAUGCUUGCAAGAUGGAGGAGAAUUCGUCUGUGAGUGAACAUGUGCUCAAAAUGUAUGGUUACUCAAACCGUCUAGCUGAGCUCGGGAUUGAACUCCCGCAAGAGGCUAUCACUGACAGAAUUCUUGAAUCACUGCCACCUAGCUAUAAGAGCUUUUUGUUGAACUAUAACAUGCAAGGGAUGAACAAGUCACCCGACGAGUUAAUCGCGAUGCUGAAAAUCGCAGAGUCAGAACUCCGGAAAGAGCAUCAAGUGUUGAUGGUCAAUAAUACCACUAGCUUCAAGAGAAACGACAAAGACAAGAAGGGUAACUCCAAGAAGAGCGGCAAGCCUGUUGCCAAUCCGAUGAAGAAACCCAAGGUUGGACCUAAGCCUGAAACAGAGUGUUAUUAUUGCAAGGGCCUGGGUCACUAGAAUCGCAACUGCCGCAAGUAUUUGGCUGAUAAGAAGGCAGCCAAGGAAAAAUCAGGUAUAUUUGAUAUACAUGUUAUUGAUGUGUACUUAACCAACUCUCUUAGUAGUGCCUGGGUAUUUGAUACCGGUUCUGUUGAUCAUAUUUGCAACUCGAAGUAGGAACUGCGGAAUAAACGAAGGCUGGCGAAGGAUGAAGUGACGAUGCGCGUGGGAAAUGGUUCCAAGGUUGAUGCAAUCACCGUCGGCAUAGUUUCACUUCAGUUACCAUCAGGAUUAGUUAUGAACUUAAAUAAUUGUUAUUUGGUGCCUGCGUUAAUCAUGAACAUUAUAUAUGGAUCUUGUUUAUUGCGAGACGGUUACUCGUUUAAGUCAGAGAAUAAUGGUUGUUAUAUUUCUAUGAGUAAUAUCUUUUAAGGUCAUGCACCCAAUGUGAGAGGAUUGUUCAUAUUGAAUCUUGAUAGCGACAAUACACAUAUACAUAACAUUGAGACCAAAAGAUGUAAAGUUAAUAAUGAUAGCGCCAUGUUUUUGUGGCACUGCCGCUUAGGUCAUAUUGGUGUAGAGCGCAUGAAGAAACUUCAUUCCAAUGGACUUUUGGAGUCACUUGACUUUGAAUCACUUGACACGUGCGAACCAUGCCUCAUGGGCAAGAUGACUAAGACUCCGUUCUCCGAAACAAUGGAGCGUGCAAGUAACUUGUUGGAAAUCAUACAUACCGAUGUGUGCGGUCCGACGAGUGUGGAGGCACGUGGCGGAUAUCAUUAUUUUAUCACCUUCACUGAUGAUUUGAGUUGGUAUGGAUAUAUCUACUUGAUGAAACACAAGUCUGAAACGUUUGAGAAGUUCAAGCAAUUUCAGAGUGAAGUUGAAAAUCAUCGUAAAAAGAAGAUCAAGUUCCUACGGUCUCAUCGUGGGGGUGAAUAUCUGAGUUUCGAGUUUGGUGCUCACUUAAGACAACGUGGAAUUGUUUCAUAGUUGACACCGCUUGGAACACCACAUCGUAAUGGUGUGUCCGAACGUCAUAAUCGUACUUUGUUAGAAAUGGUGCGAUCUAUGAUGUCUCUUACCUAUUUGUCAUUAUCGUUUUGGAGUUAUGCAUUAGAGACAACUGCAUUCACUUUAAAUAGGGCACCAUCAAAAUCCGCUGAGACGACAAUAUACGAACUGUGGUAUGGCAAAAGAACGAAGUUGUCGUCUCUUAAAGUUUGGUGAUGUGAUGCUUAUGUCAAAAAGCUUCAGCCUGAAAAGCUGGAACCCAAAGUGGAAAAGUGCGUCUUCAUAGGUUACCCAAAGGAGACAAUUGGGUACACCUUCUAUCUCAAAUCCGAGGGCAAAGUGUUUGUUGCUAAAAAUGGAGCUUUUCUUGAGAAGGAGUUUCUUUCGAAAGAAUUGAGUGGGAGGAAGAUAGAACUUGAUGAGGUUGUCAAACCUCUAGUCCCUCUAGAUGGAGGCGCAGGGCAAGGGGAAACCCCUGUCAUUGCGACGCCGGUUGAGGAGGAAGUUAAUGAUGAUGAUCAUGAAACUUCGGAUCAAGUUCCUAUCGGACCUCGCAGGUCGACAAGAUCACGUACUACUCCUGAGUGGUAUGGUAAUCCUGUCUUAUCAAUUAUGUUGUUGGACAACAAUGAACCUGCGAAUUAUGAAGAAGCAAUGGUGGGCCCGGAUUCCAACAAAUGGCUGGAGGCCAUGAAGUCCGAGAUAGGAUCUAUGUAUGAAGACAAAGUGUGUACUUUGGAAGUAUUACCUGAAGGCCAAAAGGCUAUUCAAAACAAAUGGAUCUUUAAGAAGAAGACGGACGCAGACGAUAAUGUGACCGUUUAUAAAGCUCGACUUGUGGCAAAGGGUUUUUCACAAGCUCAAGGAGUUGACUACGAUGAGACGUUCUCACUGGUAGCGAUGCUUAAGUCCGUCCGAAUCAUGUUAGCAAUAGCUGCAUUUUUCGAUUAUGAAAUCUGGGAGAUGGAUGUCAAAACGGCGUUCCUUAAAGGUUUUCUUAAGGAAGAGUUAUAUAUGAUGCAACCCGAAGGUUUUGUCGAUCCAAAGAAUGCUAACAAAGUAUGCAAGCUCCAGCGAUCCAUUUAUGGACUGGUGCAAGCAUCUCGGAGUUGGAAUAAUUGCUUUGAUGAGGUGAUCAAAGCAUUUGGGUUUAUACAAGUGGUUGGAGAAUCUUGUAUUUAGAAUAAAGUGAGUGGGAGCUCUGUGGCGUUUCUAAUAUUAUAUGUGGAUGACAUAUUGCUGAUUGGAAACAACGUGGGGUUUUUGGAGAGCGUAAAGGAUUACUUGAAUACAAGUUUCUCUAUGAAGGACCUAGGAGAAGCUGCUUACAUUCUAGGCAUUAAGAUCUAUAGGGAUAGAUCAAGACGCCUCAUAGGACUUUCAGAAAGCACAUACCUUAAUAAAGUUUUGAAGAAGUUCAAAAUGGAACAGUCCAAGAAAGGGUUCUUGCCAGUGUUACAAGGUAUAAAAUUGAGGAAGACUCAGUGCCCAGCAACUGCGGAAGAUAGAGAACAAAUGAGUUCCGUCCCCUAUGCUUCAACCAUAGGUUCUAUCAUGUAUGCAAUGUUGUGCACUAGACCAGACGUCAGAUUGGCCAUAAGCAUGGCCGACAGGUUUCAGAGUAAUCCAGGAGUGGAUCACUGGAUGGCGGUCAAGAAUAUUCUGAAGUACCUGAAAAGGACUAAGGAAAUGUUUCUCGUUUAUGGAGGUGACGAAGAGCUCGUUGUAAAGGUUUACGUCGACGCAAGCUUUGACACCGAUCCGGAUGACUCUAAGUCGAAACCAGAUACGUAUUUAUUCUUAAUGGGGGUGCGGUAAGCUGGUGCAGUUCCAAGCAAAGCGCCGUAGCAGAUUCUACAUGUGAAGCGGAGUACAUGGUUGCCUCGGAGGCAACAAACGAGGGUAUCUGGAUGAAGCAGUUCAUGACAGAUCUUGGAGUUGUGCCGAGUGCACUAAAUCCAAUAACUUUGUUUUGUGACAACAGUGGUGCCAUUGCUUUAGCAAAGGAACCAAGGUUUCACAAGAAGACCAGGCACAUCAAAGGACGCUGCAACCUCAUCCGCGACUACAUCGAAGGAGAGGACGUGAAUAUUUGCAAAGUGCACAUGGAUCUGAAUGUAGCACACCCACAGACUAAACCUCUUCAUGGGAAAAACAUGAUCAACACCAGAACUGUAUGGGUGUUAGAUUUAUUACAAUGUAAAUCGCAUGGCGAUGUGAGGACUAGAUUAUUGACUCUAGUGCAAGUGGGAGACUAAUGGAAAUAUGCCCUAGAGGCAAUGAUAAAUAGUUAUUAUUAUAUUUCCUGUUACAAGAUAAUCGUUUAUUAUCCAUGCUAUAAUUGUAUUGAAUGAAAACAUAGAUACAUGUGUGGAUACAUAGACAAAACAAUGUCCCUAGCGAGCCUCUAGUUGGUUAGCCAGUUGAUCAAGGAUAGUCAAGGUUUUCUGGCUAUGUGCAAGUGUUGUCACUUGAUAACUGGAUCACAUCAUUAGGAGAAUCAUGUGAUGGACUAGACCCAAACUAUGAACGUAGCAUAUUGAUCGUGUCAUUUUAUUGCUAUUGUUUUGUGCAUGUCAAGUAUGUAUUCCUAUGACCAUGAGAUCAUAUAACUCACUGGCACCAGAGGAAUACCUUGUGUGUAUCAAACGUCGCAACAUAACUGGGUGAUUAUCAAGGUGGUCUAGAGGUAUCUCCGAAGGUGUCCGUUGAGUUAGUAUGGAUCAAGACUGGAUUUCUCACUUCGUGUGACAGAGAGGUAUCUCGGGUCCCACUCGGUAAUACAACAUCACACACAAGCCUUGCAAGCAAUGUGACUAAGUGUAAUUCACGGGAUCUUGUAUUACAGAACGAGUAAAGAGACUUGCCGGUAACAAGAUUGAAAUAGGUAUGCGGAUACCAACGAUCGAAUCUCGGGCAAGUAAUAUACCGAAGGACAAAGGGAAUGCCAUACGUGAUUAUAUGAAUCCUUGGCACUGAGGUUCAACCGAUAAGAUCUUCGAAGAAUAUGUAGGAUCCAAUAUGGGCAUCCAGGUCCCACUAUUGGAUAUUGACCAAGGAGUGUCUCGGGUCAUGUCUACAUAGUUCUCGAACCCAUAGGGUGUGCACACUUAAUGUUCGAUGAUGUUUUAGUAUAUUUGAGUUAUAUGUGUGGUUACCGAAUGUUGUUAGGAGUCUCAGAUGAGAACACGUACCUCACGAGGGUUUCUGAAAUGGUCCGGAAACGAAGAUUGAUAUAUAGGAUGGUUUCAUUUGGUCACCAAAAAGUUUCGGGCAUUACAGGCAGUGUACCGGGAGCGACGACUGAGUUCUCGGUGUUUACCAGGAGGGGCCCACCCACCCGGGAGUGAGCCCAAGGCCCUAGGAUGGCGCACCAAGUCCUUAGUGGGCUGGUGGAGUCAGCCCAAGAGGGCUAUGGCGCCACAUGUAAAAAUACCAAAGGAAAAGAAAAAAAAGGAAAGAGGGAGGUGGGAAGGAAGAGGAGGACUCCUCCUUCCCAAACCGAAUAGGAGGAGGAGUACUCGUCCUCCCUGGCGGCUGGCGCACCCUUGGGGCCCUUGUGCCCCAAGGCUAGACCCUCCCGUCCUCCUAUAUAUAUUGGUGGUUUAGGGCUUUUUGAGACACAACUUUGCCACGUGCGACUCUAGCCUAUUCCACAUAGUUUUACCUAUGGAUCGGAUUUCCGCGGAGCUCGGGCGGAGCCCUGCAGGAGUAGAUCAUCACCACCAAGGAGCGCCGUCAUGCUGCCGAAGAACUCAUCUACUUCUCCGUCUUGCUUGCUGGAUCAAGAAUGCCGAGAUCGUCAUCGAUUUGUACGUGUGCUGAACAUGGAGGUGUCGUCCGUUCGGCGCUAGAUCGGAACCGUUCGUGGGAUGGUUCGUUGGACGAUGGUGAUUUGAAUCACGAAGAUGUACCACUACAUCAACCGCGUUUAUUAACGCUUCCCGCUGAGCAAUCUACAAGGGUAUGUAGAUCUAAUCUCCUCGCGUAGAUGGACAUCACCAUGACAUGUCUUCGUGCGUAGGAAUUUUUUUGUUUCCCAUGCAACGUUCCCCAACAGUGGCAUCAUGAGAUAGGUUCAUGCGUAGAUGUUAUCUCGAGUAGAACACACAAGGUUUUGUGGACAGUGAUUUUCGAUUUGCUGCCCUCCUUAGUGUUUUCUCGAUUCGGCGGUAUUGUUGGAUUGAAGCGGCCCAGACCGACAUAACUUGUACACUUACGAGAGACUGGUUUCAUCGACUGACAUGCAACCUCAUUGCAUAAAUGACUGGCGGGUGCCUGUUUCUUCAACUUUAGUUCAAUUGGUUUUGACCGAGGUGGUCCUUGGAGAGAGGUUAAAUAGCAAUUUGCACAUCUCCGUUGUGGUUUUUGCGUAAGUAAGAUGCAGUCAUACAAGAUACCCGUAACAGCCUCGUAAAACAUGCAACAACAAAUUAGAGGAUGUCUAACUUGUUUUUGCAGGGUAUGCUUGUGGUAUGAUAUGGCCAAUGACGUUAUGUGAUAUAUUGGAUGUAUGAGAUGAUCAUGAAAUUAACGAAAGUUGCAUGCCGAUAUGGUCUCGGUAUAUUGACUGAACUUACUUCUUGAGCAUUGUAGUUAUGUCCUCAUAAUCCUCACCGGCUUUACGUCUCGAGUCUAAGACAUUUACUAAUGCCCUGCCAACGUCAAUGGAUAGCAGAAUAAAGUGGUUUCUGCGCACACAUAUAUAACUCAUCAAUUACAUUACUUAAUUAACCUCGAGUAAGCGAAACCGAGUUUACACAAAAGACAACAACACUCACUUGAAGUUGUAAGGAAAGAUUAUUUCCCUUUUUUAUGUAUAAGGAACGAGUUUAGCAAGUUCUCCUUGGUAUCUUUGAUUGAGUUUUGUAUAGUAAAUUUAUUUACGCAUCUGGGCUAAUGAACCCAACGUCGACGAUUCCUGCUUUUUUUUAAUUCGACGAUCUUCAGUCUGUAUAAUAUAUAUAGUGAGGAUAAUUAUAUAUACAUGCAAUGAACGAGCUGAGCUAGAGACUUAACUAUAGAAGUAAUACUUAUAGACAAUAGGAAGUUAUGAGUUGUUUGUCAAGGGCUAGUUGAUUGUAUAACUGAAAUAACUCCUCAAAUUGAAUAGUAAUCACGGGAAGUCUAAUGAAUUCAUGCUCUGGUUUCACUGUCACAUACACAUCAUUUUUCCUAGACUCCCUACAGGUUUUCAUGUACCACUCAUGCAAUCUGUGCAUCAUCGUUGUUAGAGCAGGAUGACCAGGUUUGAGAGGCUUCCCGUCCAUGUAUUUAUAUUGUUGUUUUGUUACAUCAUCCCCCAAGUAAUCAUCAGGAUUGGUACGGGGAACCAUCUCCGGAUGAUUAGCGACGACGAUAUCGAGCUCGGUAAUUGUUUUCCAACUUGUUCGUUCUGCUAACCUUGCAUCACUAGAAGUAGUUGCCAACCACACCGCUUGUGCGUGUGUCUUUUUAAGAAUGCGGUCAUAGUUGGAAUCCGGCGAAGGCGCUUGUGGAUGCUGCAGUUGAUUGAUAGUGCGCUCCACUUUCACCGGAUCUAGCUUCUCCUUCAGAGUGGAGUUUUCUUUGCAAAAUGGGCCCUCAAUUUUCCACAACAUAUCUCCUCGUUUUCCUCCUUGGUCCUCUCAUAUGGUAACUUUUCCAGAGGCUUGAGAGAUGGACCGUAUUUCCCGCCUCUCCUUGUACUGCUAGCCGCCGGAGAGAAGGAGGCGUAUCUCUUCUGCUUGAGACAAGGAGGCAGACUGCUCUGACACGCAGGACGAGCCGGAGUGGCGGCAUUUGUCUUCCGACGUUGCCCAUGAGGCAAAGGACAAGGUGGAAUUCUCUGACGCACCAGAGUAAGCGAAGGAGGAGGCGAAGUGCCCUCAAGCAUCAGAGGAGCUGGAGAAGGAGGCGGAGUGCCCUGAUCACUCGCCGAAGGAGGAGGAUCAGGAGGAGGGGGAGGAGGCGGGGUGCCCUGAUCAAUCGCCGGAGGAGGAGGAGGAGGAGGGGAAGGAGGCGGAGUGCCCUGACUCAUCAGAGGAGGAGGAGGAGGAGGCGGAGGCGUCCAGUUUGGAAGCUUGAUGAACUCCUUCUGCCAUAGACAUGUACUCCCCACAGCACAAACCAUCUGAAUCUCCCCUUCACGUGUAGGGUGGUCAAGCUCGAGCUGCUCAAAUUAAUCCAUUACUUGAUCCACCAUCACAACAGCAUAGCCAUGUGGAAUCGGAAUGCAGUGAAAAGUUCCUUUGGGUUGAGGAGGUUCAACAGAGCCGACAACCUCCUUGAAAGUGAAGUUCGGAAAUUUCAUCAUAAGCUCGCAGUGUUGAGCCUCCGUGAUAAUAUCCAAGGGGUAGCUAGGAGUCGUGAAGUCAUGCUGAACAGGCUCCACGGAAGCCAUGCUCCUUUUCCGCUAAGAUGAUGGGGUACCUUCUAGGGUAGCUUCGUGCCGCUGAGAUGGUUGGCCGGCAGUUCGCUGGCUCUCAAGUUCCUCUAGCUUCUGAAGUCUUGCCUUGAUCUGCUGCAUGUCGUUGAACUCUGCUUUCCUCUUUAUCUCCCGGCUUCUGUAACCACUUGCGUUAGGAAACCCAAACUUCCACGGAACGGAGCCUGGUGUGCCUCGUGUUCGUCCAGGGUGCUCAACAUUCCCUAGGGCCUCAGUCAGCUCAUCAUUUUCUCUGUCUGGAAUGAACGUCCCUUCCUGCGCUGCGGCGAUACAGUUCUGAAGCUUGAUCUUGGGUAUUCCAAGUUGCUCGUCCGUCCAACGACACUUCCCUGUUUCACGGUCCAAAGUUCCCCCAACCCCGAAGAACCAAGUCCUUGAACGGUCUAGCUAGUUCAAUGUCUGUGGUUGGACCCCUUUAGCAUUCAGGUCAUUCUCAGCUUUGUCCCAGAACGGCCGGGCUUUGAGGUAGCCACCUGACCCCGUGUGAUGGUGAUACUGCUUCUUUGCGACAUUGUUCUUGUUUGUCUCUGACAUUUUCUUACUCUUCUUCGAUGACUUGUAGGCCAUAAAUGCGGGCUAGUGAUCUCUUAUAUUCUCAAAUCGGCCGAUGAAUUCUGGAGUCUUCCCUUUGUCGACAAACAUUGAUUUCAAAUCAUUAUUCCACUUCCCAAAUAGAUGUGCCAUCUUCUUAAGAGCACACGCCUUGACAAGUGGUUCUAUAACUGGCUUAUUCGGAUCUUCCUCUGGCGGUAGGGUGAAAUUUGCCUUCAACGCAGUCCAAAGAUCAUCUUUCUGCCUAUCAGUGACAUAAAAACCUUCGGGGACGUCGUCGCCCUUAGCCUUUUUCCAUUGCUUGACCCUGAUCGGGAUGUUGUCCCUAACAAUAGCUCCGCACUGAGCAUAAAAUGCGCCCUUGGUCAGCUUGGGUUCAAUCGCUAGGCCAUCGGCCGUGAGUGCCGUGGUUGUGAACUUUUCAUCCAUGCGCAACCUUAUCUUCGGGCCUCGUCUCUUUAUCAAAGUUUGGCUCGAUCCGGAGGGCUAUAAAAGAAGAAAGAAGUGUUAAUAUAUGUACAUACCUUUGGGCUUAAUUAAUAUAUAUACGUCCCCGGACUUUGCAACAUCUCCCUCCUCCGUUCGAUCACCGGAGCCGUCAUCAUGGUCUCCUUCUUCCUCCGGGCUUCGGUCACCGAAGCCAUCAUGAUCAUGUCCUUCCUCCUCCAUUGUUCGAUCAUCCGAGCCGUCAUCCCCUCCUUCCAGACCAUCAGUGUCGUUGAGAUACGACAAAUAAUCACCGAGCAUUAUCUCCCCCAACAAUUUUUCUCUUUGAUCCAUAUAUUUUCUUCAAAUAUUUCAGCCCCUUGUAUGAAUAACCAAAUUACACGAACUUCUAUGUUUUAAACAUGCACAAACUAUUUUAUAUUUAAUUUUCAAAUGUUGAAUAGUUCAUAGAUGUACGUUAUGAUAUAUAAUGCAAUAGAUCUCAAGAGGAAAAAAGGUUUUCUUUCAGUUAAAACCAAUAAUCAACUUAAUACAUCUCUAGUAUAAUCUAUAUAUGAACAAAAUUUGUAUGAACAACAAUAUGCAGGGGCGGCGGCGACAAGCAGAGCACGCAGAGGAGGAGCUCACCGGGGCCGACGGGCUCGGGGCGGCGACAACGACGGGCUCGGGGCGGCGACCAUGACGGGCUCGAGGCGACGACGAUGGGCUCGGGGCCGGCGACGACGACGUGCUCGGGGUGUCGACGGCGGUGAGGAGGACUGGAUCGGGGGAGACGACGACGACGUGCUCGGGGACGGCGGCGACGAGGAGGAAGACUGGAUCGGGGGCGGCGAUGACGAGGACUGGCUCGGGGGGCGGUGGCGAUAAAUGGGAGAGUUUUCGGGGAAAUUUCGACAACUCCUGCCUAUAUGCGAAAACCUUCUGCCCGGUUUGGUGGCCCAAACCGGCACCAAUUCCACCCUUUCGUCCCGAUUGAAUCAUCAAACCGGGACUACAUGCCAAUUUUCACGAGCCCAAAUGGCGGGGAAGAAGAUACAUGUACUCCCGGAUUGCGGAACCAACCGGGACGAAAGGGGGCCAUUUGUCCCGGUUUGGGCCACCAACCGACACUAAAGUCUGUCUCUGGUCCCCGCUUGUAUCACAAACAGACACGAAAGGCGCGUGCAUGGCACAGCCACGGUGUGGUUAGAUGUUUAGUCCCACCUCGCUAGCCGAUGGAGAAGUGGAGUGGUUUAUAAGCGCUUGUGCGCACACAGUUUCGAGAUCCUCUCAUAUGCAGGCUUCCGGGCCUAAACUGUCACUACCUGUUUGGCCUUCUGCGGGCCUGAAUCGUGGACCAACUAUCUAGUUGGAUUUCUAGUCGUAUUCAAGCCGUGGUGGCCCAUUAGUUGACAUUUUUUAAACAAUAUAGUUUUUUGUUCCUACUUACUGUUUUUCAAUGAUUCUUUAUAUUUUUUUGUUUCAUUUGUUACUUUAUUUAUUUUAUUUUGUUCCGACUUACUGUUUUUAGUGAUUCUUUUUGCUAUUAGGUCAAAAAAAUUAUUAUCAGGGUAUCAUACGAAAACUCAUCUGUUACAAAGGGAUUUCAUUUUUGGAAUUAUUUGAACUCGAGACUUUUUGUGUGUUGAAAAUGCACCAUUCAAGGCCACAUCAUCAAUUUUCAACUAUUUUUGACUUCAUCUGUUAUUUUUCAUGCAUUUACUGAUUUUUUUAGCUAAAUGACCUUUAAAUUGAAAAAAACACUACAAAUGAACUCUGAAUAGGGUUAAAGUUGGCAUGGUAUCAUCAUUUCACCCACAUAGCAUGUGCUAAAAAGUUGAGAGGCUUGCGGCAAAAACUGGACGCACUUCGUGUACAAAUCGGUCAAUGUCUUUUGAAGUAUCAUGGUUUCAUACGAAAACUCAUGUGUUACAAAAGGGAUUUUUUUUUUUAACUUAUUUGAACUCCAGACUAUUUGUGUGUUCAAAAUGCACCAUUCAAGGCCACAUCAUCAAUUUUCAACUAUUUCUGACUUCAUUUGGUAUUUUUCAUGCAUUCAGUGAUUUUUUGAGCUAAAUGACCCUUAAAUUGAAAAGCACUACAAAUGAACUCUGAGAAUGUUGAAAGUUAGCAUGGUAUCAUUAGUUCACCCACAUAGCAUGUGCUAAAAAGUUGAGAGGGUUGCGGCAAAAACUGGACGCACUUCGUGUAUAAAUCGGACAAUCUCUUUCGAAGUAUCAUGGUUUCUUACAAAAACUCAUCUAUUACAAAAGGGAUUUCAUUUUUUGAACUUAUUUGAACUCUAGACUACUUAUGUGUUCAAAAUGCAUCGUUCAAGGCCACAUCAUCAAUUUUCAACUAUUUCUGAUUUCAUUUGGUAUUUUUCAUGCAUUUACUGAUAUAUUUUUUGAGCUAAAUGACCCUUAUAUUGAAAAGCACUACAAAUGAAAUCUGAAAAGGUUGAAAGUUGGCAUGGUAUCUUCAUUUCACCCAGAUAGUAUGUGCUAAAAAGUUGAGAGGGUAGCGGCAAAAACUGGAUGCACUUCGUGUACAAAUCGGACAAUCUCUUUCGAAGUAUGAGGUUUCAUAUGAAAACUCAUCUGUUACAAAGGUAUUUCAUUUUUUUGGAAUUAUUUGAACUCGAGACUUUUUGUGUGUUCGAAAUGCACCAUUCAAAGUCACAUCAUUAAUUUUCAUCUAUUUCUAACUUCAUUUGGUAUUUUUCAUGCAUUUAUUGAGUUUUUUAGGUAAAUGACCCAGAAAUUGAAAAGCACUACAAAUGAACUCUGAAUAGGUUAAAAGUUGGCAUGGUAUCAUCAUUUCACCCAGAUAGCAUGUGCUAAAAAGUUGAGAGGGUUGCGGCAAAAAAUGGAUGCACUUCGUGUACAAAUCAGACAAUCUCAUUCGAAGUAUCAUGGUUUCAUACGAAAACUCAUCUGUUACAAAGGGAUUUCUUUUUUUGAACUUAUUUGAACUACAGACUUUUUGUGUGUUCAAAAUGCCAUUCAAAGCCACAUCAUCAAUUUUCAACUAUUUCUGACUUUUUUCAUGCUUUUUACUGUUUUUUUGGAGCUAAAUGUCCCAGAAAUUGAAAAGCACUACAAAUGAACUCUGAAUAGGUUGAAAGUUGGCAUGGUAUCAUCAUUUCACCCACAUAGAAUUUUGUGUUUGCACCAAGUAAGACCUUUGGGAUGGUCUACGGUGUUUGCAAUUUAAAUUUGCUGAAAAAACAGAAACUUUUGACCUCAGUCCAGAUAUUUUUUAAAUUCACUCGAACGUGCUUUUGAUCUCAAUUUUUUAGACAAGAUUCAUAUACAAUUUACCUAGAUUGUCUUAAUUUUUCAUAAUUUUUGGUGUUACAUAAGUAUUCGAAUUAUACAUAUUACUUCCGACUAUUCUGUUUUUGACAGAUUAUGUUUUCUUUGUGUUGCUUGCUUAUAUCGAUGUAUCUAUGGGUUGGAUCCGGGGGGGGGGGGUAUGAACCAUGGAGAAGUAUGAAUACAGUAAAUAUUACACCAAUAUGAAUAAAGAAUUAGUUUACAACAAUACCUAAAGUGGUGAUGAAUAAAGAAAGGGCUAAACCAUUCAAAUUUGUAAACUAUAUAAUGACACAAACAGAAACUGGAUAUAUAUAAAUUGGUCCAACAGUACAUAAAAAUACAUGCAAGCAGUACAUAAUAAUAGCUAGCAUACAUAUAUAUACAAGUGUUUGCCAUUCUGAACACUACUCGUGUGAAUCUAAAUCUGAAUCAGAAUAUCCCAAAGCUUGUGGUGCGAGGUGACCCUGGCCAUAGUUCACGAUUCUAAUCUUGCGGUACAACUCGUAUGCAACGUAUGCAUCUUUUGCUGCAUACUCAACGUUCAUAAGGUCAAGUGGGGUCUUACCCCACUUUCUACGCUGAGACUUCGGGAAUGGAGUCUUCAUAUCAUGGUACUCCUCGUUGAUCAAGGCGACUGCCAUAUCAGCCAUCGAAGUCCUGUCAUAUUGAAGCUGGAAUAGGGCUUGGAUAUUGAUGACCCACAAGUAUAGGGGAUCAAUCGUAGUCCUUUCAAUAAGUAAGAGUGUCGAACCCAACGAGGAGGAGAAGGCUUUGAUAAACGGUUUUCAGCAAGGUAAUAACUGCAAGCACUGAAAGUAGCGGUAACAAGUGAUGGUGUAGUGAGGUGAAACGUAGCAAGCGAAAAGUAACAAGUAACAAGUAGUAGCAACGGUGCAGCAAGUGGCCCAAUCCCUUUUGUAGCAAGGGACAAGCCUGAACAAAGUAUUAUAAGAGGAAAAACACUCCCGAGGACACACGGGAAUUUCUGUCAUGCUAGUUUCAUCAUGUUCAUAUGAUUCGCGUUCGUUACUUUGAUAGUUUGAUAUGUGGGUGGACCGGCGCUUGGGUACUGCCCUUACAUGGAAAAUCAUCCCACUUAUGAUUAACCCCUCUCGCAAGCAUCCGCAACUACGAAUGAAGAAUUAAGACAAUGUCUAACCAUAGCAUUAAACUAGUGGAUCCAAAUCAGCCCCUUACGAAGCAACGCAUAGACUGGGGUUUAAGCUUCUGUCACUCCAGCAACCCAUCAUCUAUUUACUACUCCCCAAUGCCUUCCUCUAGGCCCAAAUAUGGUGAAGUGUUAUGUAGUCGAUGUUCACAUACCACCACUAGAGAAAAAACAACAUACAACAUGUCAAAAUACCGAACGAAUAUCAAAUUCACAUGACUAUUAUUAGCAUGACUUAUCCCAUGUCCUCAGGAACAAAAGUAACUACUCACAAAACAUAAUCAUAAUCAUGAUCAGAGGUGUAAUGAAUAGCAUCAAGGAUCUGAACAUAAACUCUUCCACCAAGUAAUCCAACUAGCAUCAACUACAAAGAGUAAUCAACACUACUAGCAACCUUACAAGUACCAAUCGGAGUCGCGAGACGGAGAUUGGUUACAAGAGAUGAACUGGGGUUUGGAGAGGACAUGGUGCUGAUGAAGAUGUUGAUGGAUAUGCCUCCCCUCUGAUGAGAGGAGUGUUGGUGAUGAAGACGGCGACGAUUUCCCCCUGUGGGAGGGAAGUUUCCUCGGCAGGAUCGUCCUGCCGGAGCUCUAGAUUGGAUCUGCUCAAGUUUCACCUCGUGGCGGCGGAGAAUCCACGAAAAAGCUCCACCCUGAUUUUUUCCGGACGAAACCCUUCAUAUAGCAAAAGAGGGGGGCCAGUGGGCCACCAGGGUGCCCACAAGUCCUGUUGCCGCGACCAGGGGGUAGGCCGCAACAACCAGGCUUGUGGGCCCCUGGUUGCUCCCCUCUCACACUUCUUUCGCCCAGUAUUUUCUAUAAAAUCCAAAAACAAUCCACGUUGAUUUUCAGGGCAUUUGGAGUUGCGCAGAAUAGAGGACUCAUACUUGCUCCUUUUCUAGUCCAGAAUUCCAGCUGCCGGUAUUCUCCCUCUUCAAAUAAACCUUGCAAAAUAAGAGAGAAAAGGCAUAAGUAAGGUUCCACAAAGUAAAAUAACAGUCCAUAAAGCGAUAAAUAUCAACAUGAAAGCAUGAUGCAAAAUGGACGUAUCAACUCCCCCAAGCUUAGACCUCGCUUGUCCUCAAGCGAAAACCAAGACCCAAAACAUGUCCACAUGUUUAGGGAUGAAGGUGUCGAUAAAACAUAAUACGGACAUGAGGGCAUCAUGAUCACACAUAGAACAACAAUACAUCAUAGAGAUUCUUAUGGGAAAGUAACAAUUCCUUCACAAAGCAAAGUAUGAAACAAAAACCUUACCGAGAAGUAGCCAACAACAGUCCAUAGUCAUUAAAGCAAUUGCAAUUUAUCAUAUUAUCAGAAAGAGUCAAAUAAGAGCUUGUAAAGAAAAUCCACAUACUCAAUCAUCUCUUUUGUUUUCCAAAAUUGUUACAACUCACGUGGUACUCAUGGAAUCGAAGUUUCAGUUGGACACAGAGAAAGAUAGGGGUUUAUAGUUUGCCUCCCAACCAUUUACCUCAAGGGUAAAGUCAACAAUAAUAAAGCAUAAGUACUCAGCUCCAAGUUGAUAUAUGAAUAUAGAUAUUUCCCAAGCAUAUGACGUUCACCAAGAAAAAGGCUAAAUAAGGAAUUCGUGAAGAUCACCAUGACUCUUACAAGGGAAAAAAGUAAAGGUACAAGAUAGGCCCUUCGCAGAGGGAAGCAGAGGUUGUCAUGCGCUUCUGAGGUUUGGAUGCUUGUCCUCUUAGUGCGGAGGAACGUCACUUUAUAUUGCCGCCUGUGAUAAAGAACUUUAUUAUGUAGUCUGUCGCUUUUAUGUCUUCCUCAUCACAGGUUCGUACAAAGAUUAUUUUCCACACAAUAAUAGAUCAUACAUAUUAGAGAGCAAUUUUUAUUGCUUGCACCGAUGACAACUUACUUGAGGGAUCUUAUUCAAUCCAUAGGUAGGUAUGGUGUACACUCAUGGCAAAACUGGGUUGAAGGUUUAUGGAUGCACAAGUAGUAUCUCUACUUGGUGCAGGAGUUUUGGCUAAUAUGAGGUGGAAGCAAUCGUCACAUGCUAAGGGAUCUCUAAUCAUAUAACAUUGUUUGGAACCAAGCAAACACAAUUCAUUAUGUUGUCUUCCUUGUCCAACAUCUACUUCUAAGCAUGUAAUAGUUUGGUGAGUGCUCACAAUUAUAGAAAGUGUCUAAGAUGAUAUAUUUAUAUGUGAACCUCUCUUUCCUUAUUACUUCUUAUUAAUUGCAACAAUGAUUGGGGUCUAUGUUGGUCUACUCUCAGCAUGUUUCAAUCAUCAUACUUGUUAUAUGUGAAGCUAUCACUUUCCAUAAGAUCAUCUCAUGAUCUUUCAUGCUAUCGUUCUUUUCAUAUUUUUGAUCACGGCACAAAGCAAAGUUCUUGACUAAGAUACUCUUUAUUAUAUAGCUCGUAAGCUCGAAUACAUCAAGGGGGACACAAAGCAAAAGACUCAAACCAAACACUAAAGACUUACUCCACUAAGAGAAGAAAUAAAAACUAAAAAGGAAAGAACUAAAACAAAGGUAAAAGCAAAAGAUAUAAAGGUGAUACGAUACCAGGGCAACUCCCCCAAGCUUGGCAUAAGCCAAGGGGAUUGCCCAUACCAAUGCUUAGUUGUCUUCCUUUGGUGGCGGUGGUGGUGGAGUUGUUGAAGUAGUCUGAUCCUCCGUCUUCCAAGGCAUAGGUGCUCCAUCAUGGCAGGAUGAACGAGUCGCCGGAAUCCUCAAAUCUGCAGCCAACCGUAUUGAUUUAAAUCUAUACUCAUACUCAUAGUUUUGGUUCUGCAGGUCAUAGAUAUGGCCCUGGAUUUGAUCAACCCUGUCAUAGAGCCUGGAGAGGAGCUUCCCAAUGUCAAUGGCAUCCAUCUUGUGAUUGCUGGUGAACUCCGUGAUCAUCAUGUGGUUGGCGUUGAGUCCACGCUCCACCAUCCCUUGGCACUUGAAGACUUGUUGCUCCAUUGCUUCGAGCCUCGUCUCCAUGCUUCUAGUCUUCUAGGCCCCUCAACAUCACGGAUGUGCAACAUCUCCUCACUCAUCUUAAUAGAUUGAGGGUGUUGCAAUACUUCCGUGAGGUAGGGAUUGAUGACCUUCUCGAAGAUCUUGUCCUUAGGAACUUUUGGGGAAGUCAUGACGAUCUAGAUCUGCAACAGAAAUAGGCUCGAAACAAAAACAGAGGAAAACUGCGCGAUACGGAGAUCAAAACCCUCGGGCGUAUAUAUAAUGAUUUUGUGUGGACCAGAAGGAGUGCUCCGCAAGAAAACGGAGUCCAGGAGGCACACAAGCUGCCCACAAGCCCUGUUGUCGCGGCCAGGGGGUAGGCCGCGGCAACCAAGCUUGUGGCCGCCUCGUGCGCUCUCCGGACUGCCUUUUAUUUUUCUAAUUUUCCAAAAAAUCCAAAACGGAGAAAAUUUUCAAUUGGAAAAGUUUCAGAGUCCAAUUACUUACCGAAACAGAUACCUCUUCGUUUUCAGGGUUUGAAACAUGCUGAUAAACAUCCCUUAUGUACUCCUGUGGAGUUAUGAUAUUGAUGAUAUUGGUCUCAACAUUUAUGGGAGUACCAAAGAUAUAAUGCUUGAUUCUUUGCCCGUUUACCACUCUAGGAAAAUUGCCUUCCGUGUUAUUGAUUUUGAUGACACCGGAACGAUAUACUUCCUCAACAACGUAGGGACCUUCCCAUUUAGAGAGGAGCUUGCCUACGAAGAAUCUUAAACGAGAAUUGUAUAGUAGGACAUAGUCACCUACAUUGAACUCUCGUUUUUGUAUUCUUUUGUCGUGCCAUCUCUUAACCUUUUCCUUGAACAACUUGGAAUCCUCAUAUGCCUGGGCCCUCCAUUCAUCUAAUGAGCUGAUAUCAAAGAACCGCUUCUCACCGGCAAGUUUAAAAUCAAAGUUGAGCUCUUUGAUUGCCCAAUAAGCUUUGUGUUCCAACUCAAGAGGUAAAUGACAGGUCUUACCGUAAACCAUUUUAUACGGCGACAUGCCCAAGGUAUUCUUAUAAGCAGUCCUAUAAGCCAUAGUGCAUCGUCAAGUUUGCUAGACCAAUUCUUUUGAGAUCUAUUGACGGUCUUUUGUAAGAUCAAUUUGAUCUCCCUAUUACUCAACUCCACUUGACCACUAGACUGUGGAUGAUAAGGAGAUGCAACUCUGUGGUUGACAUCGUACUUAGCAAGCAUCUUGCGGAAAAACACCAUGAAUGAAGUGUGAACCGCCAUCAGUCAUCAGAUAUCUAGGGACUCCAAAUCUUGGGAAAAUGACUUCUUUAAGCAUCUUAAUAGAGGUGUGGUGAUCAACAUUUCUAGUGGGGAUAGAUACUACCCACUUAGUUACAUAAUCCACAACAAUUAAGAUGUGAGUGCACCCAUUGGAACUCGGGAAGGGUCCCAUAUAAUCAAAGCCCCAGACAUCAAAUGGUUCAAUGGCAAGUGAAUAGUUCAUAGGCAUUUCCUGAUCCUUACUGAUAUUCCCUAUUCUUUGGCAUUCGUCACAAGACAAGACAAACUUACGGGCAUCCUUGAAGAGGGUGGGCCAAUAGAAACCUGAUUGCAAUACCUUAUGAGCAGUUCUGUCUCCAGCAUGGUGUCCUCCGUAGGCCUCGGAAUGACACUUCUACAGGAUCUGUCCCUAUUCAUGUUCAUGCACACAAUGUCUAAUAACACCAGCUAUGACUUCCUUAAAAAGGUGAGGAUCAUCCCAAAAGUAGUGUCUCAAAUCAAAGAAGAAUUUCUUCUUUUGCUGGUAGGUGAAACUGGGUGGUAUGUAUUUGGCUACGAUAUAGUUUGCGUAAUCAGCAUCCCACGGUGCACUAUCUGAAGUGCGGAUGACACUCAAUUGCUCAUCAGGAAAGCUGUCAUCAAUAGGUCGUGGGUCAUCAAGGACAUUCUCUAGCCUAGACAAGUUAUCUGCUACAGGGUUAUCAGCACCCUUUCGGUCAACAACGUGCAAAUCAAAUUCCUGUAGCAGGAGAAUCCAUCUGAUUAGCCUAGACUUAGCGUCCUUAUUCUCCAUGAGGUACUUAAUAGCAGCAUGAUCAGAGUGAAUAGUGACUUUGGAGUCAACUAUAUAAUAUCUGAACUUUUCACAUGCAAACACGACUACUAAAAACUCCUUCUCCGUAGUGGCAUAGUUUCUUUGGGCACUGUCUAGAGUUUUACUAGCGUAGUGAAUGACAUUCAACUUCUUGUCAACUCUUUGUCCUAGAACAUCACCAACAGCAUAAUCACUAGCAUCGCACAUGAUUUCAAAGGGCAAGUUCCAAUCAGUUGGUUGAACAAUAGGUGCGGUUAUUAAGACCUUCUUAAGUAUUUCGAAAGCUUCCUCACAAUCCUCAUCAAAAACAAAAGGAACAUCCUUCUGCAAGAGGUUGGUAAGAGGCCUAGAAAUCUUAGAGAAGUCUUUAAUGAACCUCGUAUAGAAACUAGCAUGACCUAGGAAACUUCAUAUACCUCUGAUAUCUGUGGGGCAAGGCAUUUUCUCAAUUGCAUCAACCUUAGCCUUAUCAACUUCAAUGCCUCUCUCAGGGAUUUUGUGUCCUAAGACGAUGCCUUCAUUAACCAUGAAGUGGCACUUCUCCCAGUUCAAGACGAGGUUGGUAUCUUUGCAUCUCUGUAAGACUCGAUCAAGGUUGCUAAGGCAAUCAUCAAAGGAAGAACCAUAGACGGAGAAAUCAUCCAUCAAAACCUCAACAAUGUUUUCACAAAAGUCAGAGAAUAUAACCAUCAUACAUCUUUGAAAGGUGACAGGUGCAUUACACAAGCCAAAAGGUAUGCGUCUAUAAGCGAAGGUACCGAAGGGGCAAGUGAAGGUAGUUUUCUAUUGAUCAGUUUGUGCAACAGGUAUUAGCGAGAAACCUGAAUAACCGUCUAGAAAGCAGAAGUGUGUGUGUUUAGAUAGCCUUUCUAGCAUCUGGUCGAUAAACGACAAAGGAUAAUGGUCCUUCCUGGUUGCCUUGUUCAGUUUCCGGAAGUCUAUCACGAUCCUAUAGCCAGUAAUAAAUCUGUGUGGGAUUAGUUCAUUCUUAUCAUUAGGAACGACGGUGAUACCUCCCUUCUUAAGUACGCAAUGUACUGGACUUACCCAAUCACUAUGAGCAAUAGGAUAAAUGAUUCCUCCUUCGAGAAGCUUUAAUAUUUCUUUUCUCACGACCUCUUUCAUCAUCGGAUUUAAUCUCCGUUGAUGAUCAGCAACUGGCUUAGAAUCAGGAUCGGUUUUAAUCUUGUACUGACAUAGAGUGGGACUAAGACCCUUAAGAUCAUCAAGAGUAUAUCCAAUAGCAGCAUGGUGCUUCCUCAAAGUUUUUAAUAACUUCUUCUCUUCGUGACUCGAGAGGUGAGCACUAAUAAUAACAGGAUAUAUCUCCUUCUCAUCAAGAUAGGGAUACUUAAGAGUAUCUGGUAACUGUUUUAGCUCGAACACAGGAUCACCCUUUGGUGGGGGAGGAUCCCCAAGCAAUUCAACAGGCAGAUUAUUCUUGAGAAUAGGAUAUUGUUCUAAGACAAUUUUAUCUAUCUCAUCUCUUUCCUCCAUAUGCAUAUCAUUUUCAUGCUCAAGCAGAUAUUGCUCUAAAGGAUACGUAGGAGGUACCACAAUAGAGGAAAGAGCAAUGAUUUCAUCCCUACCAGACGAAUCUUUUUCAUGGGGUUGUCUUCCAAACUUGGAGAAGUUAAAUUCAUGAGACACACCUUCGAAACUAACAGUGACAGUCUGUUUAAUGCAAUCAAUGUGAGCAUUGAUAGUGUUCAGAAAGGGUCUACAAAAUAUGAUGGGACAAAAGCUAUCUUGUGCAGUAGCAAGGACGAGGAAAUCAGUAGGAUACUUCGUCUUACCACAUAGGACUUCUACGUCUCUCACAAUUCCCAGAGGGCAGAUAGUGUCUUUAUUAGCUAGCGUAAUAGUGACAUCAAUGGGUUCUAACUCAGCAGGUGCAAUCUCAUAUUUGAUUUCAUCAUAUAGGGACCGGGGUAUUGCACUAACACUAGCACCCAUAUCACAUAAACCAUGAUAAUAGUGAUCUUCUAUCUUGACAAAAACAACGGGCACGCCAACUACAGGUCCUUAUUUGUCUUUCGCGUGAGGUUUAGCUAUUCUAGCAGAGUCCUCACAGAAUUUGAUAACAUGCCCAUCUAUGUCUUCGGCUAAGAGAUCUUUGAUAAUAGCAACACUAGGUUCACCUCUAAUUUCCUCAGGGGGUGCAAGUGGUCUAAUGUAACCCCUAUGUAUCACAGUUGGAGCUUUAGAAUAAUCCUUUUUCCUAGCAGGGUAAGGUGGUUUCUGAGUGUAGGCACAAGGAACAAUAGGAUCACUAAAGGCAAUGACUUUCUCUUCGACUAGAUUGGGUUUAACUAUGUUGACUUCUACAGGCGGAUGAUACUUAAACCACUUCUCUUUGGGAAGAUCAACAUGAGCAGCAAAAGAUUCACAUAGAGAAGCUACUAUCUCAGAGUCAAGUCCAUACUUAGCGUUAAAAUCUCUAGAAGUGUUUGUUUCAACAAAAGAUUUAACGCAAUCAAACUGGAAAUUCAUACCUGACUCCUUACCUUCUUCCAGCUCCCAAUCUUCAGAGUUACGUUUGAUUCUUUCCAAUAAAUUCCACUUGUGACCAAUAUCCUUCUUCAUAAAAGAACUGGUACAAGAAGUGUCAAGCAUGGUACGAUCUUCAUGGGAAAGCCGAGCAUAAAAGUUUUGAGUGAUAAUUUCUCUCGAGAGCUCAUGAUUGGGGCAUGAAUAUAACAUUGAUUUAAGCCUCCCCCCAGGUUGAGCUAUGCUUUCCCUGUCACGAGGCCAAAAGUUAUAAAUAUAUUUCCGAUCACGAUGUACUAAAUGCAUAGGAUAAACUUUUGAUGAAAUUCCAAUUUCAACUGAUUGUAGUCCCAUGAUACAGUAUCAUCACAUAGCCUAUACCAUGUCAACGCCUUGUCCUUCAAAGAUAAAGGAAAUACUUUCUUCUUUACCUCAUCCUCGGGCAAACCUGCAAGCUUAAAUAAACCACAAACUUCAUCUACAUAGAUUAGAUGCAAGUCUGGAUAUGAAGAUCGAUCUCCUGUAAAAGGAUUAGCCAGCAGUUUCUCAAGCAUACCCGAAGGAAUUUCUUAAAAGAUAUUUUCAGUAGGUACCUCAGGUUGAGGAACAACUCCUCGUUCUUCUGUUCGUGGUGAAGAUACCCCGAACAAACUCCUCAAAGGAACAAUUUCCAUAGUGACAAGUGACAAUAAAUUUCAGCACAGUAUAUAAAUGUUUCUUUACCAAAUUCCACUUACGAAAGGCGCUACCUCCCCGGCAACGGCGCCAGAAAAGAGUCUUGAUGACCCACAAGUAUAGGGGAUCAAUCAUAGUCCUUUCGAUAAAUAAGAGUGUCGAACCCAACGAGGAGGAGAAGGCUCUGAUAAACGGUUUUCAGCAAGGUAAUAACUGCAAGCACUGAAAGUAGCGGUAACAAGUGAUGGUGUAGUGAGGUGAAACGUAGCAAGCGAAAAGUAACAAGUAACAAGUAGUAGCAACGGUGCAGCAAGUGGCACAAUCCCUUUUGUAGCAAGGGACAAGCCUGGACAAAGUCUUAUAAGAGGAAAACACUCCCGAGGACACACGGGAAUUUCUGUCAUGCUAAUUUCAUCAUGUUCAUAUGAUUCGUGUUCGUUACUUUGAUAGUUUGAUAUGUGGGUGGACCGGCGCUUGGGUACUGCCCUUACUUGGUCAAGCAUCCCACUUAUGAUUAACCCCUCUCGCAAGCAUCCGCAACUACGAAAGAAGAAUUAAGACAAUGUAUAACCAUAGCCUUCCUGUAGGCCCAAAUAUGGUGAAGUGUUAUGUAGUCGAAGUUCACAUAACACCACUAGAGGAAAAACAACAUACAACAUAUCAAAAUAUCGAACGAAUAUCAAAUUCACAUGACUAUUAUUAGCAUGACUUAUCCCAUGUCCUUAGGAACAAAAUUAACUACUCACAAAGCGUAAUCAUAAUCAUUAUCAGAGGUGUAAUGAAUAGCAUCAAGGAUCUGAACAUAAACUCUUCCACCAAGUAAUCCAACUAGCAUCAACUACAAAGAGCAAUCAACACUACUAGCAACCUUACAACUACCAAUCGGAGUCGCGAGACGGAGAUUGGUUACAAGAGAUGAACUAGGGUUUGGAGAGGAGAUGGUGCUGAUGAAGAUGUUGAUGGAGAUGCCUCCCCUCCGACGAGAGGAGUGUUGGUGAUAACGGUGGCGAUGAUUUCCCCCUCCGGGAGGGAAGUUUCCCCGGCAGGAUCGUCUUGCCGGAGCUCUAGAUUGGAUCUGCUCAAGUUCCGCCUCGUGGCGGCGGAGAAUCCACGAAAAAGCUCCACCCAGAUUUUUUUCCGGACGAAACCCUUCAUAUAGCAAAACAGGGGGGCCAAUGGGCCACCAGGGUGCCCACAAGCCCUGUUGCCGCGGCCAGGGGGGUAGGCCGCGGCAACCAGGCUUGUGGGCCCCUGGUUGCUCCCCUCUGACACUUCAUUCGCCCAGUAUUUUUUAUAAAAUCCAAAAAAAAUCCACGUUGAUUUGUCGGUCAUUUGGAGUUGCGCAGAAUAGAGGACUCAGACUUGCUCCUUUUCCAGUCCAGAAUUCCAGCUGCCGGUAUUCUCCCUCUUCAAAUAAACCUUGCAAAAUCAGAGAGAAAAAGCAUAAGUAAGGUUCCACAAAGUAAAAUAAUAGUCCAUAAAGCGAUAAAUAUCAACAUGAAAGCAUGAUGCAAAAUGGACGUAUCAGAUAUCAAUGUGGCACUCAGCUGGUAUCUCAAUACCAAAGUUGCGCCUCAUAUUCGGCAUAUCGUUCGUUAUGUCAAAUCUAGCAAAAGUGAUGCCGUUGCAAAGGAAGUCCAUGAGUUCUGGAUAAUGCUUGUCACUACUACAACAUCAACAAAUUAAAAUGGAACAAAUGUUACAUACUGCUGCAACAAGGAAAAAUAUUUCACUACAACUAAAUAGAAAUUUAUCAUAACGAUUCAAAUGGAACAUAUUGCUAUUUUAUGCAAUUUUCAUAUCCUAUGCAUUGAUCUUUAUAGGAUUCCAAUAUUGUAACAUAUUGCUCUCCGAUGCAAUUUUUAUAUCCUAUGAAUUGAUCAAGAAACCCUCAAUUAACUAUCCAAUGGAACAUAUAAAGAAACUGCAUAUUGCUAUCCAAUGGAACCUAGAGAGAUGAGUAUAUGCAAUUUUCAUAACCUUUUGCUCAAAGAAAGCCUCAAAACUUACCAAUGAAAAGUUGUUUCACUACAACUAAAGAGAAAUUAAUCUUUAUAGGAUUCCAAUAUUGUAACAUAUUGCUAUCCUAUGCAAUUUGCAUAUCCUAUGAAUUGAUCAAGAAACCCUCAAUUAACUAUAUAUCCAAUGGAACAUAUAUAGAAACUGCAUAUUGCUAUCCAAUGGAACCUAGGGAGAUCAAUAUACGCAAUUUUCAUAACCUUGGAUCAAAUAAAGCCUAUGUUAUAAUAUCUCCAAUGGAACCUAGGGAGAUCAAUAUAUGCUAUCCAAUGGAACCUAUGGAGAUCAAUAUAUCCAAUGUUGUAACACAUAUUGCUAUCCUAUGCAAAUCUCAUAUCCUAUGAAUUGAUUAAGAAACACUCAAUUAACUAUUCAAUGGAACGUAUAUAGAAACACCAUAUUGCUAUCAAUUGGAACCUAGAGAAGAACAAUACAUGCAAUUUUCAUAACCUUGGAUCAAAGAAAGACUCAAAACUUACCUCGCCCAUUGGAAGAUCAAGAUAUACUAUUUGAAACACAGCCGGAUGACGGCAACACCUUGAUGGUCGGCCGUGUACUCCAGAUAAAGCCCCAAGAACGCCUCACGCUCCGGCGUGGCGUCAACCCACUCCUGGAACCGUCUAUGAAAAUUUGGCACCGCCGUGCUCUCGUUCGUGUACCUGAACAUGAGUUGGGUCCUGCCAUGUGCAUGCACCAUUCCGGUUUCAUAUGUCAUGGUGGAAGACGAAUGGAAGAAGAGAGGGGUAGAAGAGAGGAAGGAGAAGAACAGAGGAGAGCGCUAGAGGAGAAGAGAAGAGAAUGGCGAUAGACUCUGCUUCGGUUGCAAUUUUCAUCGCUCGAAACAACGUGGGAGGGCGAACCGUUUGGACCUUUAAUCCUGGGUUGGACGACAAACCGGCACUAAAGGGGUGAUUCGAAGGGCCACCACGCCGGUUUGAUCCACCAACUGGGACUAAAGAAGGAUACGUACGGUUGUAUGAACGCCCACGACCACACCUUAGUCCCGGUUUGAUCCGCCAACCGGGACUAAAGGGGAUACGAACGGUUGCGGGCCUAUUAGUCCCGGUUCUUGAAUGGAACCGACACAAAAGGGGUGAAACGAACCGGGACCAAUGGACCACGAUGCCCGGCCGGUGCCCUGGCCUCACAAACGAGGACCAAUGUCAUCAUAGGUCCCGGUUCCUAUGUGAACCGGGACUAAUGGGAUUUCAUCAGGUGGACCAAAGCCCUCUUUUUUACUAGUGGGAUAUUAUCACAAGAAUUGCAUAUGCGUAUUUAUUUGAGGUCAUGUCUGAUAAAAUUCAUGCAAUAAUUCAUUUAUGUUAUCCGGAACAAAAAUACUUCAACUGUCUUUAUUUUAUGCCUAAAUGCAGAAUGACCAAACACUUGUAUGAACCACGUGUGAUGACAAGGAAAGAGGCAAUCGUUGGAUUCUAUUCAAUAGGUCCUCUCAUGUCAAAGGAAAUAAUUAAUUGUUGUUCAAUAAGUUUCCUCACGUCACUUUUAGGCCAAGAGAAGAUAGAGUCCAAGGCUUUCACGUUUUGGACUCAGAUUUGGACUGCACACACAUGCCUGUACCAAAAUGCCAAGAAUGUUUGCAUACGGACUCCAAAUUGGGUGAUUCGUUUUGGGCUGCAAAGUAGAUUUUAUGUGCUUUCAGGCCCAAUUGGAAUCACCUUUAAAUUUGUUUGGAGAGUGGAGAUAUAGAUCAAACAUUAUGACGUUGCACCAGAAUUCGAGUCAAACAACAAGUCCAAAGGUGUUGCAUCACCUCCACUUGGGCCCAUAGGCUUUGUAUGACCUAGGGUUAGCUUUAGGCUGCCUUGGGACGUCGUCCCACCUCCUUGGCCGCCACCCCUUACUCCUAUAUAAGUAGAUAAACCUAGUAGCUUUUUGCUGGAGAUUUGUUUAGUUAAAAGUUAGCCAUUGCAACUUCGUGUACUUUGUUUGUGUCCAACGACCAGACUAAGAGUGCUUCCAUUGCCUUCACGAAUAGACCUUCGUGGUCAGGUUGAUCGUGCUCUAGCAUGGUGAAUAACCUCUUGGAGAUUGGUUUAGCGAUUGCAAAGGCGCAAAGCCGUGCAUGUUUGUAGUCGGAUUGUCGAAGUUAUCUCCACCAAAUCUAUGGUCACCUUCUCAUCGAAAAUCGGGACCCUCACCUAUAUCAAGUGGUAUCAGUUUUCACUUUCAGGUUGCUCGGUGAUAAUUUCCAGUUAUCUCUAGAUUAGAUUUAUUUUUCUUACCUAUUACCCAAAAAAACCACAAAAAAAGAGUUAUAUCUAGUCAUCCUUUGUCCAAGCCAGUCUGAUCCUUUGCAAUUUUCUUUUUAGUGCUUGCAUAGUUGAAUUAUUGGUUGCAUCGUCAUGUCAAGUUGCUGGUCUUAGAGUCUAGUCUUUUAGAGUUCCAGGUUCUGUUCACAAGUUGUCACGCCGUCGCUGCACCAUCUUCAUCGCUGCUGCCAUAUACCACCACCACGCUCCCGUCAUUUCUUCCGUUGUCGCCCACCACCAUCCAUCAAUAUUCACCACUUGCUCCAAUUGUUCAUUGUCAUUAUCAUACUUGAGGUCAUUCGCUUCUGUGCUUGAUCCAAUCUGCAUCUUAAUUGGUUGUACGAGAGUAGAGAAAAAAAAGUGAGAGCGAAAAUAAGAGAAAAACAGUGAGAGAAAAAUAGAGAGAAAUAAGUAAAAAAGUGACAGAAAAAAAUACAAAUUUAGGAUCUAUCUAGAGUCAAUCCCGUAUGUGAAUUCGGAUUGGAAACUCUUUUGUGCAUUGUUAAGUAAAACAGGUGUAUCUUCCUCGUACGAAGUCCGUUUUGGCUCCACGAGUACUCAAAUUCGAGCUAUAGACGAGCCGCAUCUGAAUAGUUAAUCUAGCAUGUUCACUAUUGUCACCUAAAAAUCGGCUUGUAGAUAUGACUUUUUGCCCUCCGAACAUCAGGAACACUGUUUGUCAAUAUUUUUCAGGUCUGCUCCAGAAUUUUUGGAGUCCUCAUACGAUCUCGGAAUUGAAUGAUUCUUUUUGCAUUCUAAAGCUUGAGUCAGUAGCAUUCUUUAGAAAAAAAAUAUCAGAAAUUUAGCAUCAUAUUUUCAAGAGGGAAGUUCUAGAGAUAGUUUUGGCUUAUCAUGCUUGGAGGUCAUUUAUCAUCACUAUCUUUACUGCCAUUGUGAUCUUCACUUAUAUCUUCCUAUCCAGAGUUACUUCAUAUCAUCCGUUGCUUCUAUUUGUGCUUUGACGUGACUCCUUUAGUGUUCUAGGCUCGCGUCUCUAGUACGGUCUAGCCUAGGACCAGCACAGUAUCGUCGUUGAGCGUUUAUUCAGCAUUGCAUAUCUGAAUUGAUUAUUGCUAAUAUUUUUCUACCAUAUAUUAAGCCUUCCUAGUUCCACAUAUUUCUACACCGUGAAUAAAUACAUUUACUUGGCAAUCGCUAUAUCCAAGCUCUGAGAGUUUUAACUACACUGGUUGACGAUCACCACCUACUGCUGGGUAAGAAUUGGUAAGAAUUUGAGAUUGGCUUUACGGAUUUGCGACACACCACCGCCACCACCACUUCCCAGUAGUUCAUAGGAACAAUAUUUUUGGAUUUUGUUUUUUUUACUAGUCAUGACAGGAUCCAGAGUUGUCAGUUCAUGGGCUUCUUCGAUCGUGGGAGACGUGCCAUCACAACAACUAUUACGAGAGGUGCAGAGAGAUACAAAUGCACAUCACGAGGUUAAUGUUUCUAUACCACCAUUUAAUGGCUGUUUUAGACCUGUUUUUUAUAUUGAAUGGGAAUUUGAAAUAAAUGAUAUAUUUGCUUCCCAUAAUUUUGCUGAACAUAAGAAAGUUAAGGUCGCGGUUGGUUCUUACACCGGUUAUGCUUCGGUUUGGGGGAGCGAAUAUUGUCCGUUACAUCUUGAUUAUAUACCUACUACUUGGGAUGAUUUGAAACUUACCAUGAGACACGCAUUCGUUCCUACUUAUUAUACUCGUGGCAUGAUUAAAAAGCUCCAACAUUUAAAACAAGGUAGUGACACUGUCAUGAAAUAUUAUGAUGAUUUACAAACGACCUUGUUGCAUUCCUCGUUAGAAGAAAGUGAAGAAGAUUUUAUGGAUAGAUUUUGGGGAGGAUUAAACCAUGAUAUUCAGGAGAUACUAAUUCAUGAAAGGUGUUAUCCUACGGAUUGUUUGUUUCAUCUUGCUUGCAAAGCUGAACAGGAAAUAAAACAACGUGUUACCCACAAGGAGAACAAGAUCAAGGUGCACAUUCCAAGAGUUGAUGCGAUUGUUCCUUCCACUACUAAGCUUCCUAUGACAUCCACGUCAAUUGUUGUGACGACUACAUCACCUUCACCAUGUGGCACAUCACCACCGAGAGUGCCUACAUCGACUGAGUUGAUCAUAACAGGUAAUGACAAAGGUAUUUAUCUUCCACCUCCACAUGAGUAUGAUGACCUUCAUGUAGCACAUAAAAGAGAAAUCGUGAGUUAACGAUAUUGAUGUAGUAAUAUGAAAGGGCAUGAGUGAGUUGUUUUUGGUUAGUAAAAUAUCUAUUGUCAAAGAGUGUUAUUUUUUUUCCAUCUGAAUAGUGGUUAUGGAAGGGUGACGAUGUGUGAGCAUUCUUAUUCCUCAUUGAAAUCCUAGUGUUGUUUAGGUUGGGGGUGCGCGAUGGUUAACUCCUACCAACCUCCUCCCUAGGGGCAUCCGAGUAGUACUUUUCUUCGAGGGAGCUAAUUAAAUAUUGCAAUAAGUAUGUGAGUUCUUUAAGACUAAAGUGAAUCCAUGGAUGUACUCGCUCUCACCUCCUCAUAUUUGCUAGCCUCUUCGGUACCGUGCAUUGCCCGUUCUCACCUUGAGAAUCGAUGAAAACUUCGCCGGUGCAUCCAAACCCCACGAUAGGAUACGCUCUAUUGCACAUAAGCCACCAUAUAUCUUCCUCAAAAUAGCCACCAUACGUACCUAUCAUGGCAUUUCCGUAACCAUCCUGUGAUAUAUUUCCAUGCAACUUCCACUGGUACAUCAUAUGACUAGUACACUCACUUUCAUGUUGCGUUGCAGGAUCAUGUAGCCCACAUAGUAUUUAUGGCAAAGCCACCGUUCAUCAUUAUUAUACAUGUUACACUAGAUCAUUGCACAUCAUGGUACACUGCGAGAGGGAUUCGUAUAGUCAUAUUGUUUAUUAGUUUCUCAUAUCGAGUUGUAAGUAAAUAGAUGUGUGAUGCUUUUCAUUAUUAGGGUACCGUGUGAGGAAAGGAUGAUGGAGACUUUGAUUCCCCCACAAGUCAGGAUGAGACUCCGUAUGAAAAAAGGAAAGAAAAGAAACAAAAAUAAAGAAAAAAGAGAGAGAAAUAAAAAUAAAAAUAGAAAAUGAGAGGGAAAGAGAGAAGGGACAGUGCUACUACCUCUUUUUCCCACACUUGUGCUUCAAAAUAGCACCAUAUUUUUGAUAUAGAGAGUCUCAUGUUUUGUCACAUUCAUAUGAUAGUGGGAAUUUUUCAUUAUAGAACUUGGCUUGUAUAUUGUGAUGAUGGGCUUCCUCAAAUGGUUGAAGUCUUCGUGAGCAAGCAAGUUGGAUGCACGCCCACUUAGUUUGCGUUGAGAUUUCAUACACUUAUAUCUCUAGUGCAUCUGUUGCAUGGCAACCCCUACUCGUUGCAUUGAUAUUGAUUGAUGGGCAUCUCCGUAACCAGUUGAUCCGCCUAGUUAAUGCGGGACAUUCUUCUCCACUUUUACCCCUUUGAAACCUACCACCUUUUUUAUUCCACCUAUAUGCUAUGUCCAUGGUUCACGCUCAUGUAUUGAGUGAGCACUAAAAACCUGAAGUGCAUUAAUAAGUACGAUCCAAUUGCCUAGCUUAACACCGCGAUGCUUGUCAUUUCUGUUGUUCUAGUGAAGACGGAGGCAUGCCAUGAUAAUAUGAUAAAAAGAAUGGGGGGUAAAAAUUCUUGAAGGAUAGUAUAUUUUGAAACUUGGUUGAUUAUGUUACUUACAUUCAUGGAUAUUACUAUGUUGAUGUUUGUUAAUUCAUUGUUUCUCAAUAGUCACACCUCCAAGAUAUUACAUGUUGGGUAGCAUGUCACAUCAAGAAUUCGGUUUUUAUCAUUUGCGUGCUUGAGGACGAGCAAGAAUUCAGCUCGGGAUGUUGAUACAUCUCCAACGUAUCUAUAAUUUUUUAUUUUUCCAUGCUAUUAUAUUAUCAUUUUAGGAUGCUUUUUAGGCAUUUACUUGUUGGUUUAUAUUAUAUUUGAGCACUAACCUAUUAACCCAAUGGCAAGUGCCAAUUUUUGUUUCUAAAUGUUUUUGGCUUUUCAGGAAUAUUGUACCAAACAAAGUCUAAGUACCCCAAAAAAAUUUGAUGAUUUUUUGUAGAUAAAAUAAAUACUUGGAAGCUUCGGAGGAAUACCGGAGGGCACUCAUACAUCUCCAACAUAUCUAUAAUUUAUGAAGUAUUCAUGCCAUGUUUAAAAGAAUUUUAUAUGGUUUUGGUAUGAUAUGCAUGGAACUAACACGCAUUGAUGUUGUUUUCAGCAGAACUACCGUGGUGUUGUUUUUAUGCAGAACUAAAAGUUCUCGGAAUUGGACAAUUUUUUUACGUUUUUUUGGAAGAAAAUAAAUACUGGAGCAGAGAACCACUAGAGGGGGCCCCCUGGUGCUCACUAGGCACCAGGGCGCCCCAGCCCCCCUAGGCGCGCCCUCGUACCUAGUGGGCCCCUCAAGGCCCAUCUUGACAUGAGACCAACGCCAAAAAUUCCAAUAAAUAUGGAAAACCACAGAAAUAAACCUAGAUCACAAGUUUCGCCGCUGCAAGCUUAUGUAGCAACAAAAAACUAACUAGGAGCCCAUUCCGGCACCCUGCCGGAGGGGAAGAUCAUCACUGCUCGCCAUCUUCAUCAUCCCUAUGGCCGCCAUGAUGAGGAGGGAGUAGUCCACCCUUGGGUGUGAGGGUUUAUAGCAGAAGCUAUGUGUUUAAUCUCUCUCUCUCUCUCUCUCUCUCUCCCAUGUUCUUAAGAUGGCACAAUCUUGAUGUAAGCAUAUGGUGUUUUCCUCUCUUUAUCUUGUUGUGAUGAAUUGAGUUUUUCCUUUUAGAAUUGGUUUUAUCAAAUUGAAUACUUUUAUGGAAUUGAGAGCACUUGGUCUAUGUCUUGCUAUGAAUACCCGUGGUGACAAUGGGGUAUUGAUACGUCUCCAACGUAUCUAUAAUUUUUUAUGGUUCCAUGCUAUUAUCUUGUCAACUUUGGAUGUUUUAUAUGCUUGAAUAUGCUAUUUUAUAUCUUUUUUGGGACUAACCUAUUAACUCAGUGCCAAGUGCUAGCUUCUGUUUUUCCGUGUUUUUGGCCCAUUUUCAAACGGAGUCCAAAUGGAAUGAAACUUUACGAUGAUUUCUUUGGACCAAAAGAGACCCCCAAAGCUUUGGAAGAAGGUCAGAAGAGCCAUGAGGGAGUCACAAGCCCUGACGCCGCCACCACCCCCUAGGUGGUGGCGACCAGGCUUGUGACCUCCUUGUAGGCCCAACCGACGUAAUUCCGCCGCCAUAAAUUCCUAUAAAUUCAGAAGCCCCCAAAAAGAAACCUAGAUCGGGAGUUCCGCCGCCGCAAGCCUCUGUAGCCACCAAAACCCAAUCUGGAGCCCGCUCUGGCACCCUGCCGGAGGGGGAAUCCAUAUCCGUGGCCAUCUUCAUCAUCCCGACGAUCUCCGUGACGAGGAGGGAGUAGUUCUCCCUCGGGGAUGAGGGUAUGUACCAGUAGCUAUGUGUUUGAUCUCUCUCUCUCUCUCGUGUUCUUGAGAUGUCUUGAUCUCGAUGUACCAUGGGCUUUGCUACUAUCGUUGGAUCUUAUGAUGUUCUUCCCCCUAUCCUUCUUGUAAUGAAUUGAGUUUCCCCUUUGGAGUUAUCUUAUCGUAUUGAGUCUUUGAGAACACUUGAUGUAUGUCUUGCACGUGUCUAUCUGAUGUGAUCAACUUGCGGGUUUGUGACAAUUGGGAUCCUAUGCAUAUGGGUUGGCACACGUGGAUUCAUGUGAGUACUUGAUGUAUGUUUUGGUGAUCAACUUGCGGGUUCGUGACAUUGGGAACCUAUGCACAGGGGUUGGCACACGUUUUGACUCUCUGGUAGAAACUUUGGGGCACUCUUUGAAGUUCUAUGUGUUGGUUGAAUAGAUGAUUAUGAGAUUAUGUGAUGCAUAUCGUAUAAUCAUGCCCAUGGAUACAUGAGGUGACAAUGGAGUAUCUAGGUGACAUUAGUGUCUUGGUUGAUAUGUAUCUUAAGGUGUUAUUCUAGUACGAACUCUAUGAUGGAUGGAACGGAAAGAAUAGCUUCGUGUUAUUUUACUACGCACUCUUGAAUAGAUCGAUCAGAAAGAAUAACGUUGUGGUGGUUUCGUACCCGACAAUAAUCUCUUCGUUUGUUCUCCAAUAUUAGUGACUUUGGAGUGACUCUUUGUUGCAUGUUGAGGGCUAGUUAUAUGAUCCAGUUAUGUUAUCAUUGUUGAGAGAACUUCGCUAGUGAAAGUAUGAACCCUAGGCCUUUUUUCGCGCAUUGCAAUACUGUUCGUGCUCACUUUUACCAUUUGUUACCUUGCUGUUUUUGUAAUUUCAGAUUACAAAAACCUAUAUCUACCAUCCAUAUUGCACUUGUAUCACCAUCUCUUCGCCGAACUAGUGCACCUAUACAAUUUACCAUUGUAUUAGGUGUGUUGGGGACACAAGAGACUCUUUGUUAUUUGGUUGUAGGGUUGCUUGAGAGAGACCAUCUUCAUCCUACGCCUCCCGCGGAUUGAUAAACCUUAGGUCACCCACUUGAGGGAAAAUUGCUACUGUCCUACAACCCUCUGCGCUUGGAGGCCCAACAACGUCUACAAGGAGAAGGUUGCGUAGUAGACAUCAAGCUCUUUUCUGGCGCCGUUGCCGGGGAGGUUAGAGCUUGAAGCUAUAUCUUUAGAUCUUGCAAUUUAAUCUUUUUGUUUCUUGUUAUUUCUCUAGAAAACUACAAAAAAAUGGAAUUGAGGAUGCCUCAUAUGCUCCAUCUUUUCAAUGUCUUUCGUGAGCAUGAUGGGAAGGAAAAUUGUGCUCAAGUGCUGAAAGAAGAAUUACAUAGAAUGCUUGGCAUAUAAUAUGUGAAUGAUGAGCAUGAUUGCAAUGUUCUUAGAAUGAGUUCUUUGAAUACCCAUUAUGCUAAUGAUAUGCAAAGCCACAAGCUUGGGGAUGCUAUAUUUGAUAAAGAUGAUCUUUUUAGUUCUUCCACUUUGAGUGAUCAAAAUCAUUUUGAUGAAAGCAUGCCGCCUAUCUAUGAUGAUUAUUGUGAGGAUACUUAUGCUUUAAAGAAGAAGGAUGAUAAAACUUGUCAUACUCUCGAGAACCCUUUUGCUAAACCUUGUUUUUUCAUUGUGGACACAAUUUGUAGUGCUCAACUCUUUUACGAUACUCCCACUACUAUUCUUGAGAAUAGAUUUCCUUAUGUGGAGAGUAGUAAAAUUUCUAUGCUUGUAGAUCAUGAAAAGAAAGCCUUAGGUGCUGGUUAUAUUGUUGAAUUCAUUCAUGAUUCUACUGAAAAUUACUAUGAGAGAGGAUCAUAUGCUUCUACUUAUUGCAAUAUUAUCAAGCUUCCUCUCCAUAUGUUGAAAUUUUUGAAGCUAUGCUUGUUUUGCCUUCCUAUGCUAGUUGAUUCUUGCUCCAAUAAAUUGUUUGAUCACAAAAUCCCUAUGCAUAGGAAGUGGGUUAGACUUAAAUGUGCUAGCCAUUUGCUCCAUGAUGCUCUCGUUGUGUUUCAAUCCUUACCUUUUAUGUGAGCAUCAUUGAAAUCAAUGCCUAGCUAAGGGCGUUAAACGAUAGCGCUUGUUGGGAGGCAACCCAAUGAAUAAAUUUUUCUUUGAUUUUUGCUUCCUGUUUUGUUUUCUCCAUACCAUCAUAAUUCUGUUAUGAUUGUGUCUUUUGUGUUUCUUUUUGUGUUUGUGCCAAUCAAAACCGUUAUCAUUAGUCUUGGUGAUGAUUGUUUGAUCAUGCUGGAAAAAGACAGAAACUUUCUGCUCACGAAAAGAAUUUUAAUUUUUAUUCUGUAAGAGUUUUUGAGUUGAUUCUUUCUGCUGCUGAUUUAUAUGCAAUUUCUUUAGACUGUCGUAACUUUUCAGAAUUUUUGAAGUACCAUAGGUAUACGAAAUAUACAGAUUGCUACAGACUAGUCUGCUGUUAACAGAUUCUGUUUUUAUUGUUUUGGUUGCUUAUUUUGAUGAAACUAUGGAUAGUAUCGGGGGGUAUUAGCCAUGUAAGAUUGAAAAUACAGUAACCCAACAUCAGCAUAAGUUGAAUUUAAGUUUGCUACAGUACCUAAGAAAGUGGUGGUUUGCUUUCUCAUACUAAUGUUAUCACGAGUUUCUGUUUAAGUUUCGUGUUGUGAAGUUUUCAAGUUUUGGGUGAAGUUCUUAUGGACAAAGAGAUAGAGAGUGGCAAGAGCUCAAGCUUGGGGAUGCCCAAGGCACCCCAAGUUGAUUCAAGGAUGCCGUAAAAGCCUAAGCUUGGGGAUGCCCCGGGAAGGCAUCCCCUCUUUCGUCUUCGGUCCAUCGGUAACGUUACUUGGGGCUAUAUUUUUAAUCACCACAUGUUAUGUGUUUUUGCUUGGAGCGUCUUGUAUCGUAGGAGUCUUUUUUUGUCACAAUCAUCCUUGCUGCACACCUAGAGAGAGAGACAUGCACUCACCAUGAUUUUGUUGAGCUUCACUUAUAUCCUUUGGUAGACAAUUCAGCUCACAUGUGCUUCACUUAUAUCUUUUGAGCUAGAUACUUUUGCUCUAUGUGCUUCACUUAUAUCUUUUAGAGCGCAGCGGUGCGUGGCUUGGUAGUUGAUCUAUGCUUUGAAAGUAGUCUCAAAAGGGGUAUUUAUCCAAAGGGAUACGAAAACUUCCACCUUCAUGUGCAUUGAAUAGUUAGAGAAGAUUGAUUCAUCUCAAUUAGUUUUGAGAUAUGGUUGUGGUAAUAUUGAAGUUAUGCUAGUAAGGUGUUGUGGAUCUAGAAAUACUUGUGUUGAAGUUAGUGAUCCCCGUAGCAUGCACGUAUGGUGAACUGCUAUGUGAUGAAGUCUGAGCAUGAUUAGUCUUUUGAUUGUCAUCCUUUGUGUGGCGGUCGGGAUCGCGCGAUGGUUUAUACCUACCAACCCUUCCCCUAGGAGUAUGCGUUGAAUUUUUUGUUUCGAUUAAUAAUAAAACUUUUGCAACAAGUAUAUGAGUUCUUCAUGACUAAUGUCGAGUCCAUGGUUUAGAUGCACUUUGGCCUUCCACCAUCACUAUCUUCCUAGUGCCGUGCAACUUUCGCCGGUGCACAAAACCCACCAUUAGCCUCCCUCAAAACAGCCACCAUACCUACCUACUAUGGCUUUUUAAAGUCAUUCAGAGAUAUAUUGCCAUGCAACUACCACCAUGACAUGUGCCACCACGUCUACAUUGCCAUUGCAUGAUCGUAAUAUAGCUAGCAUGAUGUUUCCAUUGAUGUCUAUGCCAUGCUAGAUCAUUGCCACGGUAUACUACCGAAGGCAUUCCAUAUAGAGUCAUAGUUGCUCUAAGUUUUGAGUUGAAAGUGUGAUGAUCAUUAUUAAUGGAUCAUUGUCCCAUGUGAGGAAAUAAAAGAGGGCAAAGAAGCCCACCAAAAAAAAA
rnacentral:lncRNA from 1 species